rnacentral:lncRNA from 1 species
CAUCAAGACUCUUUUCUGGCGCCGUUGCCGGGGAGGUAGGCCUUUGGUAAGUGGAAUUUGCUAAGGAAACAUUUAUAUACUGUGCUGAAAUUUAUUGUCACUUGUCACUAUGGAAACUGUUCCUUUGAGGAGUUUUUUUGGGGUAUAUUCACCACGAACGGAAGCAUGAGGAGUUGUUCCUCAACCUGAGGUACCUACUGAAAAUAUAUAUUAUGAAAUUCCUUCGGGUAUGCUUGAGAAACUGCUGGCUAAUCCUUUUACAGGAGAUGGAUCUUCACAUCCAGACAUGCAUCUAAUCUAUGUAGAUGAAGUUUGUGGUUUAUUUAAGCUUGCAGGUUUUCCCGAGGAUGAGGUAAAGAAGAAAGUCUUUCCUUUAUCGUUGAAGGAUAGGGCAUUGACAUGGUAUAGGCUAUGUGAUGAUACUGGAUCAUGGGACUACAAUCGGUUGAAAUUGGAAUUUCAUCAAAAGUUUUAUCCUAUGCAUUUAGUACAUCGUGAUCGGAAUUAUAUUUAUAAGUUUUGGCCUGAUGACAGGGAAAGCAUAGCUCAAGCUUGGGGGAGGCUUAAAUCAAUGCUAUAUUCAUGCCCCAAUCAUGAGCUCUCGAGAGAAAUUAUCACUCAAAACUUUUAUGCUCGGCUUUCUCAUGAAGAUCGUACCAUGCUUGACACUUCUUGUACCGGUUCUUUUAUGAAGAAGGAUAUUAACCACAAGUGGAAUUUAUUGGAAAGAAUCAAACGUAACUCUGAAGAUUGGGAGCUUGAAGAAGGUAAGGAGUCAGGUAUGAAUUUCCAGUUUGAUUGCGUUAAAUCUUUUGUUGAAACAAACACUUCUAGAUAUUUUAGCGCUAAGUAUGCACUUGACUCUGAGAUAGUAGCUUCUCUAUGUGAAUCUUUUGCUGCUCAUGUUGAUCUUCCCAAUCUAGUUAAACCCAAUCUAGUUGAGGAGAAAGUCAUUGCCUUUAGUGAUCCUAUUGUUCCUUGUGCCUACGCUGAGAAACCACCAUACCCUGCUAGGAAAAAGGAUUAUUCUAAAGCUCCAACUGUGAUACGUAGGGGUUACAUCAGACCACUUGCACCCCCUGAGGAAAUUACAGUUGAACCUAGUGUUUCUAUUAUCAAAGAUCUCUUAGCCCAAGACAUAGACGGGCAUGUUAUCAAAUUCUGUGAGGACUCCGCUAGAAUAGAUAAACCUCACACUAAACCUCACAGGCCUGUAGUUGGCCUGCCCGUAGUUUCUGUCAAGAUAGGAGAUCACUGUUACCAUGGUUUAUGUGAUAUGAGUGCUAUACCCCAUUCCCUAUAUGAUGAAAUCAAAGAUGAGAUUGCACCUGCUGAGUUAGAACCCAUUGAUGUCACUAUUAUGCUAGCUAAUAGAGACACUAUCUGCCCUCUGGGAAUUGUGAGAGACGUAGAAGUCCUGUGCGGUAAGACGAAGUAUCCUACUAAUUUCCUCGUCCUUGCUACUGCACAAGAUAGCUUGUGUCCCAUCAUAUUUGGUAGACCCUUUCUCAACACUGUCAAUGCUCAUAUUGAUUGUAUUAAACAGACUGUCACGGUUAGUUUCGAGGGUGUGUCUCAUGAAUUUAACUUCUCCAAGUUUGGAAGACAACCCCAUGAAAUAGAGUCGUCUGGUAGGGAUGAAAUCAUUGCUCUUGCCUCUAUUGCCGUACCUCCUACGGAUCCUUUAGAGCAAUAUCAGCAAGAGCAUGAAAAUGAUAUGCAUAUGGAGGAAAGAGAUGAGAUAGAUAAAAUUGUCUUAGAACAAUAUCCUAUUCUCAAGAAUAAUCUGCCUAUUGAACUUCUUGGGGAUCCUCCCCCACCAAAGGGUGAUCCUGUGUUCGAGCUAAAACACUUACCAGAUACUCUUAAGUAUGCCUAUCUUGAUGAGAAGGAGAUAUAUCCUAUUAUUAUUAGUGCUCACCUCUUGAGUCACGAAGAGAAGAAGUUAUUAAAAACUUUGAGGAAGCACCGUGCUGCUAUUGGAUAUACUCUUGAUGAUCUUAAGGGUAUUAGCCCCACUCUAUGUCAGCACAAGAUUAAAACUGAUCCUGAUUCUAAGCCAGUUGCUGAUCAUCAGCGGAGACUAAAUCCGAGGAUGAAAGAGGUCGUGAGAAAAGAAAUAUUAAAGCUUAUGGAAGAAGGAAUCAUUUAUCCUGUUGCUCAUAGUGAUUGGGUAAGUCGAGUACAUUGCGUACCUAAGAAGGGAGGUAUCACUGUCGUCCCUAAUGAUAAGGAUGAACUAAUCCCGUAGAGGAUUAUUACUGGCUAUGGGAUGGUUAUAGACUUCCGGAAACUAAACAAGGCAACCAGGAAGGACCAUUAUCCUUUGCCGUUUAUCGACCAGAUGCUAGAAAGGCUAUCUAAACACACACACUUCUGCUUUCUAGACGGUUAUUCAGGUUUCUCGCAAAUACCUGUUGCACAAUCUAAUCAAGAGAAACCAACCUUCACAUGCCCCUUCGGUACCUUCGCUUAUAGAUGUAUGCCUUUUGGCUUGUGCAAUGCACCUGCCACCUUUCAAAGAUGUAUGAUGGCUAUAUUCUCUCACUUUUGUGAAAAGAUUGUUGAGCUUUUCAUGGAUGAUUUCUCCAUCUACGGUUCUUCCUUUGAUGAUUACCUCAGCAACCUUGAUCGAGUCUUACAGAGAUGCAAAGGUACCAACCUUGUCUUGAACUGGGAGAAGUGCCACUUCAUGGUUAAUGAAGGCAUCAUCUUAGGACACAAAAUCUGUGAGAAAGGCAUUGAAGUUGAUAAGGCUAAGGUAGAUGCAAUUGAGAAAAUGCCUUGCCCCACAGAUAUCAUAGGUAUACUAAGUUUCCUAGGUCAUGCUGGUUUCUAUAGAAGGUUCAUUAAAGACUUCUCUAAGAUUUCUAGGCCUCUUACCAACCUCUUUCAGAAGGAUGUUCCUUUUGUUUUUGAUGAGGACUGUGAGGAAGCUUUCGAAAUACUUAAGAAGGCCUUAAUAACCGCACCUAUUGUUCAACCACCUGAUUGGAACUUGCCCUUUGAAAUCAUGUGUGAUGCUAGUGAUUAUGUCGUUGGUGUUGUUCUAGGACAAAGAGUUGACAAGAAGUUGAAUGUCAUUCACUACGCUAGUAAAACUCUAGACAGUGCCCAAAGAAACUAUGCCACUAUGGAGAAGAAGUUUUUAGCAGUCGUGUUUGCAUUCGAAAAGUUCAGAUCUUAUAUAGUUGACUCCAGAGUCACUAUUCACUCUGAUCAUGCUACUAUUAAGUACCUUAUGGAGAAGAAGGACGCUAAGCCUAGACUAAUCAGAUGGGUUCUCCUCCUACAGGAAUUUGAUUUGCACGUUGUUGACCGAAAGGGUGCUGAUAACCCUGUAGCCGAUAACUUGUCUAGGCUAGAGAAUGUCCUUGAUGACCCAAGACCUAUUGAUGACAGCUUUCCUGAUGAGCAACUGAAUGUCAUCCGCACUUCACAUAGUGCACCGUGGUAUGCUGAUUACGCAAACUAUAUCGUAGCCAAAUACAUACCACCCAGUUUCACCUAGCAGCAAAAGAAGAAAUUCUUCUUUGAUUUGAGACACUACUUUUGGGAUGAUCCUCACCUUUAUAAGGAAGGAGUAGAUGGUGUUAUUAGACGUUGUGUGCCUGAACAUGAACAGGGACAGAUCCUACAGAAGUGUCAUUCUGAGGCCUACGGAGGACACCAUGCUGGGGAUAGAACUGCUCAUAAGGUAUUGCAAUCAGGUUUCUAUUGGCCUACUCUCUUCAAGGAUACCCGUAAGUUUGUCUUGUCGUGUGACGAAUGUCAAAGUAUAGGGAACAUUAGCAAAUGUCAGGAAAUGCCUAUGAACUAUUCACUGGUCAUUGAACCAUUUGAUGUCUGGGGCUUUGAUUAUAUGGGGCCCUUCCCGAGUUCCAAUGGGUACACUCACAUCUUAGUUGCUGUGGAUUUUGUCACUAAGUGGGUAGAGGCUAUCCCCACUAAAAAUGUUGUUCACGACACCUCUAUUAAGAUGCUUAAAGAAGUCAUUUUCCCAAGAUUUGUAGUCCCUAGAUAUCUGAUGACUGAUGGCGGUUCACACUUCAUUCAUGGUGUUUUCCGCAAGAUGCUCGCUAAGUAGGAUGUCAACCAUAGAGUUGCAUGUCCUUAUCAUCCUUAGUCUAGUGGUCAAGUGGAGUUGAGUAAUAGGGAGAUCAAAUUGAUCUUACAAAAGACCGUCAAUAGAUCUCGAAAGAAUAUGGCUAGCAAACUUGAUGAUGCACUAUGGGCUUAUAGGACUACUUAUAAGAAUCCCAUGGGCAUGUCGCCGUAUAAAAUGGUUUACGGUAAGGCCUGUCUUUCACCUCUUGAGCUGGAACACAAAGCUUAUUGGGCAAUCAAAGAGCUCAACUUUGAUUUCAAACUUGCCGGUGAGAAGCGGUUGUUUGAUAUCAGCUCAUUAGAUGAAAGGAGGGCCCAGGCAUAUGAGAAUGCCAAGUUGUUCAAGGAAAAGGUUAAGAGAUGGCACGAUAAAAGAAUACAAAAGCGAGAGUUCAAUGUAGGUGAUUAUGUCCUGCUAUACAAUUCUUGUUUAAGAUUAUUCGCAGGCAAGCUUCUCUCUAAAUGGGAAGGUCCCUACGUUGUCGAGGAAGUAUAUCGUUCCGGUGCCAUCAAAAUCAAUAACACGGAAGGUAAUUUUCCUAGAGUGGUAAAUGAGAAAAGAAUCAAGCAUUAUAUCUCUGGUACUCCCAUAAAUGUUGAGACCAAUAUCAUCAAUAUCAUAACUCCAGAGGAGAACAUAAGUGAUGUUUAUCAGCCUAUUUCAGACCCUGAAAACCAAGAGGUAUCUGUUUCGGUAAGUAAUUGGACACCGAAACUUUUCCAAUAGGAAAUUUUCUCCGUUUUGGAAUUUAUGGAAAAUUAGAAAAAUAAAAAGCAGUCCGGAGAGCGCACGAGGCGGCCACAAGCUUGGUUGCCGCGGCCUCCCCUGGCCGCGGCAACAGGGCUUGUGGGCAGCUCGUGUGUCUACCGGACUCUGUUUUCUUGCGGAGCACUCCUUCUGGUCCAUAAAAAAUCAUUAUAUAUACGCUCGAGGGUUUUGAUCUCCGUAUCGCGUAGUUUUCCUCUGUUUUCGUUUCUAGCCUGUUUCUGCCGCAGAUUUAGAGCAAAGAUGUCUCAAGAAUCUGUUGGGGAGAACAAUUUCCCUCAAGAUCAUGAAGAAAUAGAUGCUGAUCUGAAAAGAGUAGAAGUCACGGAAGCCAGGGACAAAGCUAAGGAGAAAACCCAAGCUAGGGAGGAAGUUCAACCUAUGUUCAACAUUGAAGACGUUGAAGGAGUAGAUUUUCUCCAACCCUUCCUCCACGUGAUGUCCCCAUCCUUGAUUGAACUCUUGAGGUUUUGUGAAACAACUCGUGCUCGAAAUAUUUCCCUUUCUCGUGAAGUUGUUUUGCUGGAAAACCAUGUCGCAGAUCUCAAAGGUAUAAAUCAAAGACUGAUAGCUCUCUUGGAAUCAAAGGCAAAGACUGCUUCAACAACACCACCGCCAUCACCACCAAAGGAAGACAAGUAAGCAUUGGUAUGGGCAAUCCCCUUGGCUUUUGCCAAGCUUGGGGGAGUUGCCCUGGUAUCGUAUCAUCUUUAUAUCUUUUGCUUUUACCUUUGUUUUAGUUCAUUCCUUUUUCAGUUUUAUUUCUUCACUUAGUGGAAUAAGUCUUUAGUGUUUAGUUUGAGUCUUUUUCCUUGUGUCUCCCCCGAUGUAGUCGAGCUUGCGAGCUUUAUAAUAAAGAGUAUCUUAGUCAAGGGCUUUGUUUUGUGCCGUGAUCAAAAGUAUGAAAAGAACGAUAGCAUGAAAGAUCAUGAGAUGAUCCUAUGGAAAGUGAUAGCUACACAUAUAACAAGUAUGAUGAUUGAAACUUGUUGAGAGUAGACCAACAUAGACCUCAGUCAUUGUUGCAAUUAAUAAGAAGUAAUAAGGAAAGAGAGGUUCACAUAUAAAUAUAUCAUCUUAGACACUUUCUAUAAUUGUGAGCACUCACCAAACUAUUACAAGCCUAGAAGUAGAUGUUGGACAAGGAAGACAAAAUAAUGAAUUGUGUUUGCUUGGUUCCAAACAAUGUUAUAUGAUUAGAGAUCCCUUAGCAUGUGACGAUUGCUUCGACCUCAUAUUAGCCAAAACUCCCGCACCAAGUAGAGAUACUACUUGUGCAAACAUAAACCUUCAACCCAGUUUUGCCAUGAGUGUCCACAACACCUACCUAUGGAUUGAAUAAGAUCCCUCAAGUAAGUUGUCAUCGGGGCAAGCAAUAAAAAUUGCUCUCUAAUAUGUAUGAUCUAUUAGUGUGUGGAAAAUAAGCUUUGUACGAACCUGUGAUGAGGAAGAAUAAAAGCGACAGACUGCAUAAUAAAGUUCUUUAUCACAGGAGGCAAUAUAAAGUGACGUUCCUCCGCACUAGGAGGACACGCAUCCAAACCUCAAAAGUGCAUGACAACCUCUGCUUCCCUCUGCGAAGGGCCUAUCUUGUACCUUUACUUUUUGCCCUUGUAAGAGUCAUGGUGAUCUUCACCAAUUCCUUAUUUAGCCUUUUUUCUUCGCACUACUAGAAAAAGGCCUUCUAAUGGCACACCAUUUUUUGCUACUAAUGGCGCACUAUAGGUGCGCCACUAGCAUCACGCCAUUAGAUUUUUUUUACUAAUGGCGCACUACAAGUGCGCCAUUAGUAUCUGGUAUACUAAUGGCGCACCAGGUAGUGCGCCAUUAGUAUUGCUCACGGUGCGCCAUUAGUAUUCCUCACGGUGCGCCAUUAGUAUUGCUAACGGUGCGCCAUUAGUAUAGCUUAUGGUGCGCCAUUAGUAUGCCUCCCAGGGCCAUAUUUACCCAUAUGCUCUGGCUUACUAAUGGCGCACUAGUGUGCUGAGUGAUGCGCCACUAGUAUGAAUNAUUAGGAAUUUAUUUUAUUUUUUCUGAUAUUUGCACAGAUUACAAAAUAUAUUAUUGCACAGAAUAUAGAUAGCACAAUAGAUUUAUCGAAUACAAUAGAAGAUUAGUCUCCGAAUACAAUUCGUCAUUAUUAGUCUCCGAAUUUAAAAUACCGAACAAAGUUAGAACAUUACAAGUCUCGAGACCGCGAGUAGCGAGUUUGUCUUCACAUUACAAGUCGAUAUAUCGACCAUCUAAACUACCAUCACAUAUAGAAGAGAGCUGCGGUCAUCACGAUGAGCAUAAUCGCAAUGAAACUGGUCUUCAUCUGGUUCCUCCAACGCUCCCUCCUCUCUCCCGCUAGAUAGCGCGCGUAUCUAACUUCCGCCUCCGCCCUUGUGGUGUACCCUUUGUAACUGUUACCGCUGAAUCGGUGAACCUGUCUCCGACACUCCUCCCAGUCGUCGUAGACUCCGGGAACCUUACCCUUGUACACGACAUACGACGGCAUCUCUAUGCACUAGCCAAACAAAACGUUAGUAGCAAUUCACAGAGACAUACAAGUUCAUUAAAGUUCAAUAUUACAACUAUAACAGCACGAUUCAUGGUCCUACUAAUAAAUAGCAUCGAUUAUAUAUAAGUUGAACGACUGUCCAUACCAAAGAGACAUACGAGUUCAUUAAAGUUUAAUAUUGCAACAUGAAUUAGUAGCGAUUCACGGGAACGUGGAUGAAGCCGCUGUCUUUUGUGAUGGUCAUGAAAUUGCGGUCGUUGUGAGCCUGCAUUUAUAGCAUUGUAUCUAUCUCACUAUUGGACAGCGGAGAUCUGAGGUAGAACUGCCCCGAGGUACGAAGGACAUCUUGAUGGAUGAUUUCCGCAAACUCUGACUGGAUGCGAAAGAAUUCUUGUCUGAUGUCUGCAUCCUGGAUUGCCGACAAGCGUGCGGCCCAAUCUUUGAGAUUAUUUGGUAGACGAAGGUGAUUACUGUCCCGUAUGAUCGCCCGCAUGUGAUGGAAGGCGUAGUAGGCAUCCUUCUGACUGCCAGGCGGCUGCUUGACGCAGGCGAACAUCGUAUUGUGGGUGAACACGUGCUUGCCGUGCCUGAGACUUGUCCUGCUGAAGGUGCCUCCAGAUAUGGCGUAGCCGGGAAGAGCUUCAUCAAGAACUUUCUUGAUAUUUGUGUAGUCUUUUUUUGACUGACGGUCCAAGUCGAAAUACGUGGUCGUGGAAUAUUUCAGGCUUAAGAGGAUGAGUGUGCAACGUGUGUCACUGCACAAAACACAGAAUGUUAGAAAAAAAGGACGAUCAAAAUCUAAGAAAUCAUAUGUUACGUGGCGAUGAGGGGAUAACUUACCAGGGAAAGUAAGGCACGAGGAAGUUAUCCUUUUCUGAGUUUGCCAGAAAGACGCCUUCGAGGUAUGAGCUCGCGACUUGCCGGUCCCCAGCGCUGCCCAAGAUCUUCGCACGCAUAUAGAAGGGGUCGACUAUCACUAGGUCCGGGGUCUUGUCUCUAAUUAUCCGCAUCUCCAUACUCAGCGAAAAUAGCCGAACGAAGGUGUAGUGCAGCGGAUGAAGGUUAAACAUACCAAAGAUGUCGGCAAACCGCAGGACGAUCAUACCCCCGAUGGCGCUAUCGACAAAGCCCUUGCCCUCUGGCACCUUGGCUACGAAAACCGGGUAUGCCACAUUAUUCUCGGAGAGAGGCCGCUUCUCCAAACAAAGAACACUGUCAUGCAGACUCCGCAUAGCACCGGUUGCAACAUUGAGCAGAUUAGUCGGUAGCAUCGGCCUACCCGCCACAUGCACCCUCCUCGAGAUAUCCUUAGGUGAAGCUGGCCCGUCCAGAGCACGGAUCGUACUCAGUGUCGGCUGGCUCGCACCCUUGUUAGUCUUUCUUUUCCGUCCCUUCUUCUGCUGAUGUAAUGGGAUCCAGUUCAUCUUCUCAGAGACCACCUUCUUGAGUGUGUUGGGGCUGAUAAUAUUUCGCACCUCGGCUAUCUGAGGCUCGGUGAACACGGCAGCUGGAGGCGUAUCCUCAAAACUAAAUGCCAGACAACGCCUGUUGCAAUUGGGUUUCUCCGCGGUACCAGCUAGAUCACGGUCGUCUUUUGCAGGGUUGGGUUCUUGAGAAGGAGGCCCCAAGAAUUCCUCACCGUACCCAUGUUCGGCAAAGUACUUAUCGACCUUGGUAAAUGUACCAUCGUCGUCAUCGUCGUCGUCCGGAACCUGUGCCAUAUGCAUGUACGGAUCCUGUGCCAUAUGCAUGUCCGGUAGCGUUGCGGCGGUCUUGCCAUGGCUUGGCGCCGGCACGACUGGCGGUGUUGUUUGUGGGGUGCUGUCGCCCGCCCCCAAACGAAUCUGGCUCUUCGGCCAAAGCAAGGGCCAGCUUAAGCAGGCGCUGAGGGUCAUCACAUCAUCUUUGUCGGCCCCAGCGGGGUGGAACGAAGGUAACAAGUCGUCGCAGCCUCGCAGCACCCGAACCAGUUGAACCCUAUACGUGGUGGGUGGCAUCGGUUUACCGUGGAACAUGGGUUUUCCCGGUUGAACGAUUCUUCCCUUGGCGACAUCGAUCAAAUCGCCGCCCCAUGAAGUGCAGGAGAGUGCAUGGAACGUCAGCGCCGGCGCCCUGCGAAAACAUGUAGGGCGUCAGGGGAUGCCCAUUCAAAGGCAAGGAGAUGAAUUCAUCGGCCGAGAGAGGCUUAGUUACCGUGAUGGCAUUGAGCUCGGCUAAUGUCGAGGCACCGCCAAUGGUGGGCGUGCAAGUGACGGAGGGGCCGCUUGCUGCCGAGGUGCCGGCCGGCGCCGGAGACACCAAUGGCGUCGCAUGCGCGUUGUGCGAGUUGCUGGCAGUGAAGCUGGGAAUUGGGGGCGGCCCCUGUUGGCCGCCUGCAAUCCAUGCCUACAGCCCCUCAAUCAAGGUAGGCACAAUGGCGGUGAUCACCCCUCCCACUUGGUGUUGCACUAGCUCUUGGACCAUCUCUGGAAUCCGCGCCACUUUUGCCUUGAGUUCUUCAACCUCAUGCGACUCUCUCCUUUCACCCACCAGCAUUAUAGUAUGACAACCAUUUCGUGGACAAGCCUUUGCCGGCCGCAUGACCAGCUGACGACGGCUUACUGGACUUAUCCUUGUUUUUCAUUAUGUUAAACGCCCUAUUUAAAUUGGCGUCCCAAUUGGAGCUCUAAGACGACCCCGCGCUACUGCUUUCAGUGUCCUACGGAAGGAAUGAACCAUUUAGAAGUUUGGCUUCAUUAAUUAGAAUGCAACCAUAUGGAGCUAAUUACAUGGGGUGUAUUCCUUACCAGAACACACUCAAGCGCCCUGGUCUUCGCAUCCGUGGUAAGCUCCUUUGUUACUGGGUCCACCUUGUACCGGGCCCUGACAUAGUUCCUGGUCUGCUUGUCACCGUAUUUCUCGAAGCGGGGUGGUAGGCCUUGCUCGGCACGCUCCGCGUCCUCCUUGUCCCAUAUAGGUUCCGCCACUCUGUAACCGCCGGGACCGAGUUGGUGGACCCCUAAGUUCAACUCCCGCAUUUCUUUCCCCCAUUGACUUGAUUCCGCGGUUGCCUUUCUCUCGCACUUGAUCUUGAACUCCAUGUAGUCAUCUUCGCUGAUCGAAGGAUUUUUCGCCUUGAUCUUCUCAUAACUAUCACCUUUGUCAAUCAUUCUCUUCACCACGCUUCUCCAAGUAGAUAGGGCCUUGCUCAUCUUCGUGAGGGCGGCACUGUUCACUUUAUUCCUUGAGAGGCGUGUGUUUGCGACGUCACCGGGGAACUUGUAUCGUUCGUGCAGCUUCGUGAAGAGGAGGUUGCGCAAAUUCCCUCGGUCCUUAUGCCUUAGGUUCUCGGUGUUGAUCGAGACAGUGCUCCGGAGAAUGCACCCGAGCUGAACCACGUACCCCUUGACUAUUUCUUUGGGCGCCGUUGGAUACCCGUCGGAGUUCACUUCAGUAAAUUCCUCCUUUACGGUGCUAAGCACGUUCGGGCGCCGGUCCUUGUUGGGGAACGUCGCAUGGGAAACAAAAAUUUUCCUACGCGCACGAAGACCUAUCAUGGUGAUGUCCAUCUACGAGAGGGGAUGAGUGAUCUACGUACCCUUGUAGAUCGUACAGCAGAAGCGAUUAGAGAUCGCGCUUGAUGUAGUGGAACGUCCUCACGUCCCUCGAUCCGCCCCGCGAACAAUCCCGCGAUCAGUCCCACGAUCUAGUACCGAACGGACGGCACCUCCACGUUCAGCACACGUACAGCUCGACGAUGAUCUCGGCCUUCUUGAUGCCCAUAUUGGAUCCUACAUAUUCUACGAAGAUCUUAUCGUUUGAACCUCAGUGCCAAGGAUUCAUAUAAUCCCGUAUGUCAUUCCCUUUGUCCUUCGGUAUGUUACUUGCCCGAGAUUCGAUCGUCAGUAUCCGCAUACCUAUUUCAAUCUCGUUUACCGGCAAGUCUCUUUACUCGUUCCGUAAUACAAGAUCCCGCAACUUACACUAAGUUACAUUGCUUGCAAGGCUUAUGUGUGAUGUUGUAUUACCGAGUGGGCCCCGAGAUACCUCUCCGUCACACGGAGUGACAAAUCCCAGUCUUGAUCCAUACUAACUCAACUAACACCUUCGGAGAUACCUGUAGAGCAUCUUUAUAGUCACCCAGUUACGUUGCGACGUUUGAUACACACAAAGCAUUCCUCCGGUGUCAGUGAGUUAUAUGAUCUCAUGGUCAUAGGAAUAAAUACUUGACACGCAGAAAACAGUAGCAACAAAAUGACACGAUCAACAUGCUACGUCUAUUAGUUUGGGUCUAGUCCAUCACGUGAUUCUCCCAAUGACGUGAUCCAGUUAUCAAGCAACAACACCUUGUUCAUAAUCAGAAGACACUUACUAUCAUCGAUCAACUGGCUAGCCAACUAGAGGCAUGCUAGGGACGGUGUUUUGUCUAUGUAUCCACACAUGUAAAUGAGUCUUCAUUCAAUACAAUUAUAGCAUGGAUAAUAAACUAUUAUCUUGAUACAGGAAUUAUAAUAAUAACUAUACAUUUAUUAUUGCCACUAGGGCAUAAUUCCAACAGUCUCCCACUUGCACUAGAGUCAAUAAUCUAGCCCUCACAUCACCAUGUGAAUUACAUUGUAAUAAAUCUAACACCCAUACAGUUCUGGUGUCGAUCAUGUUUUGGCCGUGGAAGAGGCUUAGUUAGCGGGUCUGCUACAUUCAGAUCCGUGUGCACUUUGCAUAUAUUUACGUCCUCCUCCUCGACGUAGUCGCGGAUGAGGUUGAAGCGUCGUUUGAUGUGUCUGGUCUUCUUGUGAAACCUUGGUUCCUUUGCUAAGGCAAUGGCACCAGUGUUGUCACAGAACAAGGUUAUUGGAUCCAGUGCACUUGGCACCACUCCAAGAUCCGUCAUGAACUACUUCAUCCAGACACCCUCCUUAGCCGCCUCUGAGGCAGCCAUGUAUUCCGCUUCACAUGUAGAAUCUGCUACGACGCUUUGCUUGGAACUGCACCAGCUUACUGCACCCCCAUUAAGAAUAAAUACGUAUCCGAUUUGCGACUUAGAGUCGUCCGGAUCUGUGUCAAAGCUUGCAUCGACGUAACCUUUUACGGCGAGCUCUUCGUCACCUCCAUACACGAGAAACAUCUCCUUAGUCCUUUUCAGGUACUUUAGGAUAUUCUUAGUGAUCCACUCCUGGAUUACUCUGGAACCUGCCUGCCAUACUUAUGGCCAGGCUAACAUCCGGUCUAGUGCACAGCAUCGCAUACAUGAUAGAGCCUAUGGCUGAAGCAUAGGGGACGGAGCGCAUAUGCUCUCUAUCUUCAUCAGUUGCUGGGCACUGAGUCUUACUCAAUCUCGUACCUUGUAACACUGGCAAGAACCCUUUCUUGGACUGUUCCAUUUUGAACCUCUUCAAAACUUUAUCAAGGUAUGUGCUUUGUGAAAGUCCUAUCAGGCGUUUUGAUCUAUCCCUAUAGAUCUUAAUGCCUAGAAUGUAAGCAGCUUCUCCUAGGUCCUUCAUAGAGAAACUUUUAUUCAAGUAACCUUUUAUGCUCUCCAAAAGCUCUACGUUGUUUCCAAUCAGUAAUAUGUCAUCCACAUAUAAUAUUAGAAACGCCAUAGAGCUCCCACUCACUUUCUUGUAAAUACAAGAUUCUCCAACCACUUGUAUAAACCCAAAUGCUUUGAUCACCUCAUCAAAGCGUUUGUUCCAACUCCGAGAUGCUUGCACCAGUCCAUAAAUGGAUCGCUGCAGCUUGCACACCUUGUCAGCAUUUUUAGGAUUGACAAAACCUUCGGGUUGCAUCAUAUACAACUCUUCCUUAAGGAAACCGUUAAGGAACGCCGUUUUGACAUCCAUCUGCCAAAUUUCAUAAUCGAAAAAUGCAGCUAUUGCUAACAUGAUUCUGACGGACUUAAGCAUCGCUACGGGAGAGAAAGUCUCAUCGUAGUCAAUUCCUGGAACUUGUGAAAAACCCUUUGCCACAAGUCGAGCUUUAUAAACGGUCACAUUACCGUCAGCGUCCGUCUUCUUCUUAAAGAUCCAUUUGUUCUGAAUAGCCUUGCGGCCCUCAGGUAGUAUCUCCAAAGUCCAUACUUUGUUCUCAUACAUGGAUCAUAUCUCGGAUUUCAUGGCUUCUAGCCAUUUGUUGGAAUCUGGGCCCACCAUUGCUUCUUCAUAAUUUGCAGGUUCAUUGUUGUCUAACAACAUGAUUGUCAAGACGGGAUUACCGUACCACUCUGGAGCAGCGCGUGAUCUCGUCGACCUGCGUGGUUCAACAGAAACUUGAACUGGAGUUUCAUGAUCAUCAUCAUUAACUUCCUCCUCAACCGGCGUCGCAAUCACAGGGGUUUCCCCUUGCCCUGCGCCACCAUCCAGAGGGAUGAGAGGUUCGACAACCUCGUCAAGUUCUAUCUUCCUCCCACUCAAUUCUCUCGAGAGAAACUCCUUCUCGAGAAAAGUUCCGUUCUUAGCAACAAACACUUUGCCCUCGGAUUUGAGAUAGAAGGUGUACCCAACUGUCUCUUUUGGGUAGCCUAUGAAGACGCACUUUUCCGCUUUGGGUUCCAGCUUUUCAGGCUGAAGCUUUUUGACAUAAGCAUCACAUCCCCAAACUUUAAGAAACGACAACUUUGGCCUUUUGCCAUACCAAAGUUCGUAUGGUGUCGUCUCAACGGACUUCGAUGGUGCCCUAUUUAAAGUGAAUGCAGCUGUUUCUAAUGCAUAACCCCAAAACGAUAACGGCAAAUCAGUAAGAGACAUCAUAGAUCGCACCAUUUCUAAUAAAGUACGAUUACGACGUUCGGACACACCAUUACGUUGUGGUGUUCCAGGCGGUGUUAACUGCGAAACAAUUCCACAUUGUUUUAAGUGAGUACCAAACUCGAAACUCAGAUAUUCACCCCCACGAUCAGACCGUAGGAACUUGAUCUUCUUGUUACGAUGAUUUUCUACUUCACUCUGAAAUUGCUUGAACUUUUCAAAUGUUUCAGACUUGUGCUUCAUUAAGUAUACAUAACCAUAUCUACUCAAAUCGUCAGUGAAGGUGAGAAAAUAACGAUAUCCGCCGCGUGCCUCCACGCUCAUCGGACCACACACAUCGGUAUGUAUGAUUUCCAACAAGUCACUUGCACGCUCCAUUGUUCCGGAGAACGGAGUUUUAGUCAUCUUGCCCAUGAGGCAUGGUUCGCACGUGUCAAGUGAAUCAAAGUCAAGUGACUCCAAAAGUCCAUCAGCAUGGAGUUUCUUCAUGCGCUUUACACCAACAUGACCCAAGCGGCAGUGCCACAAAAAUAUGGCGCUAUCAUUGUUUACUCUAACUCUUUUGGUCUCAAUGUUAUGUAUAUGCGUAUCGCUAUCGAGAUUCAAUAUGAACAAUCCUCUCACAUUCGGUGCAUGACCAUAAAAGAUGUUACUCAUAGAAAUAGAACAACCAUUAUUCUCAGACUUAAAAGAGUAACCGUCUCGCAAUAAAAAAGAUCCAGAUAUAAUGUUCAUGCUGAACGCAGGCACUAAAUAACAACGAUUUAAGUUCAUCACUAAUCCCGAUGGUAGUUGAAGUGACACGGUGCCGACGGCGAUUGCAUCAACCUUGGAACCGUUUCCUACGCGCAUCGUCACUUCGUCUUUCGCCAGCCUCCGUCUAUUCCGCAGUUCCUGCUUCGAGUUGCAAAUGUGAGCAACAGAACCGGUAUCGAAUACCCAGGCACUACUACGAGAGCUGGUUAAGUACACAUCAAUAACAUGUAUAUCAAAUAUACCUGAUUUUUCUUUUCCCGCCUUCUUAUCUGCCAGAUACUUGGGGCAAUUGCGCUUCCAGUGACCCAUACCCUUGCAAUAGAAGCACUCUGUUUCAGGCUUAGGUCCAGCCUUGGGUUUCUUCGGCGGAUUGGCAACGGGCUUGCCGCUCUUCUUCGAAUUGCCCUUCUUGCCUUUGCCGUUUCUCUUGAAACUAGUGGUCUUGCUCACCAUCAACACUUGAUGUUCUUUACGGAGUUCAGACUCUGCGACUUUCAGCAUCGCAAACAACUCGCCGGAAGACUUGUUCAUCCCUUGCAUGUUGUAGUUCAACACAAAGCUUUUAUAGCUUGGCGGCAGUGAUUGGAGGAUUCUGUCAGUGAUAGCUUCUUGCGGGAGUUCAAUCCCCAGUUCAGCUAGACGGUUUGAGUACCCAGACAUUUUGAGCACAUGUUCAGUGACAGACGAGUUUUCCUCCAUUUUGCAAGCAUAGAAUUUAUCGGAGGUCUCAUACCUCUCGAUCCGGGCGUUCUUCUGAAAGAUGAACUUCAACUCCUGGAACAUCUCAAAUGCUCCAUGACGCUCAAAGCGACGUUGAAGUCCCGGUUCUAAGCCAUACAAGACUGCACAUUGAACUAUUGAGUAGUCCUCCUUACGCGCUAACCAAGCGUUCUUAACAUCCUGAUCAGCCGUAGCGGGUGGUUCAUCUCCUAGCGCAGCAUUAAGGACAUAAUCCUUCUUUCCAGCUUGUAAGAUUAGCUUAAGAUUACGAGCCCAGUCUACAAAGUUGCUUCCAUCAUCUUUCAACUUAGCUUUCUCUAGGAACGUAUUAAAAUUGAGGAUGACACUUGCGUGAGCCAUGAUCUACAACACAAAUAUAUUCAAAGUGGACUUAGACUAUGUUCAAGAUAAUUAGAGUUCAACUUAAUCAAAUUACAUGCUAAACUCCCACUCAAAAAGUACAUCUCUCUAGUCAUUUGAGUGGUUCAUGAUCCACCUACACUAUCCCAAGUCCGAUCAUCACGUGAGUCGGGAGUAGUUUCAGUGGUAAGCAUCCCUAUGCUAAUCAUAUCAUCUAUAUGAUUCAUGAUCGACCUUUCGGUCUCAUGUGUUCCGAGGCCAUGUCUGCACAUGCUAGGCUCGUCAAGCUUAACCCGAGUGUUCUGCGUGCGCAACUGUUUUGCACCCGUUGUAUGUGAACGUUGAGUCUAUGACACCCGAUCAUCACGUGGUGUCUCGAAACGACGAACUUUAGCAACGGUGCACAGUCGGGGAGAACACAAUUUCGUCUUGAAAUUUUAGUGAGAGAUCACCUCAUAAUGCUACCGUCGUUCUAAGCAAAAUAAGGUGCAUAAAAGGAUUAACAUCACAUGCAAUUCACAAGUGACAUGAUAUGGCCAUCAUCACGUGCUUCUUGAUCUCCAUCACCAAAGCACCGGCACGAUCUUCUUGUCACCGGCGCCACACCAUGAUCUCCAUCAUCAUGAUCUCCAUCAACGUGUCGCCAUCGGGGUUGUCGUGCUACUUAUGCUAUCACUACUAAAGCUACAUCCUAGCAAAAUAGUAAACGCAUCUGCAAGCACAUAUGUUAGUAUAAAGACAACCCUAUGGCUCCUGCCGGUUGUCGUACCAUCGACGUGCAAGUCGAUAUUUCUAUUACAACAUGAUCAUCUCAUACAUCCAAUAUAUCACAUCACAUCAUUGGCCAUAUCACAUCACAAUCAUACCCUGCAAAAACAAGUUAGACGUCCUCUAAUUUUGUUGUUGCAUGUUUUACGUGGUGACCAAGGGUAUCUAGUAGGAUCGCAUCUUACUUACGCAAACACCACAACGGAGAUAUAUGAGUUGCUAUUUGACCUCAUCCAAGGACCUCCUCGGUCAAAUCCGAUUCAACUAAAGUUGGAGAAACCGUCACUUGCCAGUCAUCUUUGAGCAAAGGGGGUUACUCGUAACGAUGAAACCAGUCUCUCGUAAGCGUACGAGUAAUGUCGGUCCAAGCCGCUUCAAUCCAACAAUACCGCGGAAUCAAGAAAAGACUAAGGAGGGCAGCAAAACGCACAUCACCGCCCACAAAACCUUUUGUGUUCUACUCGAGAAGACAUCUACGCAUGAACCUAGCUCAUGAUGCCACUGUUGGGGAACGUCGCAUGGGAAACAAAAAUUUUCCUACGCGCACGAAGACCUAUCAUGGUGAUGUCCAUCUACGAGAGGGGAUGAGUGAUCUACGUACCCUUGUAGAUCGUACAGCAGAAGCGAUUAGAGAUCGCGGUUGAUGUAGUGGAACGUCCUCACGUCCCUCGAUCCGCCCCGCGAACAAUCCCGCGAUCAGUCCCACGAUCUAGUACCGAACGGACGGUACCUCUGCGUUCAGCACACGUACAGCUCGACGAUGAUCUCGGCCUUCUUGAUCCAGCAAGAGAGACGGAGAGGUAGAAGAGUUAUCUGGCAGCGUGACGGCGCUCCGGAGGUUGGUGAUGAUCUCGUCUCAGCAGGGCUCCGCCCGAGCUCCGCAGAAACGCGAUCUAGAGGAAAAACUAUGGAGGUAUGUGGUCGGGCAGCCGUGAGAAAGUCGUCUCAAAUCUGCCCUAAAAGCCCCAUAUAUAUAGGAGGAGGGAGGGAGACCUUGCCUUGGGGUCCAAGGGAACCCCAAGGGGUCGGCCGAGCCAGGGGGGAGGACUCUCCCCCCCCCCCCCCCCACUUGGUUUGGUGGGAGGGAGUCCUUCCCCCUUCCCACUUCUUCCUCUUUUUUUUUUCUUCCUUUGAUUUUUCUUCCUUGGCGCAUAGGAUUUGGUGGGCUGUCCCACCAGCCCACUAAGGGCUGGUGUGACCCCCACAAAUACCUAUGGGCUUCCCCGGAGUGGGUUGCCCCCUUCCGGUGAACUCCCGGAACCCAUUCGUCAUUCCCGGUACAUUCCCGGAAACUCCGAAAACCUUCCGGUAAUCAAAUGAGGUCAUCCUAUAUAUCAAUCUUCGUUUCCGGACCAUUCCGGAAACCCUCGUGACGUCCGUGAUCUCAUCCGGGACUCCGAACAACAUUCGGUAACCAACCAUAUAACUCAAAUACGCAUAAAACAACGUCGAACCUUAAGUGUGCAGACCCUGCGGGUUCGAGAACUAUGUAGACAUGACCCGAGAGACUCCUCGGUCAAUAUCCAAUAGCGGGACCUGGAUGCCCAUAUUGGAUCCUACAUAUUCUACGAAGAUCUUAUCGUUUGAACCUCAGUGCCAAGGAUUCAUAUAAUCCCGUAUGUCAUUCCCUUUGUCCUUCGGUAUGUUACUUGCCCGAGAUUCGAUCGUCAGUAUCCGCAUACCUAUUUCAAUCUCGUUUACCGGCAAGUCUCUUUACUCGUUCCGUAAUACAAGAUCCCGCAACUUACACUAAGUUACAUUGCUUGCAAGGCUUAUGUGUGAUGUUGUAUUACCGAGUGGGCCCCGAGAUACCUCUCCGUCACACGGAGUGACAAAUCCCAGUCUUGAUCCAUACUAACUCAACUAACACCUUCGGAGAUACCUGUAGAGCAUCUUUAUAGUCACCCAGUUACGUUGCGACGUUUGAUACACACAAAGCAUUCCUCCGGUGUCAGUGAGUUAUAUGAUCUCAUGGUCAUAGGAAUAAAUACUUGACACGCAGAAAACAGUAGCAACAAAAUGACACGAUCAACAUGCUACGUCUAUUAGUUUGGGUCUAGUCCAUCACGUGAUUCUCCCAAUGACGUGAUCCAGUUAUCAAGCAACAACACCUUGUUCAUAAUCAGAAGACACUGACUAUCAUCGAUCAACUGGCUAGCCAACUAGAGGCAUGCUAGGGACGGUGUUUUGUCUAUGUAUCCACACAUGUAAAUGAGUCUUCAUUCAAUACAAUUAUAGCAUGGAUAAUAAACUAUUAUCUUGAUACAGGAAUUAUAAUAAUAACUAUACAUUUAUUAUUGCCUCUAGGGCAUAAUUCCAACAGUCCUUUCGUUGCCUCUUCGAUUGGCUGCCAUCUGUGCAUGCGCUGCCAUCAUCAGUGGUGGCAUCCUCAGCAGCACCAUCAGUGGUGUCAGCCCCGACGCCACUAGGGGUUGUGUACUCGGGAUCGGUGUCUUCCGCGGCGUCCUCAUAGAGGUGAGGUUCUUCCUCCAUCUCCUGGGACAGCUCCCAGAAUGGCUUGCCCGAACCGCCGGCCUCAUCAUUGUGGGCCAUGUUUCGCUCUAAAUAGGAAAAAAGUUUAGGGUUGAUCAAUGCCGAGGCACCCUAGGGUUUCAUCAUUUAGGGUUUAUCAAUGCCGAGGCACCCUAGGUUGACUGAUAUAUAUGGGUAUUUUCUCAUAAUAUACCCUAUCAAGAAAAGGGAAGUUGGGCCUAAUCACUUGGCUCUAUUGCCACCUAUGGUUUAAUGCAGCAAGAAUAAAGGGGCAAUUGAUCCUACUUAAUUAAGUACUAAGAUACCCCGGCCCAUGCAUUAGUCGCAAGUACCCCAUAUGUCCUAUUUUUAGCAAAGUCAUGCUAAAAUUCACGGAAAAUUUCAGCAUGACCUUUGUUGAAAAUAGGACAUAUGGAGUACCCGAAUUUGCCGGAACGGAAGUUAAUCGACAUUCCGGCAAACUCAAGGGCCUCUCGAGGUACCUGCAAAAUCAUCACGACACGAUGGUCGUAAACAAAACCCAGCAAACUAGCACCACAAUGCUAACAUGUGGGUGCACUACAUUCCAAUAUUUAUAUGGAACUAUGAAUGUCUACAUUUCAAUAGAAAGUGCAGGAAUGGAUGAACUAUGAAGAUUAUGUUCUCCUAGGAUACUUCUAUGGAAGACGUAUGUCCACCAUGAAACAUGGAAGUACCCCAAGAUAGAAAUAGAGGUUGCUGGUAGAAACUUAAAAUGGAAACCCACUGGCUGUUGGUUCAACCCCAUUGGGAAGAUUAAUAUGCUGAACGUUUGAGAGAGCAGUGAAUGAACACAGCAAAAAAAAUCAUAUUGUACAAACAAGAUAGUACUACUACUGAUGUACUGUAGAAGGAAAGAAAGAACACCUGCAGCGAAUGGGGUCGUCGUAGUGGAUCGCUACUUGUCUUGGCUGCAUAUACACAUACAUAGCUUAGUGUUAAUAUUGCCUUCUCUUUCGCGAGUAAAUUUAUUCAUCAAGCUGUAAACAUCGGCAUGUGCACGUGACAAGUAUAAACCAUACUACUACGUAAGUUAUUAAAUUUAUUUGCAAGGAACAGAGGUAUUUACAGUUGACAGUUGAUAUAACUAUAUGGGUGCUACAGAUGAGUAUUGUAUGACCAAACUCAAAAAUCAAGUUGAAUUGCUAGCACUAGGAGUGACCACUGCUCAAAUCUUCCAUUAAUUGCCUUACCAGACCCAUACCACAAUAGUAUAAUACAUUGGCAUGCUGCCAGAAAAGGCAGGCCAACUGUAUCCAUUAGCACACUAGACAAAUAGACAGCCAAGCAGUUCACCUAUCAAGAUCGCACUUGCAAAAGCAAGAUUUUACAUUCACAAUUUUGCCCUCUCAAACUAAAUGCUAUAGCUGAACAUUCAUGUAUGAGUAUAGAUGUGAGUAUAAUAGACACAUGGCAGACAGUACUCAAGAAAACUAUAAAUUGUAUAAAUAAGCAGUGCUGAAUAAUUGAGGACUAAGUGAAUAUGAUACAGUUCGAAAGAGUUAAGAAUAUAAACACAUAGAAUUUUCAAAUUCAUGGGGAAGCAAUGCAAUGUGGUAUGCAUUGGAAACAAAAUCUGGAACACUACACGUAUUGUUAGCCGCCGGCCUGCUCCCUCUUUCAGUCGAGCGGACUCAGGAACACACAUGAAGUGAAUAUGUGUUUGUCCUCCACACCGAGUUAACUAAUCAAUAGGAAACAGAGUAUAUAAAACAGAAUAGCCUGUACACAGUAGUUUUUCAGGCGACGAAUGCCAAAUUUCCAUUCUGCAUCUACAGCAACAAAUGCUGGUUUAUUUAUACAUGGACACAACAAACUGUUAACAGAAUUCUUUACAAUCUUGUUAAGCUGGCAUACAAUGUUUUGGACCAUGUCCAGCACAGUGCCGAUGCAACACAUUAUGACUGUUCCAAAGAAUGAAAAAUGUCACAAAGUAACUUGUUCACUUUUGCUGUUUUGCAACACAUAGUACAUCACAAGACCAGAAUAAGGUUUACACUAACACCGAGAAGCUGAUUAAGAUUUCCACUAGAGGACAAGAGAAGACGUUAAAAAGGCCUAGAAAACCUACAUGGGAAUAGUUUGUAAUGAAACAUGAAUGAAAUCUCAAGUUCAAGAUGGCAUGAGCGAAGACCUUUAUCCAAACCCAGCUGGCAUGGAACCCGGUGACAGACCAGCCCUAGUGCCAUGGUGUCUCACGGGGCCCUCCAUUUUAGUCGUAAUCAGAGAUAUAACAAUGAAUUGAAGCACCAUAGUAUCAAGGGGGCAAUAGCUCAGAUGCGACAUCUUUCCAUCGAUUCGUCCCCAAAUUCCAACUAGCAGCAGUAGCGCACGAACAGCAAAACUGCGAGGAUUGAUUGAACGCAAGGGCGAAGGAGAGGCGACCUGAAUCGGGGAGAGGUUGUUGGUGACGAACUGCUAGAGCGACUCCCUCCUGGCGACGAACCUCUGGCAGACGCUGCCGUCGCGGAGGAAGUUGUGGAUCCUGGCCCAGUUGUCGGCGUCCUCGACCCGGCGCUGCAGCCAGGUGGAGUACUCCCCGAGGCGGUACUCACGGUAGCCGCGGCCGGAGACGACAGAGCCGGCGCCGCGGUUGGUGACGACGAANCUGGGCGGUGGAAAGGAGGUAGGGGGAGGCCGCGCGCGGGAGAAGAGAGCAGGGCGCGAGGGCAGCCGGCUUAGGAAUGGCGCACCCCGAGCGGUGCGCCAUUAGAAUGUUUUUUAUAUAGUAAUGGCGCAUGUAUAUGAGGUGCGCCUUCUCUAUGUUGUUAAGCUCCGAAGUAGCAGCGCAGUGGUCCAUGGGUUUUGCCUCCUAGCAGGAGGUUGCGGGUUCGAAUCCUCUUCCCCCCUCUUUUUUGCACCUUGGUUUUUCUAUGCAUUGUUUUCAAUGCACCUUGGUUUUUCUAUGCAUUGUUUUCUAUGCAUUUUUUUCUAUGCAUUUUUUCUUGUGCUGGUUGCACCUUGGUUUGAGAAGUGCCUAGUAUUUUUUUUAUGUUUGCAAGUAGAUGUCUAGUAUUUUUUUUAUGUUUGCAGUUAGAUGCCUAUGAAUAUCUAGUGCCUCACAACAACAUCUAGUGCGGUGGAGCGGGGGAGGGUGCGGGGGGUGCUCGGCGGCGAGGGGGAUCUUGCGAGGGGUGAUAGCGAUCGAGAUGGAGGGGAUCGAGAUCGAGCGUCCUCAUGAAUAUUCAAUAUUUUUUCAUAUUGAAUAUGAAAAAAUAUCAUCAAAUUUAAAUACAAUCGAUCUUAGCUAGCUAUUUGUUCACAAUCUUCUUGCCCUUAUUUUUCGUAAAUGGAGUUCUUAUCUUGAACAGACGUCUUUUAGGUAGGGUGGUCCUGCUUCUUCUUGUGGUGUAUGCUGGUACUUCAUCAUCGUCGUCAUGUUCCAUCUUCGGGUCGCCGUACUUGUCGAAGUCUUGCUCAUUGGCGACUCCAUCCAUUCCGAUGAUCUUCCUUUUGCCUCUCCUCACGACAACACGACUGGGCUUUGGCGGGUCGGUAAUGAAGAAGCAUUGGUCCACUUGGGAAGCCAGUACCCAUGGCUCAUUUUUCGCGGUGACGUUUGCGCCCGCGGUCUUGGAUUUGGCUUCGUGUAUAACCAUGGUGGUGAAAUACCGAUCUUCUUUUAUGACGCUCUUGGCCCAUCUGACACGGAACAUCGGGACCUUCUCUCCAGUGUAGCUCCGCUCCCAGAUCUCCUUGUCGUUACCGGUGUAGGAUUCCAUCGUUACCCCGGAGUUCUGAUAACCAUCGCUCUUCAUGUCCUUUCCCUCGGUGUAGAAUGUGUAGCUAUUGGUAUCGUACGCCUCAUACGUCAUCAGGUUGUGCUCGGCGCCCUGUGACAAGGCGAAUAUGAGUUGUUCUUCCGCGGAAGAAUCCUCAUGUAAAGGGUACGACAGAAGCUUCUCCUUGAACCAACGCGUGAAACAUGAGUUGUGCUCUUUGAUUAUAUCUCCGUUCGUCCUCUGUUGGCCUUGGUCAUUGUACGUCUUUUCAAUAAAGGUUUUGUGCUCUACGACCCAAGGAUCGACCACGUCUAUGUGUUGUAGCACGACUAGGUUUGCUCUUUCAAAGUCGGCGAGUCGACCCUCGAAUUCGACAUGCAUUUCGCGCCGACCCUCACGGUGACCCCAUCCUGCGAGCCUGCCAAGGUGCCUGUUGACGGGCAGACCAACGGGGUUCUCGAUGCCUAGAUAAUUCGUGCAGUAGGAGAUGCACUCUUCGGUCAGAAAGCCCCUGGCUAUGCUUCCCUCUGGACGUGACAUGUUGCGAACGUAUCCUUUGAUGACACCAUUCAUCCUUUCGAACGGCAUCAUGCUGUGCAGGAACAUCGGCCCGAGUUGGAUGAUAUCCUCCACGAUAUGGACCAGCAGAUGCACCAUAACGUCGAAGAAUGCUGGCGGGAAGUACAUUUCAAGCUCGCAUAGUAUCACAACGAUCUCUUCCUGUAGCCUUCUGAGUUGCCUCACGCCAACCGACUUCUGAGAGAUGACGUCGAAAAAGUUGCAUAGGCCAAAUAGCGUUUCACGGACGUGCGCGUCCAUGAUCCCACGGAUUGCAACUGGAAGUAUCUGCGUCAUCAGCACGUGACAGUCAUGAGACUUCAUCCCGCUAAACUUCUGCUUCGCUGAGUCUAGGUAUCUGCUUAUCUUCCCCGCGUAACCGUAAGAAAGUUUUACUCCUACGAGGCAGGUGAAAAACUGAUCGAUCUCCUCCCGACUUAGAGUGAAGCACGCGGGAGGGAAGUCAUUUCCGGUCUUCUUGGACUUUUUGCCUUUGCGACGACUUUCCGUGUCCCCCCCCCCCCCCCCCCCAUCAUUAUUAGCGUGAAGCUCCUCCUUGAUGCCCAUUGAUUUCAAGUCUGCCCUUGCUUUCGGUCCAUCUUUGGUCCUCUCUGGCAUGUUGAGCAGGGUACCAAGCAGACUCUCGCACACGUUCUUCGUGAUAUGCAUGACAUCAAGGCUGUGAGGCACACGGAGGAUCUUCCAGUACGGCAAGUCCCAGAAAACAGACCUCGUUUUCCAUACCUUCAGCAGCGGCUCUCGUGCCUUUCGCUUCUUUCCCGGCUCUGGCGCCUUUCCCGGCGGUGGGCACUCUUUCCAAUUUUUCAACAGCUCGUAUAUUUCGCGUCUUCGGGGUUUGGUUUCACCAUUGAACAGAUCCUUGCAUUUUCUCCAUGUGUCAUCGUCGCGAAGCCACCUUCGAUGUCCCAUGAACACGGUUUUUGAAGACCCGGGAUCUCUAUCUAGCUGGCAAUACAUUGUGUCAUCCAUGCACCUGACGCAUCCAGAAAAUCCGUGGACCACCUGCCCCGCGACAUAUCCGUAACCGAGAUAGUCGUGCACCGUCGUGAGCAGUGCGGCUCUCAUAGGGAAAUAUUCUUUCUCUGCAGUGUCCCACGUAUUGGCUGGCGUUUUCCACAACGUGUCUAGCUCCUCUUUCAGCAGCCCCAGAUAUAGAUUGAUGUCGUUCCCUGGUUGUUUCGGCCCUUCAAUUAGCAUACUCAUGUGAAUGUACUUCCUCUUCAUGCACAACCAGGGGGAAGGUUGUACAUCCACACAAACACAGGCCAGGUGCUAUGUGUGUUUCUCUGGCUGCCAAACGGAUGGACUCCAUCGGUGCUCGCGCCCAGCACGAUGUUCCAUGGAUCGUCCCCAAAUUCUGGGUAUUCGUAGUUCAACGAUUGCCACUGGCUCGCAUCCUUAGGGUGACUCAGCAUCUUCUCUUUUUUAUUUAUCUCCGGAUCAUUUCCAUCAUCUUCUUGCUUUUUCUCCACCCUAUCCGCAUGCCAACACAGGAGCUUUGCUACCUUAGGGUCCGCGAAAUACCGUUGCAGACGAGGAGUGAUCGGAAAGUACCACACCACUUUUUGAGGAGCUUUCUUCCUCUUCUUGUAUCGACUAACGCCGCACACCGGACAUAUGGUAGACUCCGCGUGCUCGUCCCGAUAAAUGAUGCAAUUGUUAAUGCACACAUGGUAUUUCACGUGCGGUAAAUCCAGAGGACACACGAUUUUCUUCGCCUCCUCGAAACUGGUUGGGCACUUGUUCCCCAUGGGAAGACGUUCGUGCCAGAAUGACAUGUUCUCGUUGAAGCAUGCGUCGGUCAUUUUGUGUUUUACCUUCAUCUCCAGAGCCAUGAGCGUUACUUUCAGGCGGGUAUCCUCGGCCCUACAUCCUUCAUACAAUGGAGUAACUGCGACCAUCUCCAAUUGAUCCAGCUUGGCUUUCUCUCGGGCGGCAGCUCUUGCGUUAUCCGUCUGCUUGAGAAGCAGCUCUUGAAUAUGAGGGUCCUGCACCCAGGCCAUCGAUGGUCCAUCGUCGUCUGCUCCGGCAUCUUCAUCUUCAUGAUCAUGCCCUUCGUCUGCUCCGGCAUCUUCCUCAUCAUCAUGUCCGGCAUCUUCUACAUGAUGACUGUGUCCUGGAGAUUCUUCGUCUUCUCGCCCGCCCUCGCCGCGGUUGUCUUGCUCAUGCCCUUCCUCAUUUCUUUCCCGGCCCCCAUGGACGAAUUCAUAAUCAUCUUCAUCACCUUGCCACCGAUAGCCAUCCAUGAAACCACACAAGAGCAGGUGGUCCCGCACCUUUACGGAAUCCGGGUCCAUAAGGCUCUUCAGCUUGCAUCUUCGACACGAACAUCUUAUCUCCGUCUCGUUCUUUUGAAGCAUCUCGGCCUUCGCGGAGCUCAAAAACCUAUUCACGAUGCCUUCGGUCAUCGUGCGGACCAUGGUCGCCUACGGGGUAGAGCAAAACGAUAUUUUAGAACCAAAAAAAAUUGGCAUGACUUUGCCUAAAAAUAGGACAAAAAAGAAUGCAUAGUGCCAAAUUCUCGCCGAAACGGAAAUGAAUCAACAUUCUGGGAAAAUAUUGGCAACUAUCGCAUUUCAAAUACCGGUACCUGCAAACACAAACAUAUAUGCAACACCACAAACAUAUGCAACACAACAAACAUACGUAGAUCUAGCUAGGCCAUAAAAAGUGCAUGUGCACGUUGUUGGAGGGAGAAAAAGUAGAUCUACAACAUAAAAGCUUGGAGGAGGAGGUGGAGAGUAUGAAAGUGGGGAAAGUGGGUGUGGUAGGUGGCUGUCCAAAAUAUCUAGCUGGUCCCAGGUUACUAAUGGCGCACCACCUACAUAUGCGCCAUUAGUAACCCUGGUUACUAAUGGCGCACCUCCUCUGGUGCGCCAUUAGUAGUUCUGUAAAAAAAAUUAGUAGUGGCGCACCACCAACAGAUGCGCCAUUAGUAACACUGGUUACUAAUGGCGCACUAGCUUUGGUGCGCCAUUAGUAGUUUGCAAAAAAAAACCAAUUUUUUUAUAGUAGUGGCGCACUACUAACAGAUGCGCCAUUAGUAACCAGGUUACUAUUGGCGCACCAGGUGCUAGUGCGCCANGCGCACCUCCUCUGGUGCGCCAUUAGUAGUUCUGUAAAAAAAUAUAGUAGUGGCGCACCAAGAGUGUGGUGCGCCAUUAGUAUCCAGCACACUAAUGGCACACCUCACAUGGUGCGCCAUUACUAUAUAGUAGUGGCGCACGGCUUGUGUGGUGCGCCAUUAGUAUCUAUUUCAUCUAUAGCCCUUUUCCUAGUAGUGUCGUGAACAUCAUAUGCUUGGAAAAGAUAUAUUCAUAUAUCAACUUGGAGCUAAGUACUUAUGCUUUAUUAUUAUUGACUUUACCCAUGAGGUGAAUGGUUGGGAGGCAAACUAUAAGUCCAUAUCUUUCUCUGUGUCCAACUGAAACUUCGAUACCAUGAGUACCACGUGAGUUGUAACAAUUGUGGAAAACAAAAGAGAUGAUUGAGUAUGUGGAUUUGCUUUACAAGCUCUUAUUUGACUCUUUCUGAUAAUAUGAUAAAUUGCAAUUGCUUCAAUGACUUUGGACAGUUGUUGGCCACUUCUCGAUAAGGUUUUUGUUUCAUACUUUUCUUCGUGAAGGAAUUGUUACUUUCCCAUAAGAAUCUCUAUGAUGCAUUCACUAGUAGAAAACAUGGCUACCGUUCGGCCCUGGCCAGCCCAUUAGUCCCGGUUCUUCAAGAACCGGGACCAAUGGGGGUAUUAGACCCAGUUCGUGAGCCCAGGGGGCCGGUCGGGGCCUCGUGGGCAUUGGUCCCGGUUCGUGUGGAACCAUUUUUCCCGGUUCGAGCCACGAACCGGGACCAAUGGUCCUUGCUCAUGGCCCACAACCUUUAGUCCCGGUUCAUGCCACGAACCGGGACAAAUAACUUGCCUACAUAUAUACCCACCGCCGCGGCAGAGCACUCCACAGUGCUCUGUUUUUGUCGAGCCGGCGAGGGGAGGGCUUUUGGGUGCUCUAGUUCACCUUCGAUGCACAUGAGGUGUUCGAUGAAAUGGCCGAGCCACACUAGUUAAGCUUUCUCCUCUCGAAGCUCGACCUCUGAGCUCCAUUUUCAACGAGACUUGUCUAGAUUUAGCGGUCCAUCAUGCCCCGUCCUCGUCCCGUCUUCCCCGCCAUCGAUCGCUCGCGCCAAUCUCGUCGCCGGCACCACCGUUGUGAGCCUCUUGUUCUUAUCUUCUUUCUGAAAGAAAAAAAUUCUGACUUCAGAUAGAUACUUGUCUAAUUUUCUUACUUUCAUUAUUCCUUGUUAUUAUAUAGUGUGACGGUUUCGGUAUCCGCCCCCGUCAGUCCUCGUCCUAUCUAUGAUUCAGAUGUGGUAUAUAUUAUAUUUUCAUAACUAUUUGGUUCAUUUAUUGUUUAUGACAAUUAUGAUGACCAACUUGACAUAUAUUUUUAAUCUAGGAGGUAUGUGAACCGGAAAUUCCAGCCCACCUAGAAAUUCUUCUCGAUAACUUAACUUUGGUUGAAAAAGAAAACAAAUACUUGAAGGAAAAAUUGAAAAUAAUUGAGGAUAAGAAUAUGGAAAUGGAGUUGCAUGUUGCCGAGGUCAUUGACGAUCGCAAGAUGAAGAUCGAUGCGAUGCGGUUGAAGAUGGAUGCAAUGCGCUUGAAGAUUAGGAAUAUUAGAAAAUAUUCCAUUGAUAAUGAGGCUUGGUAUCAUUAUGUUGUUGGGUCAAUUGUUACCCUACUUGCGAUUUUGAUCGCGUUUGUUGUUGCAUUUAAAUGUUUUACAUAGUUGUAUGUUGUUUUAUGAGAGAACUUUAUGUAUUUAUUUUUCAAUAAUAACAUUUGAUCACUAUUGUGCUUUGGUUUUAAUGUGAUGAUGAACUUGUAUUAAUUUGGUCAUUUCUCUAUUCAUUUUGUUCUGCAAUGGUUUUUUGAUAUAUACUUAAUUUCAUAAUAGAGAUGAACUGCCAGUGGAUGUAUGGUGACCGACGCACUUUGGAGUACAUUACGAACCGGGACUAAUGCCCGAGUCGAAAAGGGUUGUAAAUUGAUAAUGUGGCUUUGAAUGGUGCAUUUUGAACACAGAAAAACUAUGGAGUUCAAAUAAGUUCAAAAAAAUGAAAUCCCUUUGUAACAAACGAGUUUUCCGUAUUAAACCCUGAUACUUCGAAAGAGAUUGUCCGUUUUGUACACGAAGUGCAUCCAGUUUUUGCUGUAACCCUCCCAAAUUUCUCGCACAUGCUAUGUGGGUGAAAUGAUGAUACCAUGCCAACUUGGAACCUUUUCCGAGUUAAUUUCAAAUGCUUUUCAAUUUCAUGGUCUUAUAGCUCAAAAUAAUCAGUAAAUGCAUGAAAAAUAACAAAUUAAGUUAGAAAGGGUUGUAAAUUGAUGAUGUGGCUUUGAAUGGUGCAUUUUGAACACAGAAAAACUAUGGAGUUCAAAUAAGUUCAAAAAAAUGAAUUCCCUUUGUAACAGACGAGUUUCCGUAUGAAACCCUGAUACUUCGAAAGAGAUUGUCUGUUUUGUACACGAAGUGCAUCCAGUUUUUGCGGUAACCCUCUCAACUUUAUCGUACAUGCUAUGUGGGUGAAAUGAUGAUACCAUGCCAACUUGGAACCUUUUCAGAGUUCAUUUCAAAUGCUUUUCAAUUUCAUGGUCUUAUAGCUCAUAAUAAUCAGUAAAUGCAUGAAAAAUAACAAAUGAAGUCAGAAAGGGUUGUAAAUUGAUGAUGUGGCUUUGAAUGGUGCAUUUUGAACACAGAAAAACUAUGGAGUUCAAAUAAGUUCAAAAAAAUGAAAUCCCUUUGUAACAGACGAGUUUCCAUAUGAAACCCUGAUACUUCGAAAUAGAUUGUCCGUUUUGUACACGAAGUGCAUCCAGUUUUUGCCGUAACCCUCUCAACUUUCUCGCACAUGCUAUGUGGGUGAAAUGAUGAUACCAUGCCAACUUGGAACCUUUUCAGAGUUCAUUUGAAAUGCUUUUCAAUUUCAUGGUCUUAUAGCUCAAAAUAAUCAGUAAAUGCAUGAAUAAUAACAACUGAAGUCAGAAAGGGUUGUAGAUUGAUGAUGUGGCUUUGAAUGGUGCAUUUUGACACAGAAAAACUAUGGAGUUGAAAUAAGUUCAAAAAAAUGAAAUCCCUUUGUAACAGACGAGUUUCCGUAUGAAACCCUGAUACUUCGAAAGAGAUUGUCCGUUUUGUACACAAAGUGCAUCCAGUUUUUGCCGUAACCUUCUCAACUUUCUCGCACAUGCUAUGUGGGUGAAAUGAUGAUACCAUGCCAACUUGGAACCUUUUCAGAGUUCAUUUCAAAUGCUUUUCAAUUUCAUGGUCUUAUAGCUCAAAAUAAUCAGUAAAUGCAUGAAAAAUAACAAAUGAAGUUAGAAAGGGUUGUAAAUUGAUGAUGUGGCUUUGAAUGGUCCAUUUUGAACACAAAAAAACUAUGGAGUUCAAAUAAGUUCAAAAAAAUGAAAUCCCUUUGUAACAGACGAGUUUCGUAUGAAACCCUGAUACUUCGAAAGAGAUUGUCCGUUUUGUACACGAAGUGCAUCCUGGUUUUGCCGUAACCCUCUCAACUUUCUCGGACAUGCUAUGUGGGUGAAAUGAUGAUACCAUGCCAACUUGGAACCUUGCUUUUCAAUUUCAUGGUCUUAUAGCUCAAAAUAAUCAUUAAAUGCAUGAAAAAUAACAAAUGAAGUCAGAAAGGGGUGUAAAUUGAUGAUGUGGCUUUGAAUGGUGCAUUUUGAACACAGAAAAACUAUGGAGUUCAAAUAAGUUCAAAAAAUGAAAUCCCUUUGUAACAGACGAGUUUCCGGGACUAAAGAUCGAGCGAAAUCAUGUGGCGUGACGCGCAAACACGUGGCGUGCCGCAUAUGUUAUUAGUCCCGGUUCAGGACAAAAACCGGGACUAAAGAUCCAGCGAAACCACAUGGCAUGCCGCAUAUGUUAUUAGUCCCGGUUUUAGAUACGAACCGGGACUAAAGGAUUGCCUAUAUAAACCCUCCCCCCUCCCACCCCUCUCUUGUGUUUUUGGGCGUUGAGGUGUGAGCAUGCAUUCCCUGCUCUUGCCACUCUAGCUCAUGCAUAUGAGAGAAGAAGAAUGCCGACUGUUGUUAUGGGGGUCGCUCUUCCUUCUUCUCUUUGUGCUAGAUAUUUGUUAUGCAAUAGAGGAAGAAGGAAUAGCGGCGAUCAUCGACGGUCGAAAAAUCAGGUGAGGGAGUGUCCACCAUAUAUGAGAGAAACUUUAAUAGAAAAAAUAAUUAUCAUAAAAUAAAAUUAAUAAGUAAUUAUAAACAAAAUAAAAUNNNNNNNNNNNNNNNNNNNNNNNNNNNNNNNNNNNNNNNNNNNNNNNNNNNNNNNNNNNNNNNNNNNNNNNNNNNNNNNNNNNNNNNNNNNNNNNNNNNNNNNNNNNNNNNNNNNNNNNNNNNNNNNNNNNNNNNNNNNNNNNNNNNNNNNNNNNNNNNNNNNNNNNNNNNNNNNNNNNNNNNNNNNNNNNNNNNNNNNNNNNNNNNNNNNNNNNNNNNNNNNNNNNNNNNNNNNNNNNNNNNNNNNNNNNNNNNNNNNNNNNNNNNNNNNNNNNNNNNNNNNNNNNNNNNNNNNNNNNNNNNNNNNNNNNNNNNNNNNNNNNNNNNNNNNNNNNNNNNNNNNNNNNNNNNNNNNNNNNNNNNNNNNNNNNNNNNNNNNNNNNNNNNNNNNNNNNNNNNNNNNNNNNNNNNNNNNNNNNNNNNNNNNNNNNNNNNNNNNNNNNNNNNNNNNNNNNNNNNNNNNNNNNNNNNNNNNNNNNNNNNNNNNNNNNNNNNNNNNNNNNNNNNNNNNNNNNNNNNNNNNNNNNNNNNNNNNNNNNNNNNNNNNNNNNNNNNNNNNNNNNNNCUGGGGAAAAAAUAAAAACAUUGCCACCAACUCGGCCACCACGGCCUGAAUACGACUAGAAAACCAUCCAUGGGCCAGGAUUCACGCCCGCAGUAGGUCCAGAAGGCCCAUCACGCAAAGCAUUAGCAAGUAGGCACGUAAGCCUGCAGUGGAGAGGAGCUCGAGAGGGGUGCGGCAGUGGGGCUUAUAAACCACUGCGCGCCCCUCUCAACUAGCGAGGUGGGACUAAACAUUGGCCGCGACGCGGGUAGCACAGGGGCCUUUGGUACCGGUUCGUGGCACCAACCGGUACCAAUGCCGACCCUUUAGUCCCGGUUGGUGCCACCAACCGAGACCAAAGGUCACUUUUCAGCAGCCCAAAGGGCGGGAAGCGGCGGCCUUUCGUCCCGGUUGGUGGCACCAACCGGGACUACAGGGGGAAUUGGUACCGGUUGGUGCCACGAACUGAUACCAAUGGCUUUGCUAUAUAAGCCAGCAGUUGUGAAAAUUUCGUCAGUAUCUUCGAUUCCUCCGACGACGACGCCAGGCUGNGUUCUCUAUGCAUAUAAAAGUUAGAUUUUUAGUACAUUUGGGUACAUUUUAGGUUAGUUUUAUCUAUAUAUGUUCUCUGAUUUAGUACAUUCUAGGUUAGUUUCAUUUUUUAAAAAGUUUUAUAUAUUUAGGAAAAGAAGGAAGAGAAGGAAGAAGGAAGAANNNNNNNNNNNNNNNNNNNNNNNNNNNNNNNNNNNNNNNNNNNNNNNNNNNNNNNNNNNNNNNNNNNNNNNNNNNNNNNNNNNNNNNNNNNNNNNNNNNNNNNNNNNNNNNNNNNNNNNNNNNNNNNNNNNNNNNNNNNNNNNNNNNNNNNNNNNNNNNNNNNNNNNNNNNNNNNNNNNNNNNNNNNNNNNNNNNNNNNNNNNNNNNNNNNNNNNNNNNNNNNNNNNNNNNNNNNNNNNNNNNNNNNNNNNNNNNNNNNNNNNNNNNNNNNNNNNNNNNNNNNNNNNNNNNNNNNNNNNNNNNNNNNNNNNNNNUUUUUCUUAUUUUUUUCUUCGAUUGCUUCUCUUCUAUUCCUUUCUUCUUCUCCUCUUUUUAUUUCUUCUUUUGUCUUCUUAUUUAUUAUCGGGUAUGUCGUUGUCGAUAUACCCCCUCCCGAUCGAACUUCAACACGAGGGGGGGUACCGAUAUACCCCCUCCCCGAUAACAUUAUUUUCCCAUGUAUAUGUAUGUCGCGUCGUUGUCGAUAUAACCCCCAACCGGAUAAGUUCGACAUGAGGGGCGGUCGAUAUAUAUACCCACUCUCGACCGUGAUAACUUAUACCACGGGAGCACCCCCCUCGGCCCUCUCGCUCGACCAAAACCCUCGAGGACACCAAAACCCUAGAGAAAAAACGAUGUUGGUCUCCUACCCCCUCCCGCCGCACCCCUACCCGACAAACUCUCUCGAGGCCACCCAAAUUUACCAAGUUAAAAGAACGUUGUCAUCGAGGCCACCCCAAACCCUUGAAGUGUUGUGUCGAGGCCACCCCAAACCCUUGAAGCGUUGUCUAGGCCACCCCAAACCCUAGAGAAGCAGCGUCGAGGCCACUAACAUGAUUCCUUAUUGUGAUUAGCUAUCUAGUUCUACGUUUUCCACUAAUAUAUAUCCAUCUGUACCAUGUUUGAAUAAUAAUUGACAUGUUGUAAAUACUUGCAGAAACUAUGGAUCACUCCCGAGAGGAAGAGGAAGAAGCGAUGUUGGGGGAGAUAAUCGCACAAGGAAGUGAUGUCAUUGCGUCAUUUCUCAGAGACACCGAUGGUCUCGAAGGACCGGGUGAAGAAGAGGGCUAUGUUCAUGAUGAUCUGGAAGGACCGGGUGAAGAAGAGGGCGUUCAUGAUGAUCUGGAAGGACCGGGUGAAGAAGAGGGCGUUCAUGACGGCUCUGUUGACCGAACCGAGUCCGGCCAGGUAUAUAUAUAUUAGUUAAGCCCGUGCUGACUAGUUAAUUGAUGCAUUCAUUGUUUUCAUAUGUACACAUAUUAAUUAACUCUCGUCUUUCUUCUUUUUUCUCUAGCCCUCCGGAUCGACCUCAACUUCGGUAAAGAAACAAGGCCCGAAGAAAAAGUUGCGCUCGGAUGAAAGGUUUGAGAUCACAGCAAUCGCGCGCGAUGGCAAGCCGAUUGAACCAAUCCGAACAAGGGGUGCAUUUCGUGCUUAGUGUGGGGUUCUUGUUAGGGACAAGAUCCCGAUCAAUAUCCAACAAUGGUUAAAGCCAAAGAAGGAAGACCCUGAGGUGCCGACGUCUUAUGUCUCUGAUAAACAGAAAGAAGAUCUUUGGACAACGCCUAAGGAAAAUUAUACCCUACCGCCAGAGGAGGAUCCAGAGAAGCCAGUUAAAGAGGAAUUGAUCAAGUCUCAUUCCCUUAAGAAGAUGGCAGAACUAUUCAGGAGGUGGAAGAAUGAGCUGAAAACGUUUGCAGACAAAGAAGAGACACCAGAAUUCACCGGCCGGUUUGAGAAGAUCAGAGAUCAAUGGCCCGCAUUUGUGGCCCACAAGGCAUCGGAAAAGAGUAAGAAGAUGUCAGCGACAAACAAGAAAAAUGCUGCGAAGAAGAAGCAUCACCAUCGCACGGGGUCAGGUGGUUAUCUCAAAGCCCGACCUUUGUGGGACAAGGCUGAGAAUGACCUGAUUGCUAAAGGGGUCGAACCAGAGACAUUGAGAUGGCCAGACCGUUGCCGGACUUGGUUCUUCGGGGCUGGUGGAACCUUGGACCCUGUAUCAGGGGAGUGCGUUUGGACGGAAGAGCAACUGCGAAUACCCGUCAGGAAGCUUCAACACUAUAUCGCGGCAGCACGGGAAGGGGCGUUCAUUCGAGACAGAGAGAAUGACGAGCUCACAAUGGCCCUCGGGAAUCCUGAGCACUCUGGACGGACACGAGGCACGCCAGGCUCCCUUCCGUGGAAGGCUGGGUUUCCGGACGGAGGGGGUUACAAAACCCAGAGAGGAGGAAGAAAGCGUAGCAUAGCCAACUGCACGCGUUGCACGAAAGGGUACAAGGGCUAGAGGAAUGAGAAGCAGAUCGCAGCAAACGACCUGCUGAAGCUUCCCCUGAAGCUACCCCGCCAUCUCAGUGGAUAAGCAGUGUGGCUUCCACCGAGCAAACUCAGCAGCUGGAGCCUGUCUCCACGUGCUACCCCGUGGAUGCUAUCACAGAGUCUCAACAUUGCUACCUUAUGACGCAAUGGAUGACAUUCAAAGUCAAGGUGGUUGUUGGCUCUGUUAUACCUAAUGAACCUGGCUCAACCUACCACGGCCAGCCGAUUCCAGAAGGAUAUGCUAGGGUGAUGGUGGAUCAAAUAAUGGAAGGAUUUGAGGACCUUGAGCUUCACCACCCUACGGGUGAAGGGGAGAUUUGGCUGGGUUCUUCUCUGAAGACUCCAUGCCUAUGGCGGAAGGAGAUCAUCCACCUUCCAAACUGGACGCCUCCGCCUCCUCCUCCUCCCCCUGUGACUCAGGAUCCGCCUCCUCCGGCGAGUGAUCGGGGCACUCAGCCUCCUUCUCCGGCGCGUGACGGCACUCUGCCUCCUUCUCCGUCUGCGCCGCCGCGCCCGAGCAGCCAGCUGCCUCCUCCUUCUCCGCCUCGUCAACAAGGGCUGAAGAGACCCGCCGCCGCUCCGGCUCCUCCGACGCGUAGUCCUUCUCCUUCGCCUGGUAAUAAAGGAACGACAGUCGCAGCCGCUCCGUCUGCUCCGACGUGUAGCAAUAUAGCCAGAGGCAGGCAAUACAAAUACGGUCCUUCUCUGAAGCCUCUAGAGAAGUUACCAAACGAGAGGAGCCCGGAGGAAAACGAGAAGAUCGUGGAAGCCGAAGUGAAGAACUUCUUCGAAAGGGUGAAAGCAAAAAAACAUCCACCUUCGGAGGAGAAGAUAGAUCCGGUAAAAGCAAAGCGUACUCUGGCUGCUCUGAAGAAACCACCAAAGUCUCCGACGAAAGGCAACUAUGAGCGCAUUAUUACAAAGUCAUUUAUCGAAGCGCAGCGGUCGGGGAGUACUGUCAGUGAUCAAAGGUUAGCAGAACGACGAGCUGGGAAAAAAGUUGCCCAGCUCGGCGAACAAGCGAACCAAUCGUUCCCCCCGCUCAAGGUGUCUAGCGAUAUCAUCGCUAAUCAUCCGGGGAUCUUGUUCCCCGGUACCAAUCCUGCAGAUUACCUGCCCGAUGAUGCACAUUUUGAUUUAUUGGAGGUGGACUAACACAAAUACUUGUACGGGAAGCCUCUCGUCAAAGAUGAAAGAUCUCUAACAAUGAUGAUGCGAAGAUUCCAUGAUUGGUACAUGAAAACUUGCAAAGAGUCUGGGGGGACUGAUAUUUUGACGCUGGGAGUUAGAAAGGAGCAUGACCUCGUUGGACUUGAACUGUUGAUGGUUCCAUUUGAGGAGUUCUUCCCGUUUUUCAAUCUAAAGGCCCUCGAUAAAUUAACGAUCACUUGCUACUACCUGUAAGUAGUACUACUUCUGUCAUUAAGUCUCUAUAUAUAGGUCAGCUCUUUCAUUGCAUGUAUUUUUAAUUAUCCUCACUAUAUUAUAUGCAGAUUGAAGAUCGUCGAAUUGAAGAAAAGACAAAUCGGUGAUAUUGGGUUCAUUAACACAAAUCUCGUAGAUGCAUUUAUGAUUAAAUCUCAGGCCAAAGAUACCGAGGCAACCUUCUACAAUCGUUUGUAUUGAAUCAAAACAAAGCUAUAAUACUCUUCCCUUACGAAUUCCAGUGAGUGUUACUGUCUUGUGCAUAUUCGGUUUCCCUUAUUAGUCAAGGUUAUUGUAAUGUAAUUCAUGAGUUAUGCAUGUGUGCGCAGCUUCCACUAUAUUCUCCUAGAGAUUAAGCUUCAGCAGGGACUAGUAACCGUCUUAGACUCGAGACGAAAAGAUCCCAACGAGUAUGCAGACAUGACUGAAAUUCUAGAGAAGUAAGUUAAAUCGAUCAUUAUCGCACACUACAACAAAACAAACUUUAAGUAACACAAUCACAUUUUUGAGGUAAAACAAAGGUAAUGUUAAUACAUGGCUAUAUUAUUGCUUGUCAGUUGAAACUUUCGUAUUAAUAUUUCGGUUUGCAGAGAAUCCAAUUCAAUGGACCUGUUGAGGCAUGCUCGUCUAUGUAACAUCACAUUUUUUUCAGGAAAUUAAUUUAUCAUGUCCUCUAGACAAGGUUUUGCCUACAGUUACUCUUACUCACGUCACAACAUUGAAUAUAAAAUAGUUACUUGCUUACCACUGUUGUGUCAUACAAUUAUAUUGGCGAGCAUGAUGUCAACCAAUUACAAAUUCAGGAAAAUUCAUCAUCGCCACAAGACCUCGUUAUCGAUUUUGGGCUAGAGGUAAUUGUGUGCUUUUGUGUUUUGAAGGUGCAGCUUUGUGUAGCUUCAACAUAUGAAUAUCAUUCAUCUAAUACUAUUGUCUAUUUGUAGGUGAUGAAAACAAGGGAUCUUACGCAUGAAUAUUUUUCAAGACUGAACCACACCCAGCUCAUGCUAAAAAAAACGUACUUAUUUGAUCAAAGUAAAGAUCAGCCAAUGGCCAUCGUUUACUGCACCCAUAUUUCCAACCCAAACCACAUUAUCAUGCCUCUUUGAAAAAUGUAUUUUGUUACAAAUUUUGCUCAAUCUGUUAUAUGCAAGUAAAGGAUAAAUUUAACCAAGCAUGAGCUAGUGAGGUGACCUUGUGUAUUAGACUUCGAUGCCGGGUCCAGUUUAUUUAGGUUGUUGGGCACCUAUGCGGGGCUGACAUAAAAAAGAGAGCAUAUUGUUCAUGAAAAUUAUAUUAUCAUUAUCGCUCAAUGCUAAUAUGGAUCAUAAUAUAUGCAGGUUCCCAAGUAGUUUUAAAUACAAGUGGAAUGUUGCGUAUGGUACUAUUCCAACAAGUGGAAUGUUGUGCAUGGUACUAUUCAGAGUAUUGAUCCAAGAAGUAAGGCUCGUGGUAUUGAGUUAGGUGCUGAAUUUUCCCUUGUGCGCAUAGAUCAACCUAUUCUUAAUCAUGAGGAGUUGGUAAGGGUAGUUCUUCACUACAAGAUAAUUGGUGAUCCUUUCUCUUCAGGAUACUUAAUUGUUUGGCCGUCAUCUUUUGUAAGUUCAAAUCUUGUCUUCCACAUUCUGAAUACAUAUUAUUGUACAUUUAGUCACAUAUAUCCAAGGUGCAAUUCUCUUUUACAGAUUCGAGAGAAGGAUAAUUGAGUUGCAACUGAAUUCUUGGAUCUAGAAGCAAACAAAAUUUCAAGAUUUUAACUACCAAUAGUCGUAGUUUUACAUUCAUAGAUUGCAAAAUGUAAUAUCAUCCACAAGAUCUUUUUCUUUUAUUGAAUUGAUGCAAGUGCUAUGCUGUAAUAUUCUUCAAAGUUGUGUUUUUUAUUCUGAGAGUGAUAUGUAUGAUAUCUUUAUUAUAAUACAUAUGUAUCAUGCACUCAUAUAUCUCUCUAAAAUAUCUUCAUGUUUUGAAUUUACAUAUGUGUUGUGCUUCAAUUUCUAUAUCAUUUUGAUGAUGCCAAGCAUAAUAAUAAAAUGAUUAACUGCGCAAUUGCAUUCGUUUUAUUAAAUAUAAUCAUACUCCAUAAAAUGGGUACAAAUUUUAUGGUUAAUAAUAAAAAAAGUACAUCAAUUAUGUUACCAUAUUGAUACAAUAGUGUUACUGAUGGUGUUACUAUAGUUACAUAAAAUGUUACUAGAGUAGGUGACAACUAAAAAUUAUAGUGUUACGAUAUUUGGAUACUGCGUUACUAGUUGUGUUUCGACGACAAAAAAAUGUGUUACCAGUUGUGUUACUAUAGUUACAGAAACAUGUUACCAUUAAUGUUUUACACCUGUGAAAACAUGUUACUAUGGGUGUUACUGCAUUUACAAAAAAGUGUUACCAGUGUGUUUUGUAACACAUAAUAUGGAUGUUACUAUAAUGUAAAAUGUAACACAUUUUUUAAUAUAUGGUAAUGAUUACUAUGUGUGACCGUUGAAAUAACUUUGUAACACGGUCUAACGGAACACAUUUUAAAUUGUGUUACCAUAUGACCUAGUGAAAAGACCUCGAUGACGCCUAGAGGGGGGUGAAUAGGCUAUUUAAAAACUUCUUCGGAUUUGGCUUAAACCUAAUGCGGAAAUAAACUAAGAGGAUACUUGUCAAGCACAAAUCCUAAAUGCACUAGGCACUGCAACGUGUAUCAACAACACGAUCUACCAAGAUGGACAAAACAUAGUUACUAACAAGCACAAGUAAGUUACACAAACUUACUUGAGCUAUAUCACAUGACAAGUAGGUGAACAACACAAGAUACUAGAUCACACUAGCACACGAUAUAUCAAAAGCUGCAAGUGUGAACGUGUGGAUAUAGAAGGUAUGCUUGAAUGAUUAAUCUUGUACAAGAAAUAGCCAACACAAUAUAAUGAGCACAAACAAUAUGCAAUGUAUGUAUGCUCAAGUAACACAAGUAAACCACAAGUAAGGAGUUAGGGUUAAGGAUAACCAAGGUCACAGAGACGAAGAUGUAUCCCGAUGUUCACUUCCUUGGAGGGAAGCUAGUCACCGUUAGAGAGGUGGAUGUUACCACAAAGGCACACCAACGCCACGAAGGCUCACCCUAUUCUCCCUUUGAGAUAACACCACGAAGGAGUUUCUCAACCACUAGUGGUAAGCCUUUCAGGUGGCUUCCAAACCCUCACAAACUUUUUCGGGGGGUAAUCACACGGAUUGAUUCCUCUCCGAAGUACUCCUACCGCCUAGGAGUCUCCAACCUCCAAGAGUAACAAGAUCACAGGGAAUGCUCAAAACUUGCUCAAAUCUCAAAUAGCUUGGGUUGAGAGAAGGAGAGGGAGACGACCUAUCUUUUGAUUGGAACAACUCUCGAAGGGGCUCACAAAUGCUCUUGAGAUCUAAGAUUUGGUGUGAGCAAAUAUGUGUGAGGUAGAAAUGAGUUCUUAUGAGGAUAAGGCUGUGUUGGGGCCCCCUCUCACGAAGUGGGAGGGGGUAUUUAUAGUGAGGAGAGAAAAACACCCGUUGGGGACACUUUAAGUCACACAGGGGUCGGACAUCCGGCAGUUUACGGAAGUCCGGGCGUCCGCAAGGGGUCAGACGUCCGACAGGGGUCGGUCGUCCGAGAGCUGUAGAUAUGUCUCGAAACACUGUGAGUUGAACAGGGACCGGACGUCCGGAGAAGGCCGGAAAUCCGAGUUAUUCGACUCAACUUCUUCUGGUGCAAGGUUCCGGAUUUCCGAAAGUGGACGGACAUCCGGCCCUCGGACGUCCGGAGGGAGCCGGAAGUCCGAGUUAUAUGGCUCAAGUUCUUCUGGUGCAAAGCUCCAGAUUUCCAAAGCUGGUCGGACGUCCGGCCCUAGGACGUCCGGAGGGAGCCAAAAAUCCGAGUUAUAGAGCCCAUGUUCUUUUGGUGCAGGGCUCCAGAUUUCCUAAGCUGGUCGGUUGACCGGCCCUCGGAUGUCCGGAGGGAGCCGGAAAUCCCAGUUAUAGGGAUCAAGUUCUUCUGGUGCAGGGCUCCGGAUUUCCGAGGCCUGUCGGUCGUCCGACCCUUGACCGGCCCUCGGAAGUCCGGAGGGAGCCGGAAGUCCGAGACAUUAGACCAGUUUUGAGAUAGGAGCAGAGUAGAGAAUAUGUGUUAUUGAGCAGAAUAGUGGAUAUCUAGUUUGAGCAAGUUCAUCACAAAAACCUAUGAUCCCCUCUUAAUAGUGCGGGAUCCCUAAAGACUCAAGAAUUGUAACAGGGAUACCGAUGAUCCAUACUUGAGUGUGUACUUUUAUUCGCUGAUCAUCACUCCGCACCGCUAACAUCAAAGUAACUGAUACCUUGAGUUAGCCCUUUCACUUGAGCUUGAUGUUGUUGUUCGUUCUUGGCUCAAGUUGAAAGCAAGACAUGAUGAAGUCUUCAAGUAGCUCUCCCAUACACAAUGUGGAAAGCCUAGCUUAUGUAUUCAUCUUCAUUUGUCCAUCAUGUGAACAUCCACAAGAAUCAAGCAUGUAGUGCUCAGGAAUGCUUAUCUUGAUCUUGUCCUUGUUAGCACAUGAGCUUGUCCUUAUCAACACAUGAUCAUUAACAAUAGUUUCAAUGAUAUAUUCGUGCUGAUCCACUUGAACUUGCACACCACAAUCUUGAUGACGAUCACCACUUGACGUCAUCCUUCAUGGGUUGUAUGAGAUCUUCCUUUUGACGCAAGCCCAUGGAAGCACACCUAACCCCCACAUAGGACUCUCACAAAGACCAUGCGUUAGUACACAAACAUGUAAUGGACAAUGCUUACCAUACCAUGGGAUCACUUGAUCCCUCUCGGUACAUCUUAUACGCUUUGUGUGUUGAUCAUCUUGAUUUACUCUUUGUCUGAGAUCUUGAUCAACCUAGUGUCUCUAUGACCAUUCUUUGGAUAAUACCUUGAAUACCAUCUUGGUCAUCAUAUAAACUCCUUGAACCCAACAGAUGGACUUCAAGAAGUGCCUAUGGACAAAUCCUAUAAAUAUAACUUAAGGCAACCAUUAGCCCAUAGGAAUUGUCAUCAAUUACCAAAACCACAUAUGGAGAUAUAUGCUCUAACACCUAGUAACACACUUUUGGGCUUGUAGUAACACAAGACAGUGUUACAAAAGCUCUGUCAUGUCGUAGUGGCACCAUAUCGGCAACUUUGUUCAUUUCCUGAUAUCAAGUAAUUGUUUUCUUUGUCUGACAGGGUUUGGAAAAAAUUCACCGCAAAAACUCCGGGACUGCCGAAGAAGCUGCAAUUUAGACACCCGAAAGUAAGUACUAUAGUAGCAUGUUUCACGCAUCUCCUAGUGAUUCAAGCGCUAGUUUCAUCAAUACCAUUUAGCAUGCUUGCUAACUAUCAGUUUGAUUGACCUCUAUUUCUUGUAAAGUGGUUGUGGCAGGAACCAGGGAAUGAUUACAGUGGAUACUACAUUUUCGAGUCCAUCCGCCACGUGACCUGUGAGCGGGGCUACUCUGACAAACAAUAUGACGUGCGUAAAUAAUAAUAUUCACAAUUUUAUUUUAUUACCAUCAUUUGUGUUCAGUUUCAUUUAUUCAUAUAUAGGUAUUGACCCCCUUCUUCAAAUUAGAUAUAUCGGAUGCGGAAUGAACUCCUACCAGCAGAUCGUAUGCGAGGAAUUCAAGAGGAAUUGGCGGCAUUCUUUCUUGACCACGUGAUCGCUAAAGACGGAGAAUACCAUGUGAACCCUAACGAGUUGAAUUUUAAUUAGGAGAUUAUAUUGUAAGAGAUAAUUAUAUUGUAUAUAUGUAGCCAGUAGCGUUGGAUAGAUAUACGAGAACUUGUUGUUCGACCAAUCUCUCAGAGAAGGAGAGGUGGUCGAUAUCACUUCUCUUUGUAUGCAUAUGUUCAUGACGAUCUUCUGUUUCCUUCAUUUGCUUACUAGCUAGUGUGUCUAGUCCUCUCUAUACGUAUAGUAUGCAGCAGCGACCAAGCACGGAGAUAAGAGAUGACACUUCUCUCUAUUCAUUAGCUAGCUAACACAAUAUAUGAAACACCUAAAUUAACCCCCCAAAACCCCCAAACCCCCCCCCUUUCAAAAAAAAACCAUCACCUGAAAUGGUGACGCGUGGAUGCCUUUUGGUCCCGGUUGGUGUCACCAACCGGGACUAAAGGCCCCCCUGCCCGGGCUCGCCGCACCGGCCACGUGGAGGCCCAUCUGUCUUGGUUCGUGUAAGAACCGGGACUAAAGGCCAAGGGCAUUAGUAACGACCUUUUAGUCCCGGUUCCGAAACCGGGAUAGAAGGCCCUUACGAACCGGGACAAAAGGCCCUUUUUCUACUAGUGAUUGUUGUUCUAUGUGUGAUCAUAAUGCCCUCAUGUCCAUAUUUUGUUUUAUCGACACCUUCAUCCCUAAACAUGCGGACAUGUUUUGGGUCUUGGUUUUCGCUUGAGGACAAGCGAGGUCUAAGCUUGGGGGAGUUGAUACAUCCAUUUUGCAUCAUGCUUUUAUGUUGAUAUUUAUCGCUUUUUGGACUGUUAUUAUACUUUGUGGAACCUUACUUAUGCCUUUUCUCUCUUAUUUUGCAAGGUUUAUUUGAAGAGGGAGAAUACCGGCAGCUGGAAUUCUGGACUGGAAAAGGAGCAAGUCUGAGUCCUCUAUUCUGCGCAACUCCAAACGCCCUGAAAAUCAACUGAUUCUUUUUGGAUUUUAUAAAAAAUACUGGGUGUAAGAAGUGUUAGAGGGGAGCAACCAGGGGCCCACAAGCCUAGUUGUCGCGGCCUACCCUCCUGGUCGCGGCAACAGGGCUUGUGGGCACCCUGGCGGCCCAUUGGCCCCCCUCUUUUGCUAUAUGAAGGGUUUCGUCCGGAAAAAAAUCAGGAGGGAGCUUUUUUGUGGAUUCUCCGCCCCCACAAGGCGGAACUUGAGCAGAUCCAAUCUAGAGCUCCGGCAGGACGAUCCUGCCGGGGAAACUUCCCUCCCGAAGGGGGAAAUCGUCGCCAUCGUCAUCACCAACACUCCUCUCGUCGGAGGGGAGGCAUCUCCAUCAACAUCUUCAUCAGCACCAUCUCCUCUCCAAUCCCUAGUUCAUCUCUUGUAACCAAUCUCCGUCUCGCGACUCCGUUGGUACUUGUAAGGUUGCUAGUAGUGUUGAUUACUCUUUGUAGUUGAUGCUAGUUGGAUUACUUGGUGGAAGAGNAAGGUUUAUUUGAAGAGGGAGAAUACCGGCAGCUGGAAUUCUGGACUGGAAAAGGAGCAAGUCUGAGUCCUCUAUUCUGCGCAACUCCAAACGCCCUGAAAAUCAACUGAUUCUUUUUGGAUUUUAUAAAAAAUACUGGGUGUAAGAAGUGUUAGAGGGGAGCAACCAGGGGCCCACAAGCCUAGUUGUCGCGGCCUACCCUCCUGGUCGCGGCAACAGGGCUUGUGGGCACCCUGGCGGCCCAUUGGCCCCCCUCUUUUGCUAUAUGAAGGGUUUCGUCCGGAAAAAAAUCAGGAGGGAGCUUUUUUGUGGAUUCUCCGCCCCCACAAGGCGGAACUUGAGCAGAUCCAAUCUAGAGCUCCGGCAGGACGAUCCUGCCGGGGAAACUUCCCUCCCGAAGGGGGAAAUCGUCGCCAUCGUCAUCACCAACACUCCUCUCGUCGGAGGGGAGGCAUCUCCAUCAACAUCUUCAUCAGCACCAUCUCCUCUCCAAUCCCUAGUUCAUCUCUUGUAACCAAUCUCCGUCUCGCGACUCCGUUGGUACUUGUAAGGUUGCUAGUAGUGUUGAUUACUCUUUGUAGUUGAUGCUAGUUGGAUUACUUGGUGGAAGAGUUUAUGUUCAGAUCCUUGAUGCUAUUCAUUACACCUCUGAUCAUGAUUAUGAUUAUGCUUUGUGAGUAGUUACUUUUGUUCGUGAGGACAUGGGAUAAGUCAUGCUAAUAAUAGUCAUGUGAAUUUGGUAUUCGUUCGAUAUUUUGAUAUGAUGUAUGUUGUUUUUCCUAUAGUGGUGUUAUGUGAACGUCAACUACAUAACACUUCACCAUAUUUGGGCCUAGAGGAAGGCAUUGGGGAGUAGUAAGUAGAUGAUGGGUUGUUGGAGUGACAGAAGCUUAAACCCCAGUCUAUGCGUUGCUUCGUAAGGGGCUGAUUUGGAUCCACUAGUUUAAUGCUAUGGUUAGACGUUGUCUUAAUUCUUCUUUCGUAGUUGUGGAUGCUUGCGAGAUGGGUUAAUCAUAAGUGGGAUACUUGUCCAAGUAAGGGCAGUACCCAAGCGCCGGUCCACCCACAUAUCAAACUAUCAAAGUAACGAACGUGAAUCAUAUGAACAUGAUGAAACUAGCAUGACAGAAAUUCUGUGCGUCCUCGGGAGCGCUUUUCCUCUUAUAAGACUUUGUUUAGGCUUGUCCCUUGCUGCAAAAGGGAUUGGGCCACUUCCUGCACCGUUGCUACUACUUGUUACUUGUUACUUUUCGCUUGCUACGUUUCACCUCACUACACCAUCACUUGUUACCGCUACUUUCAGUGCUUGCAGUUAUUACCUUGCUGAAAAUCGUUUAUCAGAGCCUUCUCCCCCUCGUUGGGUUCGAGACUCUUACUUAUCAAAAGGACUACGAUUGAUCCCCUAUACUUGUGGGUCAUCAUCACCUACCAGUUAGAGCUACCAUCCGAAUUGUCAGAUGUGCAUGAUGUCUUUCAUAUCUCACAGCUAAGAAAGUGUAUUGCACCUCCAAUUAAGCAAGCAGAUAUGAGUGAGCUAGAAUUGGCUAAGGAUCUGACCUCUGAGGAGAAACCUGUCAGAAUCUUGGAUGAGGUGGAAAGAACUACCAGAAGUAAGGUGUUUAAGUUUUAUAAAGUACUGUGGGAACACCAUACUGAGGAAGAAGCUACAUGGGAGAGAGAAGAUUUCUUGAGAUUCGCAUAUCUAGACUUGUUCCCACAGCAACCGAAUCUCGAGGACGAGAUUCAUCCUAAGGGGGGUAGGUUUGUAACGCCCUGAUUUCUCAAAGCUUUUCUUUUCAAAAUAUUUUUGAAAAGCACUUGCAAUUUGGUUGAUUUUCAAGUUCUCAAAGCAAGUUGGAUUAAGAAAUCUUUGAAUUCUUGUCUCCAACAACCCAAAACCAUUUGCUUCAUACUCAAACCCUUCUGAGAUUUAUUUGCAAUAUUUUAUUUUUCUAAAUAAUUCAUUUUCCUAUUUUGGGAAUUAUGGCAACACUAUGGGUUGUGAAGCAACCCCUAGCUUGGAUGAGCUUUAAGUCCCAAAAAUUUUACUGCAUCUUCUCAUUGCCAUAUGAUUUCAAAAUAUGCAAAAAUAUUCCUUUGUCCAAUGGAGAAUUUUGGCCAGAAUAAUCAUUUUCAUUAUGAGUAGAACUUCCCCUUUGUGAAGCAACCCCUUGUUUCCUAUCUUGGAAAAUUCCAAAUAAAUUCAUGUAGUUACUAGAGAUCAUAUAUAGUUCCAAUAUGUAAAAACAUCCCAUGGUCCAAUACAAAUUUUGAGCAAAACAACUCUGCUAAGUUUCUAUUAACAGUGAACUCUUGUGAAGGAAGUGCUAGCUAGGAGUGCACAUUGGAGCUACAAAUUUUUGGGCAUCUGGGCACCACCAAAUGACUCUUCCCCACCAAAGGACGCUAGUAGCAAAGCUUGCAAUUGAGUGCUAGGAGCUCAUUUGUGUUCUGGACCAGAAAGGUGGUUUACAAAGGAACUAUAUUCAUUUGAUCUUCAAACCUUGCCAAACGUUGCCAGUUUAGAGUCUUUUCUAUGCUGAAUCCACCAGACAACAUCUCUUGCUCCAAUCCUUAUCCAUUUGAGCUCUAGAACCACCCAAACCUUGCUGGUAGAAACUGUUUUUGAUGCUCCAAGUCAAUGGUGAUGUUGUGUGAUCAAGCCAGCCAUGGGGAGUGACUAAUAAAGGGUCUAUCGACGCUAGAGACAAGGUGGCCAGGCUUGUGUGGCACCAGGGUGGCCAGAACCAUGGUGACCAUGCCACUGGCAUGCCACAGAGCGCGCUCUGCGCAACUCCAGUGACAGCCGAGCCGUCCCGAGUGGUCACACCCUGCCCCUCCUUGUCCUGAGCAUGGAUGAGCCCCCUGGCAGACGCGUGGCACCCCUCGAAGGUGUUGGGCCGCCAGAGAGCGCUGCCGCCGCUCCUGACCAAGCUCUGGCACAGGGCCGAGUUGUCGCCUCCGGCCACUGGGCCAGUCCACAUGCCAUUUAUGGCCAGGACCCAUCCCAUCGCGUCCCUGCCCUCCUCAGUCACCUCCAUGCACUCUGCGACGGCCAACUCAGCUCCUCGGCGACCGUGCCCGAGCCUAUCCUCACCACUUGGGGAGAAAUCGGUCGAGCUCGUCCCCGGCCUAUUUAAGGAGGAGCCCUACCUCUCCGAGCUCUCCAUCCCCCUCCUGCUCAUCCAGAUCGAGCUCCCGAAGAGCGAGCCAAGGCCCGAAGGCCCUCUGGCCUCAGAGCAUCACCGAAGUACUGCCGCCACCACCUCACCGUCCACAUCCUUCUCCCCAGCACCCAGAGCCAAAUUGAUUCCUCCAGUAGGUUCAGUGAGUCCUUCUGGUGCUCCUCGACCUCUCUCCCGAGCUCAUUUCCCCCUCAAACGCCAUCUCCGAUGAUCUCCUGAAGUUGCCGCCGCCAGAGAAGAAGGGGACGAUGUCGUUUGUCCACCUCUAGCCGAGCUGAUCGUACGUGCGAGAUCGCCGUGGACUGCCCGUUCCUUCCCGCUCAUUCCCUGGCGUCACCGUCGUCUCUAUCACCGGCGACCAUCGCCGGCCGGCUGCCUCGCCUCUGUCUCCCUCCUCUCCCUUCUGUUUAAAUCGGGCAGGCCCCACCUACCAGGGGCUGUGGCCUGCGGCCGAAGCGUUAAGUGGAGGCGCCCCUCCAGUUUACGUCUUCGACGUGGCCCUCCCCAGGUUUUCUUUUCUUUUUACUAUUUCAGUUUUUAACAGAAACUUUGACUGUUUAUAUCUUUUUAUCUAUAAGUCCAAAUCAUUUGAUUCUUUUUGCAUUGGGUUUGUAUUGAAAUUCUUUACAAUCUGGUAAAAUUUUGAAUUUUUCCCACACUCAAAGAAUUUCUGGUUAAUAAAAAGGUAUUUAAUGUUUUUCCUUUUCUUUUGCUAUUUCAAAUACAUUUUCAGAAGGAAACUUUGAAGACCAGGAGUGUUUGAACAACCCCACUGAUCAAGGCAAGCCAUUAUAUCCAUGUGAUGUAGUUUUGCAUAGCAUAGCUCACGUCCACAUGCAUUAAAAUUACUUAACUUGCUAAGAAAUAAUGAUUUAAUAAAUGAUCAUAUAGAUACACAUGUUUAUGAUUAUGAGUUACUAUGGUUGCGAUGAUAUGGUGGAUGAUCAUGAGUCACCUGACCGGGCAUAACCAUACAACCACCUCUUGACGGUAUGGGAAGGCCGUAACUUGGGCUGUCCGCAUGAUCUCUCACCGAUAUGCCCCAAAAAGGGAGGGUUAUGCAUGCGUGCCACCUUGGCCCGGUGGGCAGUGAUAACUCUGUGAGCCCAGUUAAGUUGAGUUGGGCCAGUCCCCGUUUGGGACAGUUUGUUUGGCCACGACGGUGGCAGGUGUCAUGAGGACACAGGUGUCACGAGGACACAGGGCCACCCAGGGCAGGACUCCAGAAGGGAGUGGUUGCCGGGGAUAUGAUGAGAGAUUCACGGGUCAGGCAAGUCUCGUUGGAGAAAUGUUGGUCCACCCGAAUGGGAUCACGAGGUGAGUGCUCCAUGGUGUGGGUAAAGUGUGCAACCUGUGGAGGGUGUAAAAACUAUUCGAAUAGCCGUGUCCACGGAAAUGGAUGGCCCGACCAGACCUCAGUAGAUGGUCACCCGUGUGGAUGUUAGUAAUGAUGGAAGAACUCUCCAUUGAGUGGAGAUGCUUGAUGAGCAUUCCGGUGGUUGUGAGAAAACCCCGGACAUGAGUAAGUGGUUGUUACAAAGUCAAGUGGUACUAAUUAUAAUUUGUUGCCAUGCUAUUGUUUGCUGCAUUGCUUGGUUAUUAUGAGCUUGCGAGUACAUUCAAAGUACUCACCUGACGUAUCAUGCCAGAUGCAGGAGAAGCCAAGGACGGAGGUCCUGAUGAUGCGUUCUAGGAAGUGUCCACUGCAGUGUCCCUGUGUAUGGAGUUGCCGCUAUAUUCCACUACGUCGUAGAAGUACUUAGUAGUAUCGAGGCCCCGCUAUGUCUCAUAAAUAAUGUAGAUAUUGUGCUGCACCAAGGGUGCCUUUGGCCUCGCUAUCAUUAUAAGAUAUGCUCUUGUAACAUUAUGCUUUCAAUAAAGUCAGUUAUGUUCUAUGCCAAGAUGUUGAGUGUUUCCAGAAGACAUGAUCUCUGGGUUGGAAGCACUGGUAAUCCGAUUCAUGGAAUCGGGGUGCCAAAAAAGUGUUGGUAUGGAGGGCACCCGUGGAUACGAACAAGCCAUGGAAAGUAAAAGUAAUGGUGCAAAAAGGAAUAAAGUUUAUUUUAUGUUUGGGAACCGCCUAUGAUGUAUCUAGCAUGGUAAGUGUUGGGACCUCUAAGUCGUUUUUGUUGGUGGGAAAAGUAUGCCUCCCAAAAUGUUUUUAUCUCUCAAUUUUCGCUUUGAGCUCUGGCACCUCUACAAAUCCCUUCUUCCCUCUGCGAAGAGCCUUUAUUUUAAUAUUGCAAUUUUUAUUUUGAAUUUGAGUCUCCAUCUUCUCUCAUAAAGCACCAACUAAGGGGCACUAGUAGAAAACGGGGCUAUAGUCCCGGUUGGUAAGGGCCUAUAGUCCCGGUUCUCCAACCGGGACUAUUAACUUGGGACUAAAGACCAUCCACCUUUAGUCCCGGUUUGCGACGAACCGGGACUAAUACCCUUCCACGUGGCUGGCGGCGUGCGAGGUGUGGGUAGGACCUUUAGUCCCGGUUGGUAACACCAACCGGGACUAGAGGCAUUGGUGAUUUGGGAUUUUGGGAUUUGGGGAUUUAUUGUUUAUUUUUGCUUUUCAUUUUCUAUUUUCCAUUUAAUUCUUUUUCAUUUAGAACAUAUCUUACGCUACGUACUACAUAUUGUACACGUUAUGCACAUAUAAAAAUAGAAUUUCUCGUAGAACUGAACAUAUAAAUAUAUAUAUNNNNNNNNNNNNNNNNNNNNNNNNNNNNNNNNNNNNNNNNNNNNNNNNNNNNNNNNNNNNNNNNNNNNNNNNNNNNNNNNNNNNNNNNNNNNNNNNNNNNNNNNNNNNNNNNNNNNNNNNNNNNNNNNNNNNNNNNNNNNNNNNNNNNNNNNNNNNNNNNNNNNNNNNNNNNNNNNNNNNNNNNNNNNNNNNNNNNNNNNNNNNNNNNNNNNNNNNNNNNNNNNNNNNNNNNNNNNNNNNNNNNNNNNNNNNNNNNNNNNNNNNNNNNNNNNNNNNNNNNNNNNNNNNNNNNNNNNNNNNNNNNNNNNNNNNNNNNNNNNNNNNNNNNNNNNNNNNNNNNNNNNNNNNNNNNNNNNNNNNNNNNNNNNNNNNNNNNNNNNNNNNNNNNNNNNNNNNNNNNNNNNNNNNNNNNNNNNNNNNNNNNNNNNNNNNNNNNNNNNNNNNNNNNNNNNNNNNNNNNNNNNNNNNNNNNNNNNNNNNNNNNNNNNNNNNNNNNNNNNNNNNNNNNNNNNNNNNNNNNNNNNNNNNNNNNNNNNNNNNNNNNNNNNNNNNNNNNNNNNNNNNNNNNNNNNNNNNNNNNNNNNNNNNNNNNNNNNNNNNNNNNNNNNNNNNNNNNNNNNNNNNNNNNNNNNNNNNNNNNNNNNNNNNNNNNNNNNNNNNNNNNNNNNNNNNNNNNNNNNNNNNNNNNNNNNNNNNNNNNNNNNNNNNNNNNNNNNNNNNNNNNNNNNNNNNNNNNNNNNNNNNNNNNNNNNNNNNNNNNNNNNNNNNNNNNNNNNNNNNNNNNNNNNNNNNNNNNNNNNNNNNNNNNNNNNNNNNNNNNNNNNNNNNNNNNNNNNNNNNNNNNNNNNNNNNNNNNNNNNNNNNNNNNNNNNNNNNNNNNNNNNNNNNNNNNNNNNNNNNNNNNNNNNNNNNNNNNNNNNNNNNNNNNNNNNNNNNNNNNNNNNNNNNNNNNNNNNNNNNNNNNNNNNNNNNNNNNNNNNNNNNNNNNNNNNNNNNNNNNNNNNNNNNNNNNNNNNNNNNNNNNNNNNNNNNNNNNNNNNNNNNNNNNNNNNNNNNNNNNNNNNNNNNNNNNNNNNNNNNNNNNNNNNNNNNNNNNNNNNNNNNNNNNNNNNNNNNNNNNNNNNNNNNNNNNNNNNNNNNNNNNNNNNNNNNNNNNNNNNNNNNNNNNNNNNNNNNNNNNNNNNNNNNNNNNNNNNNNNNNNNNNNNNNNNNNNNNNNNNNNNNNNNNNNNNNNNNNNNNNNNNNNNNNNNNNNNNNNNNNNNNNNNNNNNNNNNNNNNNNNNNNNNNNNNNNNNNNNNNNNNNNNNNNNNNNNNNNNNNNNNNNNNNNNNNNNNNNNNNNNNNNNNNNNNNNNNNNNNNNNNNNNNNNNNNNNNNNNNNNNNNNNNNNNNNNNNNNNNNNNNNNNNNNNNNNNNNNNNNNNNNNNNNNNNNNNNNNNNNNNNNNNNNNNNNNNNNNNNNNNNNNNNNNNNNNNNNNNNNNNNNNNNNNNNNNNNNNNNNNNNNNNNNNNNNNNNNNGGCGAGACGGCAUCGACGCGCCGAGGGGUCGAAGGAAGCAGAAACAUGAUCGUUUGUCUGAGUAUAUAUAGGAAUAUACAUUUAGUCCCGGUUGGAGACACCAACCGGGAGUAAAGGUCUAUUUUCCCCACGCGAAGCGGCGGGAACCGCAUGACUUUAGUCCCGGUUGGUGGCACCUACCGGGACUAAAGGUCUAUUUUUGCCGGCCCAAAUUCCACGUGGGAAGGGACCUUUAGUCCCAGUUGGUGCCUCUAGCCGGGACUAAAGGUCAAUUUUCACUUUUUUAUUAUUUUUGUUUUUCUAAACAGGACAGUUUUUGUUUUUAAAUUUGAAAUAACUGUUAGACUAUUUAUAGUUUUUUGAAUGAAUCUUUUUGGUUUAGGUCAAAAAAUUACAAAAGCUCUAUUAGUGCUAGUAAUUUUCAAAUUUACAUAGUUUAAAUUUGAUUUUUUUUAAAAAAAAUCAAAUUUAAACUAUGUAAAUUUGAAAAUUACUAGCACUAAUNUCACUAGUUUGUGAAUAACUUUACUUUAAAAAUAUAUUUUUUAGUCAUUCUUUUUUCUGAUGUUUAAUAUUAGUGUGUUUUAUCAUUAUAUCAAUUUGGUAAUUUUUAGGUUAUAAAAAAAUGAAAUGUCUUUGUAAGAGAUGAGUAUUUGUCCGAAACUGUGGUACUUCGAAAGAGAUAGUCCAGUUUGUACACGAAGUGCAUCCUGUUUUUGCCGUAACCUUUUCAACUUUUUCAUACAUGUCAUGUGGGUCAAAUGAUGAUACUAUACCAAGUUUUAGUCUUUUCUGAGUUGAUUUGUAGAGCUUUUUAAUUUCAGGGUCAUUUAGCUCAAAAAAUCAUUUAGUGCAUCGAAAAUAGCAAAUGAGGUGAGAAAUGAUUGAAUAUUUAUGAGGUGUCUUUGAAUGAUGCAUAUUGAGGGAACAAAAAGUCUGGAGUUGAAAUUAGAUUAAAAAAUGAAAUGACUUUGUAAGAGAUGAGUAUUCGUCUGAAACCCUGAUACUUCAAAAGAGAUAGGAGAGUUUGUACACGAAGUGCGUCCUGUUUUUGCCGUAACCCUUUCAACUUUUUUGCACAUGCCAUGUGGGUGAAAUGAUGAUACCAUGCCAAGUUUUAGCCUUUUCCGAGUUGAUUUGUUGCCCUUUUCAAUUUUAGGGUCAUUCAGCUAAACAAAUCAUUUAAUGCAUGGAAAAUAGAAAAUGAGGUGAGAAAGGGUUGAAAAUUUAUGAGGUGUCUUUGAAUAAUGCAUACCGAGGGCACAAAAUCUCUGAAGUUGAAACACGAUUAAACAAUGAAAUGGCUUUGUAAGACAUGAGUAUUUGUCCGGAACCGUGAUACUUCGAACACUAGUCACAUCAUCAGGUGAGAAUACAAAAUACUAAAUGAGGUGAGAAUAUAAAAACCCUAAUAUUUACACGGGGACAUAAAUACAAAAUAAUCACAUCAUAUUUACACAGGGACAUAUAUACAAAAUACUCGUCCAAGUAGUACAUAAUAAUAGCUAGAGAUAGAAUUGUUCAUAAUACACGUUGCGAACACUACUCGUCUGAAUCAGAAUAUCCUCAAAUUGGUGGUGGUGGUGGUGGUGGUGCUUGAUGUACGAGAUGACGCUCGCCAUAGUUCAUGAUUCGAAUCAUGCGGUACAACUCGUAUGCAACGUAUGAAUCUUUUGCUGCAUACUCAAUGUUGAUACCGUCAAGUGGGGUCGUCUCCCACUCUUUGUGCUGAACCGAGAGGAAUUUGGUCUUCAUAUCAGCGUACUCCUCGUCGAUCAAGGUGACUGCCAUAUGAGUCAUCGAAGUCUUCUCAUGUUCAAGCUUAAAUAUGUCUUGGAUAUCAAUGUGGUAGUUAGUUGGUAUCUCAAUAUCGAAUAUGUGCCUCAUCUUGAACUUGUCGUUCCUUAUAUCAAUGCUAGCAAAAUGUAUGUCGCUUCAAAGGAAGUCCAUGAGUACUAGACAGUGCUUGUCACUUCUGCAACAACAACAAAUUAAAAUGGAACAAAUUUUACAUACUGCUGCAACAAGGAUAAUUGUUUGACUACAACUAAAGAGAAAUUGACCUUUAGGAUUCAAGUGGAACAUAUUGCUAUCCUAUGCAAUUUUCAUAUCUUAUGAAUUGAUGAAGAANAACUAAAGAUAAAUUGAUCUUUAUAGGAUUCAAAAAUGGAACAUAUUGCUAUUCUAUGCAAUUUUCAUAUCCUAUAACCCUAAAUUAACUAUGACAUAUAUAUAUAUGUUCUCCCACGGUUUUGCCAAUAUGCAACAAGGAAAAUUGUUUCACUACAACUAAAGAGAAAUUUAUCUUUAGGAUUCAAAUGAAACAUUUUGCUAUCCUAUGCAAUUUUCAGAUCCUAUGAAUUGAUCAAGAAAUCCUAAAUUAACUAUGAAAUAUAUAUAUAUGUCAUAGUUAAUUUAGGGUUAUAGGAUAUGAAAAUUGCAUAGAAUAGCAAUAUGUUCCAUUUUUGAAUCCUAUAAAGAUCAAUUUAUCUUUAGUUGUAGUGAAACNNNNNNNNNNNNNNNNNNNNNNNNNNNNNNNNNNNNNNNNNNNNNNNNNNNNNNNNNNNNNNNNNNNNNNNNNNNNNNNNNNNNNNNNNNNNNNNNNNNNNNNNNNNNNNNNNNNNNNNNNNNNNNNNNNNNNNNNNNNNNNNNNNNNNNNNNNNNNNNNNNNNNNNNNNNNNNNNNNNNNNNNNNNNNNNNNNNNNNNNNNNNNNNNACUAAAGAGAAAUUUAUCUUUAGGAUUCAAACGGAGCAUAUUGCUAUCAUAUGCAAUUUUCAUAUCCUAUGAAAUGAUCAAGAAACCCUAAAUUAACUAUGACAGAUAUAUAUGUUCUCCCACGAUUUUGCCAAUAUGCAACAAGGAAAAUUGUUUCACUACAACUAAAGAGAAAUUGAUCUUUAGGAUUCCAAUGGAACAUAUUGCUAUCCUAUAUGCAAUUUUCGUAACCUUUGAUCAAAGAAAAGCCUCAAAACUUACCUCGCCCAUUGGAAGACCAUGACAUUUCUCUUGAAACAAAAUUGGAUGACGGCAGCAGCUUCUUGGUUGGCCGUCUAAUCGAGAUCAAGCCCCAUGAACUUGUAUUUCUCCUCCACCUCUUCAAGUCGUUCCUCGAAAUAGGAAAGAAAACGCAACACCAUCGCGUUGUCGUCUGUGUAAACGACAUUGAGUUUAGUCGUGCCAUGUGUGAGCACCUCUUCUUAGAGAGUGAUUAGAUCAUUCAUGGUGGAAGAAGAUAGGGGAAGAAGAGAGAGCGAGAGAGGAGACGAACAGAGGGCGAGAGAGGAGACGAACAGAGAGCGAGAGAGGAGACGAACAAAGAAGAUAGACUACUCUGCCUCGCGGUACGGUUCUGAUUUUCGUCGCGUGAAACGACGCGGGAUGCGAAGGGUUUGGAGCUUUAGUCCCGGGUUAUGCCACCAACCGGGACUAAAGGGGCUCGCACGAGCAGCCAAACGGUCGCCAUGACCCCUUAAGUCCCGGUUUGAGACACUAACCGGGACUAAAGGGUCUCGCAUCACGCAAACGGUUGUCAUCAAACAUUUAGUCCCUGUUCGUGGAUCAACACGGGACUAAAGGCCCUUAACGAACCGGGACGAAAGCCUAGCUUCUCGAACCGGGACUAAUGUCACCAUUAGUCCCGGGCCAAAACCAAACUAGGACUAAAGGGCCAAACAGAAGACCGGUUUUCUACUAGUGGGGCACUAUGGUCGUAUUUGAGCAUUGGGUGUAGCUAAUAUUCGAGUGUGUUUCAUGAAUGGAUCAAUGAUUGAGCAUAAUGGGCUAGGGAUAACUUGCUUUAGUGUUGAUAUUUUGAAAGACAUGGUUGCUUGUUAGUAUGCUUGAGUGUUAAAGUCUUCAUGUCAGAACUAGAAUAUUUCUUUGAACCAUAUAAAAGUCCAAAUGUCCAUGCUAUAAAGAAAAGAAAUGUGACGAACAUGUUAGGUAGCAUUCCACAUCAAAAAUUCUGUUUUUAUCAUUUACCUACUCGAGGACGAGAAGGAAUUAAGCUUGGGGAUGCUGAUACGUCUCCAGCAUAUCUAUAAUUUUUUAUUGUUCCAUGCUGUUAUAUUAUCAUUCUUGGAUGUUUUACAAUCAUUUUAUAGUCAUUUUACAUCAUUUUUUGGUACUAACCUAUUGACAUAGUGCCCAGUGCUAGUUGUUGUUUUCUGCAUGCUUUUUACAUCGCAGGAAAUCAAUACCAAACGGAGUCCAAACGUAUCGAAACUUUUUAUGGAUUUUUUUGGGCGAGAAGACAUCCAGUGGGUCAGGAACGCACCUGAGGGGAGCUCCAAUGGGAGCACAACCCACCAGGGCGCGCUUGGGGGCCCAGGCGCGUCCUGGUGGGUUGUGCCCUCCUCGUUGGCCUCCCGCACCGCCUCUUUGCUCCAUAAAUACCCCCAAUAUUCCAGAACCCCUAGGAGGGGGGACGAAAAUCAACUCCAGCCGCCGCAUAGUCCACAAACACCAGAUCCAAUUUAGACACCAUCACAGAGGGGUUCAUCAUGUCCAUUGGUGCAUCUCCGAUGAUGCGUGAGUAGUUCUUUAUAGACCUACGGGUCCGUAGUUAGUAUCUAGAUGGCUUCCUCUCUUUCUAUUGAUUGUCAAUACAAUGGUCUCUUGGAGAUCCAUAUGAUGUAAGUCUUUUUGCGGUGUGUUUGUUGGGAUCCGAUGAACUUUGAGUUUAUGAUCAGAUCUAUAUUUUUAUCCAUGAAAGUUAUUCUAGUAUUCUUUGAUCUCUUAUAUGCGUGAUUGAUUAUAGCCUCGUAUUUCUUCUCCAAUAUUUGGGUUUUAUUUGGCCAACGUGAUCUAUUUAUCUUGCGAUGGGAAGAGGUGGUUUGUGAUGGGUUCGAUCUUACGGUGCUUGAUCCCAGUGAUAGAAAGAAAAACGUCAUGUAUGUAUCGUUUCUAUUAAGGAUAACAAGAUGGGGUCUAUUUCUACAUAAAUAGAUCUUGUCUACAUCAUUUCAUCGUUCUUAUUGCAUUACUCCGUUUUUCCAUGAGCUUAAUACAGUAGAUGCAUGCUGGAUAGCGGUUGAUGUGUGGAGUAAUAGUAGUAGAUGCAGGCAAGAGUCGGUCUACUAAUCUUGGACGUGAUGCAUAUAUAAUGAUCAUUGCCUGGAUAUCGUGAUGAUUAUUUGAAGUUCUAUCAAUUGCCCAAUAGUAAUUGUUUUCCCACCGUUUGCUAUUUUCUCGAGAGAAGCCACUAGUGAAACCUACGGCCCUCGAGUCUAUUUUCCUUUGCUUUUAUUUUCAGAUCUAUUAAACCAAAAAUACAAAAAUACCUUGCUGCAAUUUAUUUGUUUCGCGAUCUAUUUAUCCUAUCUACCACUUUUACCUCACGUUAUUUGCCUAUUUUGAGGCGCCGUACCCGAAAGGAAUUUCUAACGCCAUUGCGGGGGAAGAUCAAGUCAAGAUAGUCUCCCGCCAACGUGCCAAUUUCUGGCGCCGUUGCCGGGGAGGGAUUGACAACCCCUUUAACACGUCAAGUUGUGAGUAUUUAUUAUUUGUGUGCAGGUUUUGUUUACGUGGUGUGAGGAGGUUCUCCUACUGGUUCAAUAACCUUAGCCUCAUCACUGAGGGAAAUACCUAGAGUCGCUAUACUGCAUCAUCCCUUCCUCUUUGGGGAAAUACUGACGUAGUUCUAUCAGACAUCAGGUUUGCUCAUGCAAUGUAGGCCAUAGUUCAAAUAGAUUCAAAACCUUACCCCCUCCCCCAUGUAGUGUGUAUAAUAUGUUCGACAAUUGGCGACGAGGUUCCGACAAACAUUUUUCUGCGUGUAUUCUUGUGGGCCUACCAACAUUUAUGUUGUGUUUUCCUUUCAUCAUGGAUGUCCAUGUAAUAUUCAAAUAGGAUCUAAUCCAUCUUCCCAUGCAAGUAUCUUGGCCUUUCAUAAUCCAUAAGGAAGCUCGCGGUGGCACAAUAUCAGGGCCUUGUGGGUCAACUCGUAGCGCGCCUAUCAUCUUGGAAGUCAACAACCCUACCCAAGAGCGAUCACUUAUUGCUCGUACAAUCCGUCCUCUCGAAAAUUCUGAUCCACUCAAUGUUAGCCCUUGAUCUGCCUCUAAAGACUUUGGUUGCCCUAAUCAAGAUAUGAUGCAGAUUCCUUUGGGUCGGCAAGGCGAACGUAGGAGGAGGUGCAUGUGCGAUGGCUGGGAGAGAGUGUGCAGUCCUAGGUGCGUUAAACGCAUAGGUAUCCUCGACAUGUGAUGGAUGAAUGUGGCCCUCCAGGCCAAGUGGUUGUGGUUGAGUAGGGCUGACCAGGAUAAGCCCUGGUCGGAGUUUGCGUUCUCUAUACCAAAGGACUCUCGUCAGUUAUUCCUGGCAGCGACGUGAGAAGUCGUUGGCGAUGGGAGGAAUACAUUGUUCUGGGAGGGUAGAUGGCUGAGUGUUUAUCGGAUGCAGGAGCUUGCGCCACGGAUUUACGAGCAGAUUCCAGUAAGAACAAGGAGGUCAAGAAUGGUGUAUGAGGCAAUCGCUGAGGAGAGAUGGGCCCGAGAUAUUGGUCCAGCGCUAGGCGAGGCAACCCUUGCGAAGUACCUGGGUAUCUGGCCCGGGGUUGCGAUGGUCUAGCUGGACGAGCGAUGUGAUGAUCGUUUCAUCUGGUCCUAGGAGAAGAACGGGAUGUUUUCGGCCAAAUCUGCCUAUGUGGCCAAGUUUGUAGGGCGAGAGGUCUCGCCCAUCUUGGAAUUCACAUGGCACUCGCGGACCCCUCUUAGGUGCAGAUUCUUCUCAUAGCUGGCAAUCAUGAACUGGUGCUGGACUUCAGAUAGAUUGGCACGAAGAGGGAUGCCACACCAACACUCGCGCCCUUUUUGCAACCAGCAUGAUGAGACGAUUGGCCAUCUACUUAUCGAGUACCCUCUCCCAUGGGAGGUAUGGGCAAAGGUCUUAUCCGCCGUAGGCAUUCCGCAUGGCGAUCCACAACCAGGAGAGACACUGCAGGGCUGGUGCACUAGGCAGGGUAUGCAGGGAAGCAGGGCGAAGAUGGUUUGGACCAUAUGCCUCCUUGCCAUGUGGGAAAUAUGGAAGCAUGGGAAUGCCAUAGUCUUCGACGGAGAGACGGCUUGCCCACGACAGGCUCUAGGCUGGAUCGUGAGUGAUAGCAGGGUGUCGAUGCACGAGGCUCUACUUCGAGGAAACCUAGAGGUGUUCAUCGUGGGGGCGCUGGAAUGGGCGCAUUGUGAGUAGUCUGUAUAACGCACUUGAGAUGGAGGGCGGCGUAACGCCAUGUAACCCCUGAUGUAACUAAACCACGAAGGGAUCCCCCUUCCUUCUAUAAUAUAUGAUACGCACACUCGUGUGUAUUCGAUGAAAAAAGAAUCUAACUCAUCUUAGGCUGAUUUUGUUUUUUCUGCGGAGCAUUAUUUUCUUUUGGUUAUGUUAGUAGUCUUAACUGUGUGCACCAUCACAUUUUGCAGCAGUCAGACAUUCGUUCAAUGUGAUUGUAUCACCUUGAUAUAUCGAUUGAAUGAAAAUGUCUUUUAUUAAUAAAAAAUAAUUGUAUUGAAGUCAUCGUAACUUAAUCCCGUGGGAUAAUGGUUAAAUGCUUUCACUUAACAAAAUAAUUUCUAGUGUGCCCAUAACUAAUGUAAUAGAUGGACAGAAAUAAUUAGACUGGAAUGCUAAAAACUAACAGGAACAAGUCAUGAAUAGAAGAGGUCGGCUUUAUCUACAUCAGUUAUCAGUUUAGUGUGUUCUAUGUACUUGACAAUCCUAGAAUUAGCAAUAGAGCCCUUUGUAUUAAGAGUAGAUUUCAAUCAGUCCUCAACUGCGAGCUGUCCAUGUUAUUUACUAGUUCAGAUAGUGAUCUUAAGCCUUGUCUAUAAAGUAUUACUUAGUCUAGACGUUCCUAUAGAGACCUAUCGGACAUCAAAGAAAAUCCAAUUUCAAGGAUACGCGGGUCGACUCGGUAAACUGCCGACAAUGAAGUGGCACCAACAAAUAUUUUAGUUUUGUAAAUCUGAAAGGAAUGUAUCUUUUCGAUAAAGGUCUGAAAAAAUAGGUACGUAUACGCAAGAAGUUUUCUUUAUGUGAAGGCAUAUCUCUGAAAGGGCUUAAAAUAAUUUUGCUUGUGCACCUCAGACAACUCUACCUAAUAUAUACAUAUUCUCAAAUUCGUAAGAUAUCACUGACUUCUCUCAACCAUUGAAUAGGUCAUUAUUGUUCUUAACUUGCACGUAAUGUCCACAAAUUGAGUAAGCAUAUGCAUAACUAAGAGUCUACGCUGUUGCACGGAGCCUAUCACAAACGACUGAAUGUUUAGUGAAAAAAUCUCUUGGGUGGAAUACUAAACCCCUUGAAAAAUAUACUAAAAAAUUUAAUGGCAAUCACCAUGGGCGUCGGCAGAUCACAAUCCUUACAAUAACCGUUUCUGCACCUAAAUACAACUCUACCUGGUAUAUGCAUAUUCUCAAAUUCGUAAUAUAUCACUCACUUCCCACCGUCGAAUAGGUCACCAUUUUUCUUAACUUGCACGCAAUGUCCAUGAAUUGAGUAAGUGCAUGCGUAACUAAGAGACCGCACUGUUACACGUAGCUUAAUCACAAACGGCUAAAUAUUUAUUGAGAAAAUCUUUUGGAUGGAAUCCUAAACCCCUGGGGGGGGGGAUAUUAUAUAAUUAAACAAGGACAAACAAGCCAUACGUCUAUUCUCAUACAUUGAAUUAUCUUGACCAUAUAUUUUAAAUAAUAACACAUGUGAGUUAAAAUAUGUAGCGUUACAUAUAAAUCUUAUCAUGAGCAAACAGUUUAUAGUGUCACGUAGCCCAUACUAAUAGUUCAAUAUGUCUCGAGUUCUUAAAGAAAAACUGGCACGUCACCCGAAAUCAGUUUGAUACGUUAUAGGGUCUUUUUUUUGCGGGCAAAACUGGGAAGCUUUAUUCAACAUACAUCGCCCGGCAUGAUGUGCGAGGAGACUAGUUACAAGAAAACUAGGACUAGAGUUCAAUCAGCAAUCAGUUACCUCCAAUGUGCUAGCUUGCUUAGCACAUAAGUGGGCACACAUGCUAGCUGAUCUUACAACAUGUUGAAUGGAAAACAAACUAAACAGUGAGGCGAGCUCCACCUUCAGUUAAGAUAGGCGCCAGCACAGUCCAAGUGUUGAGGCGCGGAUACCAGAGAUUGACAAUCUCCAAACAAUCUGUCGCCACAACGACCUUCUCGUAACCCCGAAGCUUAACAAAGAGCACCCCGCGUCUCGAACAGCCAAAGCUUCAGCGACAACAGGUUCGUACAAUACCUGGGUAUGGUUUAGACCAAGCAGCCAUGAAGGAGGAACAGGUUCGGACAACACCAUCCACCCCACCCCUGCUAGCCUCCAUAGCGUAUUGAUCUUCAUGAUUCCUUAGAUUGAUAUACGGAGUAGAAAAUAAGAAGUACCUUACCUUGAAUUGGCAAGGUAUGACAACCAAGAGUAUGCGGCAGCCAAGUCCAAUUUAGAAAGAAACAAAAAAAAACUAUCUUAUGUAGGGAGGAGCACUAAGUGAACUACCUUAUGUAGGGAUGAGUCUUGAGCAAACACCCCUACCCCGCAACAAAGAAGUGUCCGCAUCUCAAAAAAUUAAGAGUGUCCCAGCAAAAUAUGCGUGCUAAUCUCUCUAGGGAAAAAGAGGAGACGUGUGUGCUCCUCCUUUUUCUGCGGACACAAACAAAAAUAAAGUAUGGAGUCCUGCUUAGUUCACUUAGUGCUCCACUUAGGGAUAAAAAAUCUUUCUCUACGCAGGUUGAAGAAUAUAUCUCAUAAAAAAUGAAAAUUAGUUGUUUAUAUAUAUACUAAAUUGUGGAUGAAAAAAUGAGGCGACAUACAUGAUUGGCAUAAUACAUUUUUUUGAUGCUAAAUUAUUUCUGCGCUAUGAUAUUAGCUGUAUUAAAUCAUGGAUAGACAACUGAGACGCGAAAUAUGAAAUGCAUAAAGAUAAAAGUGCCAGCAUUCUAUAUUCUUUCUCUCAAAAAGUUACUGAUAACCAUGGUGGCUGUUCUAAUUUGAAUUGCUGAGAUCCAAAAAUAAAUAGAAAGAAGUCAUGCUUGCAAGUGCUUCAGUCUAAAUUAAGUAUUAUUCAUGAAAAAAUAAUACGUUAUGAGAAGGACCACGUGAAAGCAUCUGCAGUGAACAUGCAUAAGAAAAAUAAUGCACGUGAAAGCAUCUGCAGUGAACCUAUUUACAAAAAUAGACCACUAAUAUAUGCAAAAUUAUCCGGGUUGGACAAUUAAAAAUAACAAAGAACGUCGUACUGACUACAUGAUAAUAAUAAUUAUUCACAUAUGACAUUUUACUAUUUCUUUGAUUUGUUAUAAUGGAAAUCUUAGCUAAAAUUUUGAAUUGGAAAUUGCAAAGAAUCAAGUGUACCAUAUAUCUUCGAAAAUAUGUAGCACUGUAUUCAAAUAAGAAGGAUACGUGCAACCAUCAUGAAAUAGUCGAGCAACCCUUUGACAACCUUUGAAUAAACGAAUCAUGUGUGCUCGAUGAGUUCAGUUUGCAGUUGCAAUUGUGUGGAAGGGGACUAAUGGAAUCACAAUUGAAAAUUUGAGUAAAAUUAUAUUACUAUAUAGAAAUGAGGGAAGUCAGAGAGUGAAAAAUACAACCAUCAGGUAUAAGUUGCACAAUCUAGAGUAGUGUGACUAACUGAAUCAUGUAUGCCCGAUGAGUUUUAUUUGUAGUAGUAAUUGUAUUGAAGUAGACCAAUGGAGUGACAAGCAAAAAAAAAACGAGUCUGGUUUCAUUUUUGGGAAGAAAUGAGGACGACGAGAGAAAAAAUAGUGAGUAAAGAAUCAAAUUAACUGCGGAAAUAUGUUAGAGACAUCUGUGUAUAUUCACAUGUGUACAUGCAAAAUGCGGAAAAAAUACGAACUCAGUUGCCAAAAAUUGGUUUAUAUUCGAUGCAUCGUACCGUAUAAUAAAUUGCUUGGAUAUCUUAGAUGUAUUGACACGUAUGGAUUCAUUUGUAUAAAAGAGGAGUUGUGUGAGCAUAAAAGAGUUGAACUAAGGUACUCAUGAAUUGGCCAUCAUGAGCAUAGUUUGGGACACCCAUAAAUGACAAUGAAAUGAUAGAUAAUGAAGACUGUAAUAGAUUACACAUGUACUAAGAUUACGUGCAAAGACAGGAGAAUAGUAGAAUCAAUCUGGAUGUGGUGUGCAACUCACAUAACAUAUUAAAUAUUAUCUCAGGGGUGCAAUAAGUUGUCUCAGUUAUGCUUAAAGAUAUAAGUAUCAGAAAAACAUUUGUGCGUAUUUGUAUUGUAAACUAUAUAGGGGCAAGUGAAAUGAGAUAUUCUAGAACAUUUCAGCGAAUGUUUCCAAUAAUUUUCAUUAUAGCUAUGAGUAUGUGAAUCAUAAUUGUGUGAUUGUACCUUUACUCCCCACCGUAGGGACUUAGGAUGUGUCUCGUUGAUAACUACAUUUUCACAAGCAAGCAAGCAAAAUAGUGAAAUAACAUAUAUUGAGAAUCACAUAAAGAUAUCAAUAAUGAGACGUAAUUGGAGAUAAUGUUUUAAGGAAAAGGUUGGACAUAAUCCCAAGAAUGUAGUAUGAAUUAUUUGUAUCUUGCAUAAAAAGGUGAUAAGUAAUUUAUUUCAGGCAGACUGAAUUUGGAGUUCUCAAUUGUAUUUCUAAUUUAGAAUAUCCUCAUGAUUCUAUAUACUACAAUUAUGCAUAAUUUUAUACAAGUUUAAUAAUAAUGCAGAAUAAUUGAAAUCUUAACCAAUAUUUAUAUUAAUAAAAAACUUUAGCCGUUCAAAUGUGCGGGUAACUCCGCUAGUUAUACUAAUAAAAUAUGAUGCCAAUCACCAUGGGGCGUCGGCAGAUCCCAAACAUCGUGGUAAUUUUAAAACUAAAUAGUAUAUGCACUCGUUGAUGCCGGAAUGAAUCAAAUGAUGCGGAUAAUAGGUAAAUCCUCUUUUUUAAAAUAUAAGACUCUUUUACAGCUUAAUUUAGAAACAGAGGCAGUGCCAUUUUUGCCAUAAAGCGAAAGUUUGCACAAUAUUUUAAGUGUAUGGCGAUCAAGUGAACUGUCUAAUGGCCAAUGGGUACGAUGAUAAUGACUUUUGUGUACCUUGUCCCUAUCCACUUUGUUAGGUGGCACAUCGUGGUCAUAAUUAUCUUCUUGCGUCCAAAAUAUGCAGCUGGUCAGGCAAGUGGUUACGUAAGGUUCCUUCAAUUAAGCUGUAGCACCUAGCAGGGAAACUAUACGUUUAUGAAAUUAUCUCCCAAGAAAAUUUACGAAUAAAAUUUUCGAGUAUCUAAUCUGAGGUUUCGUAAGUUUAUAAUAUUCAAAUAAAAAUUGAUUUUUUUUAACAUAAAGUAAAAAUUGAUUUACCCCUACAAGGGUAACUUUUUUUCCUUUUCAAUAUUAGGUAGUAGGUAGGCAGAGAUGGUGAAGAUAAAGGUGGUGCAGAAUUUAGGUGUACGUGUUCAAAAAUUCCUUCUGAUCUCACAUGCUGAUAUGUAUUAAGAUAUGUCGGUCAAGACAUGCUCACGUGUCAUGUUAAUUACUUAGUGGAGAAGAUAUGUAUUACUACGUUUUUAAAGAAGGAAACUUCAGAAGUUGGGCCAUCAAUUAAGUUCUAGCAGACAGCAGGGACUAUUGCGAUUGGUUGAUAAGUUCCUUUCGUAGUAGUACUUGACUUGUUCUAUUUGCUCACAUGCAAGUUCAUGCAUAUCACCACACUGUUGCUUGCGCCAGCUCUGUCAAUCUACGGCUAUUUAAGCACACCCAUCCAUGCCUUCAUUGACAAAGCAACUCACAAUGGCUUCUUCUUCCACAUUGUUUUGCCUUUCUGCCCUCCUUGUGCUGGCCUCAUGGCAGGCCACUGCCUACGAUCCUAGCCCUCUUCAAGACUUCUGCAUCGCCGACAUGAAGGCGCCUGGUAUGCACUACGUAUAGUGUGCACGUAUAGAUGUGUGCCCUUAAUUCUAGUGGUGGUAUAGUUAAUGUUGUGAUAGCCUAGUAUUGAUCACACACUGAAGUUUACUACAUACUGAUAACAGUUUUUCUUUUGCGGGGUACAUACUGAUCAUAGUUCUAAAAGUAUUAUUACUGCAUGCUCAAGCCACCCACACAUUUCUUACUUGCUUUAUGUUACUUUCUCUAUGCAUGCAGUGCGAGUCAAUGGAUUUGCUUGCAAGGACCCAAUGGCCGCAACCCCGGAAGACUUCUUCAACGCAGCCAUGCUCGAUCAGCCUAGGGAUACCAAGGCCAGCAAGGUCAGGUCCAACGUCACCAACAUCAAUGUCAUCAAUUUUCCUGGCCUCAACACCCUCGGCAUCUCCCUGGCACGCAUCGACUAUGGGCCAUUAGGUGUCAACACGCCGCACAUACACCCCCGUGCCACCGAGCUCCUCACGGUGCUUGAGGGGACACUCUACCUUGGAUUUGUCACAUCCAACCCAAACAGGCUCUUCUCCAAGAUAGUUAAGAAGGGUGAUGUAUUCGUAUUCCCAAAAGCAAUGAUUCACUUCCAAAUGAACCUGGCGCAUGACAAGCCAGCAGCCGCCUUGUCCUCGCUCAGCAGCCAAAACCCUGGGGUUAUUUCUAUCGCCAAUGCAGUCUUUGGAUCAAAGCCACCAAUUUCAGAUGAUGUUCUAGCCACGGCGUUUCAGGUGGAGAAGGAUCUGAUUCACUGGCUUCAAUCUCAGUUCUGGGAGAAUAACAACUACUAGAUACUCUCUUUCAUCUGGGCAUAUGGAAAGUUCAUAUGUAAUGCUAGUAUAUAGAAUAAAUGGCAUGUAGUAAUACGUAUGCAUGCAUGGUUGUGAGCUGUGAAUUUUCAUUUUCCUUUUGAAGCGUGACAUGAUAUGUUUCUUGUCGGAUUCAUGUCAGAAUGUGUUGGUGAUGAUUGUUUUCACUGUUUAAUGAAUGGAAUACAGAGGUGCUCCUUUGCCUUGUUGCUGAUAUAGAGAGAUCCGUGAUGUUAAUGACAAAGCAGCAAUGAUUGGACAUGCAUGUUAUUUCUAGACCCAGUUUACAUGUACUUAAAACUUGUUUUUGCCCGACAAGGUGAUUUGUUCACUGGAAACCAGGAAACGCAAACUUGUUCUGUGGCGAGAAAUCAUUUAGCAUGCUGGAAACUUAGAUGCCAUCGUUUAGCGGAUUAAGCAUCAUAGAUGGAAGAGCAGGGAUAUAGUUGUUAUGAUGUAGUUGCUCGCUAUCAAGUAUCUGCAUUCCCAAUAAUGGUUACAAGUAAACAAAAAAGAUGGGGCACAUGAUCGUAUUGGUUUCGCACCAAGAUUGGGCUAUACACCUAUUUAUAAUAUGGAGCGUCAUGGCAUGUGGAUUAUUAGUCCAGAUCUAUCUACAGAAUGGGUUUGGAUUAUUAGUCCAGACCUAUCUACAGCCUACAGGGCAACUCAAUUGGCAGUCUAUUCAGAAUCAUAUUCUUUCAAAGUUGUAAAUGCAUGCGCAGACACAAACUCUUGAUGGACAGAAGUUGCGGCAAUCUACGCGGGUUGUGUGGAUCUAUUAGUGGAGAUAUGGAGCGUUCAUUUUAAGCAUUGUGUGGAUCUAAUUGUGGAGAUACAGAGCGUUUUACAUGAAGCAAACUGUGCCGCUCAUGAGAUUGCUAGAUACAAUGGUUGUUUUUUUAGAAAUGCUAGAUAUAGUUUUGAAAGUAAGCUCUCUUGUAAGUGGGUCGAUGAAACCCCAUAUUUUAUCCUUAAUUCUCUUGUAAACAAUGUACGUGUUAUUUGAAAUCAAUAAAGUAAGCCAUGAUGGCGUCCGCUAUAGUUAGUCUUUUCAGAAGACCCUCUGAGAAGCCUCUUUAUAUAGGUGGCAAGGGGCCCCAUUAUACACAAAAAAUAUCAUUGAUCAAUAAAGUUGAGGAGUCUUCAGCUACAUUUUUGUGCUUCUUUUGUGCUUAUAUUUGGCGUAGUAACAUGAUCAUUACAUUAAAUUAUCGGUAUUACAGUACUUGGUAGUCACGUACACUCCCACACACUUGAUUGGAUUUUAUUUGGGAAUAAUCGCUUUGGUUUUUAUCUUGAUCUAUUGACACCGUUAUCAAAACAAUUGUUAUUGAUGAUCCUAAGAAAUAAAAACAAAGCAACAUGCAUUGAAGGGGUUAUUUCCACACAUGAGUUCACGUGACAAUAAUCUUUGAAUUAAUAAAUACGACAUACUUUGUACUGGGAAAGCAUUGUCGGUCCGUCAUCAAGAAUUGACCAUACUACUUAGUUCAGUCACGAAAGAGACCCGUAAUAAGUUAAUAAUAAUUGAGGAAAUCCAUUUCAUGCACCAACGCAAGUACGUGGAUCAAACACGUCUCCAUCAUUUGACCCGUCGCCAUUUUUUCUGUUAGUGGUUACUUGCACGCAAAUAAAUGCAGUUGUAGACUUGUAGUGUCGUACCGACAUCUGUUAGGUGGAUGCCAAACCAUAUUUAUAUGUUCUGAUGAGAAAAUUCUUACAACACAUACAUGUAGAGGAGAUGGUACAACCGUACAAACAUGCCAAAUUUCAGGGUCAAAACCUUAUGUUGAUCUCGUAAUCCGAGGUCAACACGCCAACACAUGAGUUGAUAGCUUCUUGCCCUGUGAGAGGUUGAUCCAAUCCAACAUGGAUAACGGAUUAUGCGGCACACGAUGAGGAAUUGAAAAUGAAAUGUUGACGACUGUUUAGUGUGUGGACAUUCAUAGUUCAUGUCAUCAUUUUUUUUAUUUUGCAGGGAAAAACUGAUUGCAUUAAGUAAACAUAGUACUCCCUUCCUACCAUCAUCUUAUAUUGUGCAACACAAUCAAGGUGGAGAGGAAAACGAGAGAAGAUAAUGUUCAUUUUGUUAAUCAAUAUUAUUACAUGCAAUGAACUCAUUACUGCAAGCCGUGUUAGGUAGUCUAAAGUCAUUAAACAUAUACAUGUUCCAUGUCUCUAAGUGGAAAUUAAUGCACCACGCUUAAGUGUUUUCGAAUUAUUUGGUUAUGCGGCACACGAUGCAGGAUUGAAAAUGAAAUGUUGACGAUAGCUUAGUGUGUGGACAUUCAUAGUUCACGCCAUCAUUUUUUUUGCGUGGAAAAACUGGUUGCAUUAAUUAAACACAGUAUUACAAUCAUUCUUUAUAACGCUAACCUUCCUAGUUUUGAAUAGUCCACAUUCAAUUCAGGUCUUCAAUUAGAAUUGGAUCACCUGAUUUUGACUAAGUCAAUAAUUUCUUAAAGCUCUUCCGUUCAAUUCUUUUAUACUAUACAAUGUGUUUCCUAAUUUUUAAAGUUGCACAAUUAAUUCAGGUAUUCAAUUUAGAAUUGGGCCAUCCGGUUUAGACCAGGUCAACAAUUUCUCAGGCUCUCUCAUUCAAUUCUUUUAGCUCACUAUCUUCCCUAAUUCUCUCAAGUUCAGAGCAUAUAUAUCAACAUCCCAAUGCUAAACAAAAAAGGUAUAGAAAUUCAUUUCACGAUGAAUCUAAAAAUAUUGAUUUGAUAUAUUUCUCUAUAAAUUUGAUCAAACAUAAAAGGGUUACAUAUUUGAAAAAGCAAUAGACCUUGUAUUUGGAAACAAAGUGAUUGUUUGUUAAAGAAAUUCGACAACACACCAACGGUGUAGCAAAGCGUGCCAAACCCUUCUAGUCUUGGAUGAAAUCACAAACUUUCGAAGGAAAAUUCCCUAGCCAACCAGUGGUGCGCUGCUUAUCCUAUUUGGCUCACCGUGUCCUAGGCAGUGCAAGGAGAGGUGAAACCGUGAAAGAGGUGUUACAUGUUACCCAAACAACUUUGAAGCUAAAUAUCUCGGGCUCUCGGUGCCGGAUGAGAGAGGAAUAAAUGAAAGUUCAAAAGCUUACACGAGAGACUAGCAAAGCGCCUGCUUCAAUGCAGGUGAAAUUUACCUUUCUCGAGAUGGGAAGGAGAUCAUGUUAAAGGCCGUCGUUGUGCAGGCACUACGAGUGUACGUGAUGGGUGUUUUCAAACUCCUAAUCGGGCUUUGUCAUGACCAAACAAAGAUGAUGACACACUAAUGGUGAUGUGCGGACAAUGAAAAAUGGCGGUCUCAUGGGAUCUCUUGUGACAUUAUGCACGGGUCAAAGGUGAUGGGAGGAGUGGGGUUCAAGAGUCAGCGGCUCCUUAAUCAAGCAUUGAAAACGGGGCUAGCAUACGGGCAUGGCAUGACCCCUGGAUCCCUUGCGGUGCAUCAUACAGAUCGAUUACCACACAACAUAAUUUUCAUCUGUGUUGGGUCAUGGAUUUCCAGAUGGUUGAUGAUUCAUGCAUGCCUUCAUGGAAUACUCAACUCAUAUAGUAACACUUCUUCAUUGUGGAUGUUGCAAAGAUUUUGAAUAUCAAACCAUUGAGGCGCCUUGAGGAAGACUUCAGGCCGAGUGAUUGCAGCCAUCAUGGGAGGGCAUCAUUCGGUGCUUCAAGUACAUCGGUGUGGUCGUGACAAGCGCCAUCCUGGGGUAAAUCACAAGUUCUACAAUGGCGGCUUCCCUCUCAUCUGAAGCACGCUUCUUUGGAGUGCUACUUGGGCCUCAACCUCAACCCCAUGUACAAGCACAGCGACGUAGGAUAUAGGAUACCUAAACGUUCAUUUUUUUUGAAACUGGCGGAACACCAUAUUCGUAGAUCAUCGAUUUAAUGACUUCAGCUCGAGGUUUUGAAUCAACUAUCGGAGCCGAUUUCAUCUCUUGAGUACAGUAUACUUUUGAAACAACCUUCUCACUUGUCAAUUACUCGUGUGGAGAUUUGGCGAGUUUCCGUUGUGAGGCCUUGGAGACCCUUCGAGCAUGACCAUAUGCAUGUGCCAUCGACGGUUACUGCUUACAGUUACAGGUGACGAUAUCAUGGUCGCAUCAACGGUAAUGAUAUGAGGUUGUCGUCGUCUCAAAUGUCCUAAAUUGUUUGGUAUAUUCUUGUCUUCUUAGCUGUUCUAUAGUCUCUUGCAUCCUUGGCGCUUUUAUUUUUCAGUUUUUUUAUUUUUAGUUUUGUAUUAAUGGAUGUAAUGUUUGGUUGUGGCUUUAUAUAUAAAGCCUUUAAUAAAAUAGCUUACAUGCGCCUCAGAAACAGGAAGCGAGCUAAGAAAAAGAAAUAGGACACGUUUGCUUACCCGCCUCAUCGAGGCCCGCACAGGAAGAAAAAGGAUCGUUUGGUUACCCUCAUUGACUGUUUGGCCUGCACAGUACGAACAUUAAAGCACCUUUGUUGAGUCAGGCCCAAGCGAUGCAACCCUAGGCACGUGGGCGUGGGCGGUUGCACGCAUGGAUGCAGCCUCGAGACGUCGCGUUAUUUCCCCAAUCGACGUCAUAAAUUACCCUCACCUCCCUUCGGGGGGGGGGCCCUCUUCCCCACUCACAUCAGCGAUGGCGAUCACCGGAGCGACAACACGAGGAUCUACGAUAGCAGCGACCAUCGCAGCGACUUCAGACCUCCGCCACAGCGCAUCGGCCAUGGCGGUAAGUCCUUUUCCCUAUCUACAUUGGCCAUGACUCGGGCUAGAUCUAUUUUGAGCACGGGAUUGGAGAAUUAGGGAGGGGAUUGAACACAUGGAGAUUGGGGAAUUGGAUUCAACACCGCCCUCAUCUUCAGUUCUUGGCUAAUCGAUCGAUUACAUCGGGGGUGGAGAUUGGGGUACUACCUAAUUUUCUAGCCACGAUGACCCUGGAGUCGCGUCGAGCGGUGGUGGGCGUAGGCUUCUUCUUUUCUUCGUCACCAUCGCAUUAUUCCUGACCGUCACAUCAAGAACGAUGGGUCUUGCACGGUCGCCUUCCGUCGACGCCUUGACCAUCAUUUGCACCUCGUUUUCUUCCACUGCUUGCGCCCUCGCCACCAUCUGCACAUCGCCGUCUUCCUCUGCUGGAUCCACCAAAGUCCUUGUCUUCCAGUACACCACAACACGGUGGUCAUCGGGACUAUCAUGAGGAAUAACUACGGGCACUACCAUGAGGAGGAUGGACCAAACCACUUCUGCAAGGUGAUAUUUGCUCUGAAGCUGGAGGCUCUGUCUUUGCAUCUCGACUUCAUGAAGCACUUCCCCGCUAUGUUUAGUCCUAAGACGAACACCAGCUGCUCAUGGAGUGUCACGGUGAAGGUGGUCGACAACGGGGUCACCCUUGAUCAGGGUUGCUCCACCUUCACCAGUGUUCACCACGUCGGGAUCGGGUACAAGCUGACUUUCAAGCUGCUCACCCCUAACACCAUGAAGGUGAUGCAGCGUGGACGUGGUCACCAAGUGCAAGAAACAUGACGAGGCCUUCACCGUGACCGCGUAAAUGACCUCUUGUUCCUAGUUCCGUGUUGUGGGUUGUUCUUUUAAGAGUACUAUGUGUUACGAUGUCGUUUAGAACUUAUCAUACUAUGUUUAAAAUUUUUGUUUGGUUAAACUUUGAUUUGUGCUUAAGUUUGUUUCGGUUGCUUUAUUUUUUUGCAUCUGAUAACCUCACCACAUUGAGGAGGAGGUUAGCACACUAUUGUACUAGAUGUAACCAAACAAUUCAACAUGUGUUUGACCUCAAACCAAGCCACAACCAAACAACAUGCCUUCUGUUUCGACAUAUGCAGGCUACACGGAAUGCAUGCAACCAAUCAACAUGCAGAUGUUGAUUUUUUUGCAUGCAUAUGCUCGACCAGGCCCAACUGGGGCAAGUAUGCAAAUGGCAAAAAAACGAUGCACGUAACCAAACGCGCCCAAAGUGAUCUCUCAAUCACAUCUUGUUUAUUUCAGAUCAAAACUGUCUCUUUCCAUUAGAUGAAGUGCUAUAUAUAGCAUUGGAGCAAGCGUUUACAAGGGGGCGCCAUUUCAGACAGAACCGACGCAAUGGUUGCGUAAAGCAUGUGCCAAUGAUUAUAACAAGUAGGGGUUAAUCCCUUAAUUGCUAUAUUAAUUAAUCUUAGCACUCCCCCUAAUCCAUGCUUGUCCAGGUAGCAUCAUCAUCUCGAAAGAGUCUCCUUUAAAAACCCUAUGGAAAAAAUAUGAGGAGUAUAUUAUUUGAUAAGUUGCCAACACUCCUUCAAACCCAGUGGAAAAAAUAAGGAGAAAAUGAUGCAACAUGUCAUCAUUAUUGUCUCUUUUAACUCAAUAUGAGAAAAUUGUAGAAUUUUGAGGAAAAUAAAUAUGGCGUAUAUACUUUAUUAAAACCCGAGUGGGGAAAACACAAAAUAUGACAUCUGGUCUUGUGUUGAUAUUACCUCAUUAAAAACCUUUACGAGAACCUAUAUAGUAAACUCAUGAAGGGAAAAAGAGUAUAAUAUGAUGCAUUGAACAGGAACAAUUCAGGAAGAUACUCCCCCUGAUUCUUGCAAACUUCGAAGCCGUGACAUACCAAUUCCAUGAACAUAUUUCUGGAAUGUAAAAAUUGGUAGAGACUUCGUGAGAAAAUCAGUCACAUGAUGUAAUUUACAAGAUAUGCAAGCGAUAUUGCUUACGUAACCUGUUUGCAUCCGGGCAACACAAGAAAUAUUAUAUUUGAGAUAAUAGUUAGUGGAUGUAGCCAUUAAGGUCGGUUGCAAAAAAUGUUAUGCAAUGACUAUCACACCUAGUAGGAACACUAAGCUUGCCUAUGAUAUGACAUAGUAGGGAUCUGAUCAAUGUAUCCAAUGGUAUUGGUGUUCAGAUUUAUCUGAAACUGAAAAACCAGGACAAGAUGUUUGAUACCUUUGGAGAUAUCAAUAGAUAUUCUUGAGUCCCAACAAAUUGUGUUUGGUGGAUCCAAUGGCAUUAUGAAACGUUGAGUCCCAAUAUCUGAUUUUCAUCAUCUCUUGGUUUAAAUAGAUCAUUCUCUGCGUCUAGAGAAUGAAUUACCAUGAGAGUUAUGGAUGGAUAAGAUUUGUCCACAAUGAAUUUCUCCAAUAUAUUUUGGAUAUAGACAACAUAGUAUACCAUAACGUAUGAAUGAAGGUGCUCAAGUUAUAGUAACGAGCGGUAUUUUGGUUUACCCAAAUCCUUAAUUUUAAUCUCCGUCAUUUAGAUGAUUACAUGUGUCGUCAGUACAAAGACACAAACAUGGAUAAUCAUCAUUGUAGGAGUAAUCCUUGUGUAUAAGGAACUCAUUACAUUAGUUGUACCGACAACAAUAAGUAGUAUGGUGACUUACUGAAUUUUACACAAUGUAUGUUACAUUUUGUACUUCAAUAGAAUUGAGAUUACAUCGGAAAUAUAUCAUAUAUGUCUGAAUCUAGUGAGCCACAUGGAUAUGUGAUCACUACAUCUAUCAACCGCAUAGAUAAAUGAUCUUAUAUUCUCAAUGAUACAAGUUGUCGGAAAGAAGUUCCACCUCUAGAGAAUAGUUGGGUAUCUGCAUGAACCCUUAUGCUACAAUACUUGCUCUAUGUUUCACAACCUUGUUGUUCUCAAUUCUGUUUCCAGAAGAAAACUGGUGUAGGUAUUGCUUAUGAAUACCUUCCCUUUAUUGAGCAAGAUUAUUUCUACCUAGAUUAUACCAUUUUCUUGAGUUCAGUUUGAGUGUUGUUCACACUUUGCCAUGCCCAUAGUCUUGGAUCUGAAUCAUUUGAAAGGUUUUUGAAAUCUAGUUGAGAAAUGUAUAUCGACAAUUGUAGACUUCUGGUUAUAUGUUUCUCUAGAAUCUAUAUAUCAAUAUAUAGUUGAUGGAAAUAUCGUUACCCAUGGUGACUGCUCGCGAUUUCCCGGUGCGAAUGAGUCGUGUAUUCCGAUGUCCCAGUCAUUAUGUGCAGUAUGACCUGGGUUAGUGGAGGUUUCCCAUCCACUUGGUAUACUACUCAUACGUAUCCAACGUAUCUACAAUUUUUUGAUUCUUCCAUGCUGAUAUAUUAUCAUUCUAGAAUACUUUUGGGGUAUUUAUUUACCAAUUUAUAUUAUUUUUGAGCACUAACCUAUUGAUCCAGCGACUACUGCCAGUUGCUAUUUUAUGCGUGUUUUUCACUUUUCAGGUUUUCCAUAGCAAACGAAGUCCAAUUGCCCUGAAAAUUUUUGGUGAUUUUUUCUGGACCAAAAGAAGACCAACGAGCAUCGGAAGAAGGUUGGAGGCCUCACAAGGGGCCCACAAACCAACAGGGCGCGUCAUGGGGGCGCGCCCUGAUGGCUUGUGCCUCCCUCAUGGCCCUCCCGACUCCGUUGUUUGGCUUAUAAAUUCUCAUAUACCCUAAAAACAUCAGAGGGAGUUCCGAAACACUUUCUACACCAUCGCAAGUCUCUGUUCCGAUGGGAGGCCAUCUGGAGUUCCAUUCCGACACCCUGCUAGAGGGGGAUUGAUCAUAGAGGGCCUCUUCAUCAACCUUUCUACCCUCAUGAUGAUAUGUGAGUAGUUCACCACACACCUACGGGUCCAUAGCCAGUACCUAGAUGGCAAUCUCUCUUUGUCUCUCUUUUAUCUUCAUUACAAUGACCAUCGCAACUUCGCUUUGAUCCAUAUAUAUGAUGUAAUUCCUUUCGUGCGAUGCAUUUGUUGGGGUCUGAUGAAUUGUGGGUUUACGUUCAAAUUAUUCGUGAUAAAUAUUUGAGUCUCCUCUGAAUACUUGUAUGAUUCUAAUGUGAAUGAUUAUGAUAGGUUCAUAAUUCUCUCCGAUCUAUUGAAAUAGUUUGGCCAACUAGAUCGAUAUUUCUUCGGUGAGAGAGGUGCCUUGUGGUAGGUUCAACCUCGCGAAUUUCUAUAUCCCAGUGACAUAAGGGGACAAGAUGCAUCUUUGUAUUGCCGCUACGAAGGAUAAAACGAUGGGGAUUAUUCAUAUUGCUUGAGUUUACUUUGUCUACAACAUGUCAUUUUCUCCAUGCAUUACUCUGUUUUACUUAAUACUCUAGAUGCAUGCUGGAUAUCGGUCGAUGAGUGGAGUAAUAGUAAUAGUUGCAGGGAGGAGUCGGCCUAUUUUUUAUGGACGUGAUGCAUAUAUACACAUGAUCAUUGCCGUGAAUAUUGCAUAACUAUCCGCUUUUCUGUUAGUUGCCCAACAGUAAUUUGUGUACCCAUCGUAUGCUAUUUUUCAUGAGAGAUGCCAUUAGGGGAAAGCUAUAUCUCCCGGGUCUAUUCAUAACUUAUUGAUAAAACCUUCAUUACCUUGCUUCCAUUUCAUUGUUUUAUGUUAUCUUGCUAUCUACAAUUGUCUACACACCUCACUUGCUUGCAAAUAACAAGACAAGAGGAUUGACAACCGAGUUGCCCGCGUUGGGUGCAAGUUAUUUGUUCUUUUGUGUGCAGCCGCUGAAGACGGUUGUGGUUGAUAUUCCUAUUGGUUCGAUAAACCUUGGUUUCAUAACUUAGGGAAAUACUUACCCACAUUGUGUUGUGAUAACCCGUUCCUCUUCACGAAAAACCCAACGUAGAUCACAAGUAUCAUGAAGGAUUUAUGGCGUCAUUGUCGGGGAAUAUCAUCACCAACUACCAAGUAACUCCACACAAAAUUUCAUUCACUUGUUUCCAUCUUUUUUUUGCUGUUCUAUUUAAUUUGUCUCAUAAAAAAAUANAUACAAAAAUAUUUACAUUUUCUUGUUUUGCUUCUCACUAGAUUGCAUCUUCGCUCUCUAGUUUUCUUGAAAGUUGUUAUCAUGUCUCAGUUUGAAAUUAGUGAUGCCUCCGCCUCUAGUGUGGGAACCCUUGAUUUGCCAACUUUAACUUACGAUGAGAAUGCUAAAGUAAAUUUUGAUGAAGUUUCUAAUGAAAAACUUGAUAAUCUUGCGAAUCAUGAUCCUCCUAAGGUAGAACCUAUUAUGCAAACUAAGAAACUCCGCAUAGGUGGUGGUAAUAUUAUUGGAAAGUGUGUUAUUCAAGAUUUUUUUCACUUGUGCAGGAUCAUUCCCUUUUAUAGGAGGUUUUGUUGUUGCUAGAACUACAAGUUAUGUGAAUGUCAUAUAUUUUCUUAUAGUACAAUCGGAGAGACAAUUUGUGCAUAUGCAUCCUUUUAUACAAUGGUUGUUCCUAGAAUUCUCUAAUAUCCAUGAAGCUAGCACUAAACAUCUAGCUACUUGUCACAUCCCUGGAUCCCUAACUAGGGUUUAGUAUUUGUGCUCAUGUUUUCUUCCAUUGCAUUCAAGAAAUUGAAACAAACUCCAAGAAGUGCUGAAACUCAAACCAAAAACCCUAGCCACUUCUAAUUCAAGGAAAAUUCAAAUCUUGUCAAAAUCAAUGAACCCAAAAUGGCCUUCUUUAAAGUUCAAUAUUUCUGAUAAAUAUUGAAAACAAGUUAUCAGGGGAGAAAACUAUUUUUAAGACAUCCUUGGCAUUUUAAAUUUAAUUCAGAAAGCCCCUGAAUUCAAACUUAAAUUUGAAUUCAAAUAUUUACAAGUUUCAAAACUGUUGCAAACCUCACGAGUAGUUGGCAAUAUUCCAACUAUCACUCCGGGCUAUUCAAAAUAAUUUUUGAACUAAUUUUGGAGCCAAUAUAAAUGGCAAAUCAAAUCAGCAACAAAACAGAAAACAAAAAUAGAAAAAAAUGGGAAAAACUUACCUGUCGCUCACCUGAGGAAGCCCAGCCCACAGGGGCAGGUUCGUCUUCUUCCUUCUGCCUUCUGGCAGAGGAGUGAACGCCCACGGUGACUCCUCCACCUCCUGCUUGCCGUGGCGCGCUCCGGUGCCCCCAGGACAGCGCGAUGGCGGGAAUGAGACCCCCGCACGCGUCCUUAUCUUCUCCCGUUCCCCAUUCCGCCCCCUCCUCUCGGCUUUCUUCCUUUCUUCUUGUGCCGCCAUGGACAGAGCUCAAGCUCGAGCUGCCCGAGCCCUCUAGCCACAGGAUACUUCCUCCGAGUGCUCCAUUUUCUCCGCCUCGUCGAGCUAGCCAUGUACGCCGAAGCAUUCGACCUCCCCAAGCUCUGGUGCGCCACAUCGCCGUCGUCUUCAACCUCCGGCCGUCGGCAAGCUUCUGUUGAUUCGACGUCCACAGCACCUCCCCGAGCCGUCUGAGCUUCCCAUCGCCUCCACCGUGAGCUUGCGCGUGUUUCCCCUCUUCUUCCCCCCAUUUUCCUGCAUGCUAGCCACUAGACCGACGAGCCCGAGCUCCGGCUGCUGCCUCAGCUCGUCGCUGGUGACCUCCGGUCAAUCCCAGUCCUUCCUGAAACCCAUAAUGGAUGAGGUCGAGCCUCGGGAUCCUCCCAGUGCUCUCGGCACUCGAUCCUGAGCACCACAUGCACCACAGUAAGUAAAGGUUGUGUGUUGAACCUGAUUUGGUAAAGGUACCGGUGAAAGGCUAUGUAGGAGUACAUGGCGGGUUGUUUCAUUGGAACCGUCCUUAGGAACUGAGUUCCGUGUAUGUAAUCCAAGACUAUAUACUACAACACGUUGGGAUACUUAAUUGACACUCACGACUUAUUAAUCGCUUAGUACUCGGUCCAGGAGUUGCAAGUAGUUUCUGGUGUUUAUAGUCAUGCUGGAGGCCGUGCGUAGCGCUGACCUUAGAAGUGGGAUAUGAUGCGGUAGGCAGUGGCACGGUGUACCAAGGGGCACCCGGAUGGUGGGCUUGGGAACCCUGCGCACAUCGUUUGGGGCCGUGGCGGAAACCUCGGCCGGACUUCCGUGCGGGUUACCCUCAGAUAGGCGAUAGACCUGGACUAAGUAUUAGCGUGGUUAACGGUCGUGGCCGACUCUCUCACUGGGCUUCCGCUUGGAGGUUGCCGAGGUGCAUGUCGUGCACAUGGCGAUAAGUGGCGAGAGCAUGUGUGAAGAAGUACACCCCUGCAGGGUUAUGAUCUAUUCGAAUAGCCGCGUCCACGGAUAUGGACUACUUGGAAGCAUAUGUUGUUCAUAGAUAACUUUAAUGGCUACUCAUAAAAUUGUCAAGAUAAGUGUGAGUGUCGUGGACGGCAUUUCCGUAUGGAGACGGAAUGAUUCCACGAUGGAGUAUUGUUGUGGUGUUAGUGGACUCAUGUGCGAGAAAUCAAGUUGUCAAAAUUAUUUAAAAAUGCAAGUUGUCUAGCCACGAGUCAAAUGUUGGCUUUCCGCAUGAAACCCCACAAUUCCUUAUUGAUACAUUGCAUGAGUAGAUAGCUUAUCCUAAAGUCUUGCUGAGUACUUUUGUACUCAUGUUUGCUUAAUAAUUGUUGCAGAGGUUGUUAAUGACCCUAAUGGAGGGUUCUACCUAGACAUCGACGAUGACGAGUAGCUGGGAUCUGGCCCUAGGGUGGGUCUGUAGAUAGUCAGGCCAUGUGCCUUUAUCUUUCCCUCUGUCUGUACUCAGACAGCUUUAAAUCUUCCGCUGGCUAGUAAGAUUGUGUGUAUGACUUGUGAUGAUGGGUCGUGAGACCCCUACUUUGUAAUAUUAUGUGUGUGGAUCUUCCGAGCCUUCUAAAUAAAGUUUGUAUGUUUAUGGUUAUGUUGUGAUGCCAUCGAUGUAUCUAUACAUAUCGGUAGGCCAUGCGUACGUGUGUUGUACUUGAUAUGUAUGGGGUUCGAUUACCUAGUCGUAGGCUUUAGUAGCAUUCCUUACAGGGAAAUGCCCCUUUGUGAUCCAACGAGCCAUGGUAGUUCGCUACUGCUCCGGACACAUUGGUUGACCAGCAUGUGUCCUUCUUAGCUAUUGUGUCUGUCCCCGUUGGGGAAAUUUUACCCGAUGUAAUGGAGUCCUUGUAGCUUGCUUCGACUUGUCUACAUUCGCUGGUGACCGACACCUGCUUUGCUGGGUCAUGUAUGCAUGUCCCUGUGUGGAACUGCCGCUUUGGUUUAUGACUAGACAUGUCGAUCCGGGUUCUUUGUCAUUGGAUUGCUAGCGACACAAUUGCAUACGCGAGUCAAAAGUCGCAAACGGUCCCGGCUAAGGUAAGGCUGCAACCGUGGGGAUAACCGUGUGUGAGACCGCAAAGAGAUGCGAUGUGUUACAGUCUGGAUUCCUAUGGCUUAGGAUCGGGGUCCCGACACUACUAUAUUCCUUUUCUAAAGAAUUUAGUAAUAUCAUACAAGAAGCUAGAGAUAUAUUUUCUCAUUUUAGGUUUGAUGGUGAUUUCCCACCCAUAGAGGGGAUUCUUUAUGAAUUGGAAGAAAUAAGAAAACUAAGAUCCAUAGACUAUCUUGCUUAUGAUGAGAACCUUAGAAAGAAGGUACCGCUUAAUGUCUUAGUUGAUAAUAUUUCUAAACACAAUGAUUAAUUUGCUAUAUCAAAACUUGGAUUGGAUUAUGAUCUUCAAACAAAAUUAAGGAAAUACCUCCAUAGGAAUUUAUACAAUGAGGAACUAACUAUCACUUAUGAAAAACCCAAGGGAGAGCCUCAUGUCCCCCCCCCCCAAAGUAGACCUUUCGGAUCCUAAUGUUGUGCUAUUUAACCCCUUCAAUUAUUUUUGCUAACCUAUCAUAAAUCUUGCUGCUCAAUAAAGGGAAUAUGAUUAUAGAAUGAUGGGUCAUUCUUAAAAAUAUGACAACACUUGAAACUAUGCAAUAUACCUAGCUAGGGGCAUAAAACAAUAGCGCUUGUUGGGAGGCAACCCAAUAGUUAUCUCUAUUUUUUCUUUUAAAUUUUUAUCAGUUUGCGAUAACAUGAUUAUUUCCUAUGUAAUUAUUAUGUUUCUAUGUUUAAUUACUGUUUGUACCAAGUAAAUCCUUUGGGAUGAUUUGCAUGAUGAGUAGAAUUAAUACGGUGCAAAAACAGAAACUUUGACGUCCACUACAGAAUAUCUCUGAUUUUACUAGAACGUAUUUUCAAGCUGAAAUUUUUACACGCUAUGAAUACGCAAAUUCGUUAGGUCGUCCUAAACUUUCAGAACUUUUGGAGUUACUUUAGUAUAGGUUCAUUACAAAUUACCACAGAUUGUUCUGUUUGAGUCACAUUCUGUUUUUGCAUGCGAAGUUUGCUUGUUUUGAUGAUGCUAUGAAUUGUAUCAGGGUAUAAGCCAUGGAAGAGUUAGGACACAGUACCCUAUGCUAAAAUAAAAUAAUAAUCAACUUGUAAGAGAACCUGAAAGUAUUUGAUAUGUUGCUGAUACUAACGGAUCUCACAAAGUUUUGUUGAGUUUUAUGUGAUUGAAGUUUUCAAGUUUUGGGUAUUGUCCUAAUGGACAAAGGAUUGAGGAUCAGCAAAAGCCUAAGCUUGGAAAUUCCCAAGGAACCCCAAUGUAAUAUUCCAGGAAGGCUCAAGCGUCUAAGCUUGGGGAUACCCCGAAAGACAUCCCCUCUUUUCGUCUCAAUCCAUCGGUAUGUUACUUUGGGCUAUAUUUUUACUCAUCACAUGAUAUAUUUUUACUCAUCACAUAAAAUCAUUGUUUGCUGGACACACCUAUCUUAGAGAUAGACCACGUCAUCACAAUUUGUUAGAAUACUCUAUGUGCUUCACUUAUAUCUUUUGAGCUUAGCAGUUGCUCUAGUACUUCACUUAUAUCUUCUCGAGCACGGUGGCAUGUAGAUUUUAUUGAAAUAUUAUGAUCUCGUUCUUCACUUAUAUUUGUUUGAGAGAUGAACAAAUAGUGACAGUAAUUUUCAUGGGUCAUAAGACUAGAUAAAAAAUAAUGAGUAUUCAAUGAGUGAUAAUUAAAACCAUCAUGUAGCACAUAUAGAGAAAUUAUGGGUUAAUGAUAUUGAUGUGGUGAUAUGGAAAAGGUAAGAGUGCAUUAUUAUUAAUUCAGAAAGGUGUAGAUAUUAAUAGAUGUUAAACUUUGUGCUCAUCUAAAAUAUUAAAAGGGCAUGGUGAUGAUGUGUGAACAUUUCUAUUCCUCGCUGAAAUCCUAGCGUUGUUUUUAGUCGAAGACGCACGAUGGUUAAUUCCUACCAACCCUCUCCCUCAGGGCAUGCGAGUAGUACUUUGACUUGUGAUAAAACUAAUAAAACUUUCCAACAAGUAUAUGAGUUCUUCUUGACUAAUGUGACACCAUGGACAUAUGCAAUCUCACCUCCUCUUAAUUGCUAGCCUCUUCGGUAUCGUGCAUCGCCCGUUCUCACCUUGAGGGUCGGUGCGACUUUCGCCAGUGUAUCCCAACCCCGUGACAUGACACGCACUGUUGCACAUAAACCUUUUUAUAUACUCCUCAAAACAGCCACCAUAACUACCUAUCAUGGCAUUUUCGUAUACAUUCCGAGAUAUAUUGUUAUGCAAAUGUCACCGUCACUUCACAUGACUAGUUCGUUCAUAAUCAUAAUGCUUUGCAUGAUCAUAUAGAGAUGACAUAGUAACCAGUAGCAACAAAGUGACAACAGUAGAAGCAAAGUAACAGCAGUAGCGGCAAAGUAACAGUAGCAGCAGUGACAGCAGUAGCGGCAAAGUAACGUAGCAAGGACCAGUAGGAAAAAAACUCGUAGGCAUUAGAUCGGUGAUGGAUGAUUAUGUCGGAUGUUAGUCAUCAUGCAACAGCUAUAACACGGAGAGAUAUGUAACUAGCUCCAGUUCAUCAGUGUAAUGUAGGCAUGUAUUCCGUAUGUAGUCAUACGUGCUUAGGGAAAAGAACUUGCAUGACAUCUAUUGUCCAUCCCUCCCGUGGCAGAGGGGUCCUAAUGGAAACUACGGGAUAUUAAGGUUCUCCUUUUAAUAAAGAACCGGACCAACGCAUUAACACUUGGUGAAUACAUGAACUCCUCAUACUAUGGUCAUCUCCGGGAGUGGUUCUGGCUGUUGUCACUCCGGGGUUGCCGGGUCAUAACACAUAGUAGGUGACUACAACUUGCAAGAUAGGAUCAAGAACACACAUAUAUUGGCGACAACAUAAUAGGUUCAGAUCUGAAAUCAUGGCACUCGGGCCCUAGUGACAAGCAUUAAGCAUGGCAAAGUAGUAGCAACAUCAAUCUUAGAACAUAGUGGAAACUAGGGAUCAAUCCCCGUCAAAACUAACUCGAUUACAUGAUAGAUCUCAUCCAACCCAUCACCGUCGAGCAAGCCUACGACGAGAUUACUCACGAACGGUGAAGAGCAUCAUGGAAUUGGCGAUGAAGGAAGGUUGGUGAUGACGCUGGCGACGAUUUCCCCUCUCCGGAGCCCAGAACGGCCUCCAGAUCUGCCCUCCAGAGGAAGAACUGGAGGUGGCGGCGCCUCCGUAUUGUAAAACGCAAUGAACUCUUCUCCUUGAUUUUUUCGGACGAAAAGGACUAAAUAGACCUGAGAUUGGAAGCGAUGGAGCAAUGGGCCCCACAAGCCUGCCAGACGUGGCCAGGGGGGCCCACGCCUGGUGGGCUUGUGGGCUCCAUGAUCCACUUUCUCCGUUGAUUCUUGCGCCAGUAUUUUUCAUAUAUUCCACAAAAAUUCUUCGUAAAUUUUCAGGUCAUUCCGAGAACUUUUAUUUCUGCGCAAAAACAACACCAUAGAAAUUCUGCUGAAAACAGCGUUAGUCCGGGUUAGUUCCAUUCAAAUCAUGCAAAUUAGAGUCCAAAACAAGGGCAAAAGAGUUUGGAAAAGUAGAUACAACAGAGACGUAUCAACUCCCCCAAACUUAAAACCUUGCUUGUCCUCAAGCAAUUCAGUUGUCAAACUGAAAGAGACAAAAGGAAAACUUUUACGAACUCUGUUUGAUCUUGUUGUUGCAACUAUGUCUAACUCAUAUCCAGAAUUUCAGCAAGAUCACAAGCUAACCACAUAAGCAAAUGACAUCUAGGUCUCACGGUAAACUCAUAUCAAUGGCAUAAUCAACUAGCGAGCAAAUAAUAAUAAGUCUCAAACGUCAACACUUCAAUCAAAACAAUCAUGAAGCAGUACGAAUAGAUGGUAUCUCUCUAGCUCUUUCUGAGACCACAAAACAUAAAUGUAGAGCACCUUCAAAGACCAAGGGCUGACUAAACAUUGUAUUUCAUGGCAAAAAAGAUCCAGUCACAGUCAUACUCAAUCACAGUUAAAAGCAAAGCAUAAAAAUGACAGAGGUGCUCUCUAAUUGGUGCGUUUAUAAGAAGAGGAUGACUCAACAGGAACAUAAAUAGAUNNNNNNNNNNNNNNNNNNNNNNNNNNNNNNNNNNNNNNNNNNNNNNNNNNNNNNNNNNNNNNNNNNNNNNNNNNNNNNNNNNNNNNNNNNNNNNNNNNNNUAGUGGUAUAUAUAGUUUAGUUGGUAGGUUAGUUAAUUAGUAGAUUUAGUGGUAGUUUAGUUAGUUGGUAGAUUAUGUUUAGUUAGUUGGUAGUUUAGUUAGUUGGUACAUUUAGUUAGUUAAUUAGUAGAUUUAGUAGGUAGUUUAGUGGUAGAUUGUGUUUUGUUAAUUAGUGGUAGCUAGAUUGUCUUUUAGCUACUUAGUGGUAGAUUCUGUUUUUGUUAUUUUGUUGUUGUUUAGUGCUAUAUAGGUUUAGCGAUAGGUUUAGUGCUAGUUUACGUAGAUAAGGGAAGAAUAAUAAGNNNNNNNNNNNNNNNNNNNNNNNNNNNNNNNNNNNNNNNNNNNNNNNNNNNNNNNNNNNNNNNNNNNNNNNNNNNNNNNNNNNNNNNNNNNNNNNNNNNNNNNNNNNNNNNNNNNNNNNNNNNNNNNNNNNNNNNNNNNNNNNNNNNNNNNNNNNNNNNNNNNNNNNNNNNNNNNNNNNNNNNNNNNNNNNNNNNNNNNNNNNNNNNNNNNNNNNNNNNNNNNNNNNNNNNNNNNNNNNNNNNNNNNNNNNNNNNNNNNNNNNNNNNNNGAAGAUGAAGAAGAAGAAAAUGAAAUCCCGACACCACGACACCUGACACGAUGCCCCGAAUCCUCGACACGACGCCCCGACACGACAUCUCGACGACUCCCCGACACGAAAUAUUUUUUAUGGAUCCUAGAUGACAUCUAUAUAGGUCAUAUAUUUGUGUUAGGUCAUAUAUUUUUCGAUUUUAUUAAUGAACACAAAAUAUUUGUGUUCAACGGGUGGAUUUACAUGUCACAGUUGUCUCGCUGCUGUCAGGUCUGCUGUCCGAAGACCUCCCCGUGCGUUCUACGAGCUCCGCCCCUGCAUUUGUGGGUGAGUACAAAUGUCAUAUCCUCCUCGCCCCUUCAUUUUUGGUGGGUCGGUCUUCAGAUGAAACUUGCUAGAUAUAGGUAAUUAAAUUAAUUUAUCAGUAUGCGUGACCAGUAUGUGUUUGCCAUUCGAAAGGGUUACAGUUAUAAAUAUGCAUGUAUUUGCAUAUAUUUAUAACCGCGAUUCUUCCGAAUUGUCCAACGUUAUACAUGGACAACCCGAGUAUGUGUAGAUUGGGUUCAUUUUCCCAUAUGCUUUGUUCCGGAUCCGAUGCAUAAUUUCGUCAGUGCCUCCCUCUUGUUCUCCGGAUACACAUCCUCUCUGUUUAUUAUGGAGACGUGUAUCAGGAGAACAACGGGGAGAUCCUACCGAAAUUUUGCGUUGGAUCCGGAGUAGGGCAUGGGAAAAUGGACCCAAUCUACACAUACUCGGGUGGGAUUAGGACCUAUCUUUACCUAUUAGCGCGUAGGUUGCAUUGACGUAAUAAAACUGGCGAACUUGAUUAACUGAUGAAUAUAUAUGCUGAAUUAUAUAUAAAUAUAUUUCUUGUGUGUUUAGUAACUAGGCAAGAUGAGUGUGUUGGAAAUAUGCCCUAGAGGCGAUAAUAAAAUGGUUAUUAUCAUAUUUCCUUGUUCAUGAUAAUCGUCUAUUGUUCAUGCUAUAAUUGUAUUAACAGGAAACAGUAAUACAAGUGUGAAUAAAUAGAUCACAAUGUGUCCCUAGCAAGCCUCUAGUUAGCUAGCUCGUUAGUCAAUAGAUGAUCAUGGUUUCCUGAUCAUGGGCAUUAGAUGUCAUUGAUGACGGGAUCACAUCAUUGGAGAAUGAUGUGAUGGACAAGACCCAAUCCUAAGCAUAGCACUAGAUCAUAUUGUUGGUAUGCUAAAGCUUUUCUAAUGUCAAGUGUAUUUUAUUUCAACCGUGAGAUUGUGCAACUCCCGGAUACCGUAGGAGUGCUUUGGGUGUAUCAAACGUCACAACAUAACUGGGUGACUAUAAAGGUGCACUACGGGUACCUCCGAAAGUGUCUGUUGGGUUGGUACGAAUCGAGAUCGGGAUUUGUCACUCCGUGUGACGGAGAGGUAUGUCUGGGCCCACUCGGUAGAACAUCAUCAUGAGCUCAAUGUGACUAAGGAGUUAGUCACAUGAUGACGUGCUACGGAACGAGUAAAGAGACUUACCGGUAAUGAGAUUGAACAAGGUAUAGGUAUACCGGCGAUCGAAUCUCGGGCAAGUUCUAUACCGACAAACAAAGGGAAUCGUAUACGGGAUUGAUUGAAUCCUUGACAUCGUGGUUCAUCCGAUGAGAUCAUCGUGGAGCAAGUGGGAGCCACCAUGGAUAUCCAGACCCCACUGAUGGUUAUUUGUCGGAGAGGCGUCUCGGUCAUGUCUGCCUGUCUCCCGAACCCGUAGGGUCUACACACUUAAGGUUCGAUGACACUAGGGUUAUAGGGAAUUUUUAUACGAGGUUACUGAAAGUUGUUCGGAGUCUCGGAUGAGAUCCCGGACGUCACAAGGAGCUCCUAAAUGGUCCGAAGGUAAAGAUUGAUAUAUAGGACGGAUGGUUUGGGACACCGGAAGUGUUUCGGGCAUCACCGGUAACGUACCGGGACCACCGGGACCAUCGGAGGUGGCCCCGGGGAUCCACCGAAGGGUGGCAACGACCCCGGGAGGUAAGAUGGGCCAAGUGGGGAAGGGAACCAGCCCCUAGGUGGGCUGGUGCACCUCCCCACUCAGCCCAAUGCACAGGCGAGAGGGAAGGGGGGGGCAAACCCUAAGCCAGGUGGGCCUAAGGCCCACCAGGUGGUGCGCCACCCCCUCCCACCCUAGCCGCCGCACCUGUUUCCCAUCUGGUGGCUGCCACACCACCUAGGGGGGAACCCUAGGGGUGGCGCACCCCCCUCCCCCUCCUCCUAUAAAUAGAGAGGGGUUUUGGCCCUUGGGAGAUAGACUUUUCCCUCUCUCUCGGCGCAGCCCUACCCUUCUUCCUCCUCCUCUCUGUCGGUGCUUGGCGAAGCCCUACCAGGAGACCUCGUCUCUCCAUCGACACCAUGCCGUCGUGCUGCUAGAGUUCUUCCCCCAACCUCUCCCUCCUCCUUGCUGGAUCAAGGUGCGGGAGACGUCACCGGGCUGCACGUGUGUUGAACGCGGAGGUGUCGUAGUUCGGCACUAGAUCGGAAUCGCUGCGAGUACGACUCCAUCAACCGCGUUCUAGCAACGCUUCCGCUUAGCGAUCUUCAAAGGUAUGAAGAUGCUCUUACCCCUCUCUCGUUGCUGGUCUCUCCAUAGGAAGAUCUGAAUAUGUACGUAACCCAACAGUGGCAUCUGAGCCAGGUUUUCUAUGCGUAGAUUCUAUGCACGAGUAGAACACAAAAGUUGUGGGCGAUGAUUUGUCAAUUUGCUUGCCGCUACUAGUCUUAUUAUUUUCCGGCGGUAUUGUGGGAUAAAGCGGCCCGGACCGACUUUAGACGUACGCUUACGUGAGACUGGUUCCACCGACAGACAUGCACACCGUGCAUAAAGGUGGCUAGCGGGUGUCUGUCUCUCCUACUCUAGUCGGAUUGGAUUUGAUGAAAAGGGUCCUUAUGAAGGGUAAAUAGCUUUGGCGUAUCAUCAUUGUGGCUGUCACGUAGGUAAGAAGGCGUUCUUGCUAGAAACCCAAAUCAGCCACGUAAAACUUGCGACAACAAUUAGAGGACGUCUAACUUGUUUUUGCAGGGUUUGACAUGUGAUGUGAUAUGGCCAAAGUUGUGAUGUUGCAUGUAUGAUGUAUCAGAUGAUCAUGUUAUUGUAAUAGGUUUCACGACUUGCAUGUUGAUGAGUAUGAAAAUCGGCAGGAGCCAUAGGAGUUGUCUUAAUUUAUUGUAUGAGAUGCAACGCCAUGUGCUUACUACUUUUACUUCAUUGCUAAUGGUUAGCUAUAGUAGUAGUGAUAGUAGUAGUUGGCGUGACGACUUCAUGGAGACAUGAUGAUGGAGAUCAUGGUGUCACGCUGGUGACGAUGAUGAUCAUGCGAUGCCUGAAGAUGAGAUCGAAAGGGCGAAGAUGAUAAUGGCCAUAUCAUGUCACUAUAUGAUUGCAAUGUGAUGUUUAUCAUGUUCUACAUCUUAUUGCUUAGAACGACGGUAGCAUAAUAAGAUGAUCCCUCUUAAAAUUUCGAGAACGUAUUACCUUAAGUGUGCAUAGUUGCGAAGGUUCAUUGUCUCGAAGCACCACGUGAUGAUCGGGCGUGAUAGAUUCUAACGUUCGCAUACAACAGGUGUAAGCCAGAUUUACACACGCGAAACACCUAGGUUGACUCGACGAGCUUAGCAUGUACAGACAUGACCUCGAAUACAAGAGACCGAAAGGUCGAACAUGAGUCGUAUGGUUGAAUACGAUCAUCAUUAAGUUGCUCACCAUGGUGACUAGUCCGUCUCACGUGAUGAUCGGACACGGGUUAGUCAACAUGGAUCAUGUAUCACUUAGAUACCUAGAGGGAUAUCGAUUUAAGUGGGAGUUCAUACUUAAUUUGAUUAAAUGAACUUAAUUGUCAUGAACUUAGUCUAAAAGUUGUCUUUAUAAAUAUUGUAGAUGGCCAACGUCAACCUCAAUUUCAACGCAUUCCUAGAGAAAAACAAGCUGAAAGAUGAUGGUAGCAACUAUGCGGACUGGGUUCGCAACUUGAAGCUCAUCCUUGAAGCAGCUAAAAAGGCUUGUGUCCUUGAUGCGCCGCUAGGUGACCCUCCCGCUCCCGCAGCAGCCGAGGACAUUCUGAACGUCUGGCAAGCGCGGAGUGAUGACUACUCUCUCGUUAGGUGUGGCAUGUUAUAUAGUUUAGAAACGGGGCUCCAAAGGCGUUUUGAGCAACACGAAGCAUAUGAGAUCUUCCAAGAGCUAAAGCUAGUUUUUCAAGCUCAUGCCCGUGUCGAGAGAUAUGAAGUCUCCGACAAGUUCUUUAGAUGUAAGAUGGAGGAGAACAGUUAUGUCAGUGUGCACAUACUCAAAAUGUCUGGGUUACACGAUCGUCUGACUUCACUUGAAGUCGAACUUCCGGAUGAUGCUAUAAUUGACAGAAUCCUCUAGUCUCUCCCACCAAGCUACAAAGGCUUUGUGCUUAACUACAACAUGCAAGGGAUGGAGAAGACCAUUCCCGAGUUGUACUCGAUGCUCAAGUAUGCAGAAGUAGAAAUCAAGAAAGAGCAUCAAGUGUUGAUGGUCAACAAGACCACUAGUUUCAAGAAAGGCAAGGGUAAGAAGAACUUCAAGAAAGACGGCAAAGCUGUUGCCGCGCCCGGUAAGCCAGAUGCCGGGAAGAGGAAAAAGAAUGGACCCAAGCCUGAGACUGAGUGCUUCUAUUGCAAGGGAAAGGGUCACUGGAAGCGGAACUGCCCCAAAUACUUAGCGGACAAGAAGGCCGGCAACGUUAAAGGUAUAUGUGAUAACAUGUUAUUGAUGUGUACCUUACCAGCGCUCGUAGUAGCUCCUGGGUAUUUGAUACCGGUGAUGUUGCUCACAUUUGCAACUCAAAGCAGGAACUGCGGAAUAAGCGGAGACUGGCCAAGGACGAGGUGACGAUGCGCGUCGGAAAUGGUUCAAAGGUCGAUGUGAUCGCCGUCGGCACGCUACCUCUAGAUCUACCGUCGGCAUUAGUCUUAAACCUUAAUAAUUGUUAUUUAGUACCAGCUUUAAGCAUGGACAUUGUAUCAGGGUCUUGCUUAAUGCGAGACGGCUAAUCAUUUAAGUCAGAGAAUAUUGGUUGUUCUAUUUAUAUGAGUGAUAUGUUUUAUGAUCAUGCUCCGCUGGUGAAUGGUUUAUUCUUGAUGAAUCUCGAUCGUGAUGUUACACAUAUUCAUAGUGUGAGUACCAAAAGAUGUAAAGUUGAUAAUGAUAGUCCCACAUACUUGUGGCACUGCCGCCUUGGUCAUAUCGGCGUUAAGCGCAUGAAGAAGCUCCAUACUGAUGGACUAUUAGAGUCUCUUGACUUUGAAUCAUUUGACACAUGCGAACCGUGCCUCAUGGGCAAGAUGACUAAGACUCCAUUCUCAGGAAUAAUGGAGAGAGCAACCGACUUAUUGGAAAUAAUACAUACUGAUGUGUGUGGUCCAAUGAACGUUGAAGCUCGCGGUGGCUGUCGUUAUGUUCUCACUCUCACCGAUGAUUUGAGUAGGUAUGGGUAUAUCUACUUGAUGAAGCACAAAUCUGAGACAUUUGAAAAUUUCAAGGAAUUUCAGAGUGAGGUCGAGAAUCAACGUGACAGAAAAAUCAAGUGUCUACGAUCUGAUCGUGAAGGAGAAUAUUUGAGUCACGAGUUUGGCACACACCUAAGGAAGUGUGGAAUCGUUUCACAACUAACGCCGCCUGGCACACCGCAACGCAACGGAGUGUGUGAACAUCGUAAUCGCACUUUAUUAGAUAUGGUACGAUCUAUGAUGUCUCUUACCGACUUACCACUAUCAUUUUGGGGAUAUGCAUUAGAAACUGCAGCAUUCACUUUAAAUAGGGUACCGUCUAAAUCCGUUGAGACGACACCGUAUGAACUAUGGUUUGGCAAGAAACCUAAGUUAUCGUUUCUUAAAGUUUGGGGCUGCGAUGCUUAUAUGAAGAAACUUCAACCAGAAAAGCUCGAACCCAAAGCGGAUAAAUGCGUAUUCAUAGGAUACCCUAAAGGAACUAUUGGGUAUACCUUCUAUCUUAGAUCCGAAGGUAAAACCUUUGUUGCCAAGAACGGAUCCUUUCUAGAGAAAGAGUUUUCUCGAAAGAAGUAAGUGGGAGGAAGGUAGAACUUGAUGAGGUAAUUACACCCCCUCUCGAACAGGAUAGUAGCGCAGCGCGGGAAGUUGUUCCUGUGGCGCCUACACCAACUGAGGAGGAAGUUAAUGAUGAUGAUCAUGAAGCUUCGAAUCAAGUUACUACUGAACCGCGAAGGUCCACAAGGGCACGCUCUGCACCAGAGUGGUACGACAACCCUGUGGUGGAGAUCAUGUUGUUAGACAACCGUGAACCUUCGAACAAUGAAGAAGCGAUGGCGGCCCGGAUUCCAACAAAUGGCUUGAGGCUAUGAAAUCCGAGAUAGGAUCCAUGUAUGAGAACAAAGUAUGGACUUUGGUGGACUUGCCUGAUGACCGGCGAGCCAUAGAAAAUAAAUGGAUCUUCAAGAAGAAGACUGAUGCAAACGGUAAUGUAACCGUUUACAAAGCUCGACUUGUCGCAAAGGUUUUUCGAGAAAUUCAAGGAGUUAACUACGAAGAGACUUUCUCUCCCGUAGCGAAGCUGAAAUCAGUCUAAAUCAUGUUAGCAAUUGCCGCCUUUUAUGAUUAUGAAAUUUGGCAAAUGGACGUCAAAACAGCGUUCCUUAACGGGAACCUUAAGGAAGAGUUGUAUAUGAUGCAACCAGAAGGUUUUGUCGACCCUAAGGGUGCUAACAAAGUGUGCAAGCUCCAGUGCUCCAUCUAUGGGCUGGUGCAAGCAUCUCCGAGUUGGAACAUUCGCUUUAAUGAGGUGAUUAAAGCGUUUGGGUUCAUACAGGUUUACGGAGAAACCUGUCUGUAUGAGAAAGUGAGUGGGAGCUCUGUAGCUUUCCUCAUACUGUAUGUGGAUGACAUAUUAUUGAUGGGGAAUAAUAUAGAGAUGUUGGAGAGCAUAAAGGCCUAUUUGAACAAGAGUUUUUCAAUGAAGGACCUUGGAGAAGCUGCAUACAUAUUAGGCAUCAAGAUCUAUAGAGAUCGAUCGAGACGCCUCAUAGGUCUUUCGCAAAGCACAUACCUUGACAAGAUAUUGAAGAAGUUCAAUAUGGAUAACUCAAAGAAAGGGUUCUUGCCAGUUUUGCAAGGUAUGAGAUUGAGUAAGACUCAGUCGCUGACCACGGCAGCAGAAAGAGAGAAGAUGAGUUAUGUCCCCUACGCUUCAGCCGUGGGCUCUCUAAUGUAUGCCAUGCUGUGUACCAGACCUGAUAUAAACCUUGCCAUAAGUUUGGUAGGGAGGUACCAAAGUGAUUCCGGUAUGGAACACUGGACAGCGGUCAAGAAUAUCCUUAAGUACCUGAAAAGGACUAAGGAAAUGUUUCUCGUUUAUGGAGGUGACGAAGAGCUCGUCGUAAAGGGUUACGUCGACGCUAGCUUCGACACAGAUCCGGGUGACUCUAAGUCACAGACCGGAUACGUAUAUGUGUUGAAUGGUGGGGUAGUGAGCUAGUGCAGCAGCAAGCAAGAAGUCGUGGCAGCAUCUACAUGUGAAGCGGAGUACAUAGCUGCUUCAGAAGCAACUCAUGAAGGAAUUUGGAUGAAGGAGCUCAUCACCGACCUUGGAGUGGUUCCAAGCGCGUCGGGUCCAAUGACACUCUUCUGUGAUAACACUGGGGCCAUUGCCAUAGCCAAGGAGCCCAGGUUUCACUGGAAGACGAAGCACAUCAAAUGCCGCUACAACUCCAUCCAGGACCAUGACCAGAGUGGAGUGAUAGAUAUUUGUAAAGUACACACGGAUCUGAAUGUUGCAGACCCGUUGACUAAACCUCUUCCACGAGCAAAACAUGAUCAACACCAUAAUGCUAUGGGUGUUCAAUACAUCACAAUGUAACUAGAUUAUUGACUCUAGUGCAAGUGGGAGACUGUUGGAAAUAUGCCCUAGAGGCAAUAAUAAAAUGGUUAUUAUCAUAUUUCCUUGUUCAUGAUAAUCGUCUAUUGUUCAUGCUAUAAUUGUAUUAAGAGGAAAGAGUAAUACACGUGUGAAUAAAUCGAUCACAAUGUGUCCGUAGCAAGCCUCUAGUUAGCUAGCUCGUUAGUCAAUAGAUUAUCAUGGUUUCCUGAUCAUGGGCAUUAGAUGUCAUUGAUGACGGGAUCACAUCAUUGGAGAAUGAUGUGAUGGACAAGACCCAAUCCUAAGCAUAGCACUAGAUCGUAUUGUUCAUAUGCUAAAGCUUUUCUAAUGUCAAGUGUCUUUUCCUUCGACCGUGAGAUUGUGCAACUCCCGGAUACCGUAGGAGUGCUUUGGGUGUAUCAAACGUCACAACGUAACUGGGUGACUAUAAAGGUGCACUACGGGUACCUCUGAAAGUGUCUUUUGGGUUGGUACGAAUCGAGAUCGGGAUUUGUCACUCCGUGUGACAGAGAGGUAUCUCUGGGCCCACUCAGUAGAACAUCAUCAUGAGCUCAAUGUGACUAAGGAGUUAGUCACACGAUGACGUGCUACGGAACGAGUAAAGAGACUUACCGGUCACGAGAUUGAACAAGGUAUAGGUAUACCGACGAUCGAAUCUCGAGCAAGUUCUAUACCGACAGACAAAGGGAAUCGUAUACGGGAUUGAUUGAAUCCUUGACAUCAUGGUUCAUCCGAUGUGAUCACUGUGGAGCAAGUGGGAGACACCAUGGGUAUCUAGACCCCGCUGAUGGUUAUUGGCCGGAGAGGCGUCUCGGUCAUGUCUGCUUUUCUCCCGAACCCGUAGGGUCUACACACUUAAGGUCCGAUGACGCUAGGGUUAUAGGGAAUUGUUAUACGAGGUUACCGAAAGUUGUUCGGAGUCCCAGAUGAGAUCCCGGACAUCACGAGGAGCUCCGUAAUGGUCCGGAGGUAAAGAUUGAUAUAUAGGACGGAUGGUUUCGGACACCGGAAGUCUUUCGGGCAUCAUCGGUAACGUACCGGGACCACCGGGACCACCGAAGGGGGCAACGACCCCGGGAGGUAAGAUGGGCCGAGUGGGGAAGGGAACCACCCCUAGGUGGGCUGGUGCGCCUCGCCACUCUGCCCAAUGCGCAGGGGAGAGAGAAGGGGGGGGCAAACCCUAAGCCAGGUGGGCCUAAGGCCCACCAGGUGGUGCGCCACCCCCUCCCACCCUAGCCGCCACCCCCCUUUCCCAUCUGGUGGCUGCCGCACCACCUAGGGGGUAACCCUAGGGGUGGUGCACUCCCUCCACCUCCUCCUAUAAAUAGAGAGGGGUUUUGGCCCUUGGGAGAUAGACUUUUCCCUCUCUCUCAGCGCAGCCCUGCCCUUCUUCCUCCUCCUCUUUGUCGGUGCUUGGCGAAGCCCUGCCGGGAGACCUCGUCUCUCCAUCGACACCAUGCCGUCGUGCUGCUGGAGUUCUUCCCCAGCCUCUCCCUCCUGCUUGCUGGAUCAAGGUGCGGGAGACGUCACCGGGCUGCACGUGUGUUGAACGCGGAGGUGCCGUAGUUUGGCACUAGAUCGGAAUCGCUGCGAGUACGACUCCAUCAACCGCAUUCUAGCAACGCUUACACUUAGCGAUCUUCAAAGGUAUGAAGAUGCUCUUACCCCUCUCUCGUUGCUGGUCUCUCCAUAGGAAGAUCUGAAUAUGCGUAGGAAAAUUUUGAAUUUAUGCUACGUAACCCAACAGAGUGAUCGUGCGUGGAUGUACACGGGUCACCCUAGUCAGAAAGAGAUGAUGAAAGAAUGGUUUCUAAAAACCAAGGAGUUUGUGAAAGCCGCAUUUGCAAAUGUGCAGGAAACAAACUGGUGCCCUUGUCCUGAAUGCGACAACUAUAACAAAAGGACAGAUGCUGUAAUGAUUAAACACCUGCAGAGGAGGGGUUUUAAGCCUAAUUAUACGGUUUGGACAUUUCUUGGUGACUCUAUACAACGCACUAGAGCUGAGGUGGUUCAUCGUCGCACCGACGAGCAUGGUACCGGGAUCGAAGACAUGGUGCAAGACUUUGAUGAUGCUCGGGAUUCGGCAGAUGAGAUGGAGGAAUCUGCAAAGGCCUUCUAUGAAAUGUUGGAGUCUUCAAAACGUCCUCUCCAUGAGCACACUGAGCUUUGUCAGUUGGAUGCCAUUGCACAAGUAAUGGCUCUGAAGGCUCAGUUCAACUUGGGAAGAGAAUCCUAUGACGCGAUGAUGACACUAUUUGGACGCUUUCUACCCAAAGGCCAUGUCAUGCCUGCAAAACUAUACCAGUCAGACAAAAUACUUCGUGUACUUAAGAUGCCCUAUGAGAAGAUACAUGCAUGUGAGAAAGGAUGUGUCUUAUUUAGGAAGGAGUAUGCACACUUGGACUAUUGUCCCAAUUGGAAGUCUUGCAGGUAUCUUGUGGCAGACAACGGUAUGGGUGAGAAGAGGCUGACCAAAGUUGCAGUUAGUGUUCUUCCGUAUAUGCCAAUCAUACCAAGGCUUCAACAUCUUUUGAUGGUCGAAGAGACAGCCAGAUAGAUGACAUGGCACAAAAUGGGCAAAAGAAUCGACCUAGAUGCGGAUGGGAAUAAGAUGGCAGUACACACAUUGGAUGGGGAAGCUUGGAAACAUUUUGAUGGAUUGCAUCACGAUAAAGCGGCAGAUCCGAGGAAUCCUCGAGUCUGCAUCGCCACAGAUGGUUUUAAUCCCUUCAGCAUGACGGCAACCCAAUACAAUAGUUGGCAUGUAUUUGUCAUUCCACUCAAUCUCCCCCCGGGCAGAUUAUGCAAAGAAAGAACAUAUUUCUAACAUUGAUAAUUCCAGGGCCCAAUUAUCGGGGGAAGAAUAUGAAUGUGUACAUGCAGCCGCUUAAGGAUGAAUUGCAAGAAGCUUGGGACAAUGGGGUCAAGACAUACGAUGCCGCUAGAAAAGAGAACUUCAAAAUGCAUGUGUGGUACAUGUACUCUAUGCAAGACUUGUCGGCGUAUGCGCUAUUCUACGGAUGGUGCGUGCAUGGAAGGUUCCCGUGCCCCACAUUCAAGGCAGCUCUUCAGUUUCAUUGGUUGCAGGAGGGUCAGAAGUAUUCUUGCUUUGACUUGCAUAGACAGUUCCUAGAUCCUGGCCAUCAAUUCAGAAAAGACAAGAAGAACUUUACCAAAGGUAAAGUUGUCAAAAACUUGGCACCACCUGUGUUGACAGGCCAACAGAUCCUGGAUCAGUUAAACGCCCUCGAGCCUGAUCCAAAGCGUCCAGGGUAUUUCAAGGGGUAUAAUUCAAAACACGCCUGGACUCACAAGCCAUGCUUGUGGGAUCUGCCUUACUUCAAAGACCUCCUUCUUCCACACAAUAUCGACAUGAUGCACACCGAAAAGAAUAUCAGAGAGGCUAUUUUUGGUACAUUGUUCGACAUAGAUGGGAAGACAAAGGAUAAUACUAAGGCUAGAGUCAAUCAAGAGACACUAUGUCACAGACCGUUACAAAACAUGCGAGAAGGCAAAGGAAAGCAGAAGUGGUCGAAGCCAAAGGACUGGUUCAAUCUUGGAAGGCCAGCUAUGAGGGAAAUUAUAUUGUGGGUCAAAAUGCACUUGAUGUUCCCCGAUGGGUAUGCAGCGAAUCUAAAGAGGGGAGCGAGUCUUGAAAAAAAUAAAAAUCUUGGUCUCAAGAGUCAUGAUUGGCACAUAUGGCUUGAGCGGGUAAUGCCGGUGAUGUUACGUGGCUUUAUUCCUGAGGAUGAAUGGCUAGUACUGGCGGAGCUGAGCUAUUUCUUCCGUGUUAUUUGUGAGAAAGAAUUGUCUCCUAGCGUGGUAGAUGACAUGGAAGAGUUUGCACCGGAGUUUCUAUGCAAGUUAGAGAAGAUCUUUCCGCCGGGCUUCUUUAAUCCAAUGCAGCAUUUGAUUUUACAUCUACCGACCGAGGCAAGAUUGGGUGGGCCCGUGCAAAAUUAUUGGUUCUAUGCAACUGAGAGGAUGCAGAAGACGCUUCGAGCUAAAUGUAAAAAUAAGCGUAGAGUUGAAGCAUCGAUGGUUAAGGCAUUCAUUACUGAGGAGGUGGCAAACUUUGUGACAGCACACUAGGAAGCCAAAUAUCAUCAUUUGCAUAAUCCGUAGCCUCGGUACAAUGAUGAAGACCCUAAAAGGGGUGGAUCUAACCUCAGCCUAUUCAAAGGGAAGCUCGCACCAGCUGGUGCUUCGAAACCAAUAACGUUGGAUGUCGAAGAAUGGCGAAACAUUUCGUUGUAUAUCUUCAACAACCUAACAGAAGUGCGGUUGUACAUCGAGUAAGUUCUCGACACAUUUUUUCAUAACUUCUAAUUCCUUUGAACUGCUCUUAUUCCUGGAUAUUUCAUACAGCCGAUACGUUGCCAAAUUCUCGGAUGGAGUGGUGACCCAAAAUGAUUUCGUCGAAGAGUAUGAGCUUCUAGCAAAUCAUGGAGGCGGCUAUCCCGGUUUCAUCUCUUGGUUCAAACAAACGGUAAUUAUCAAUAAUGGACCAUUUCAUUUCUUGGUCUAACUUUCGGCUAAUGCAACAAUCAUUUCGUAUUAAACUUGUAGGCUAAUUCAGAGUCUAUGGCCGCCGAGUUGAGACAAGCCGCUAAUGGUUUUGACUAUAAGGUCCAUUCAUUUGAGAAAUACAACAUCAAAGGGUAUCUCUUUGGUACCUUUCGCAAAGAGCUAUCUAUGCCCGACCGGAAAUCUACCAAUUGUGGUGUCUCUGCUAUCGGCAAAGGCGGUCUCGAGUAUUAUGGAAGGGUUGAAGCAAUUUAUGAACUUCAAUUAUAUGGUGAAAACCCACCGAACGUCGUAGUCUUGAAAUGUUCUUGGUUCCAUCCAAAGGAGACUACAAGGACUCAUGAACAUAUAGGACUAGUCAAAAUCUAUCCAAACACCCAUUUAGAUGUUCCCGAUGUCUAUAUUACGGCUCAACACGCGACCCAAGUUUUCUAUCUACCAUGGGCAUGCCAAACUGAUAAGAAUCUGGAAGGUUGGUAUGUUGUUUAUGAAGUGCAGCCACGUGUUAAACCAUCUCCCCCAAAUGAACAAGAUUAUGAACCUCACAUUAACUCAAACACAUAUGAUGGAGAAUUCUUCCAAGAAACACCUAUUUCCAAGAAACGUUUCAAGAACCGCCAUGCUUCACCCCAGAACAUGGAAGUAGACAACGACAAUGAAUCCAACUUCACCCCUGAGACGGAACCAACAGAGCUGGAACUAGAAGAGGUUACUGAUGGGAUGACCUGUCAAUGCUUGACUGAUUACAGAAACGCCUUCCACAACUUCAUUCGUUCAACCCGAUGAGCAUGUCAUUCAUGAAGAAAUGCGUGAUAGUGAUGAUGAUGAUGCAUUUAUUGAUGAUGAUUAUUAGUUUGUAAGAUUCCCAACUUAAAUUAUAUAUGUACGUAUUAUUAUUCAUGUGAGUUAUUCAAUUUUUUUAUGUUGUACUAAUUUAUUUUAAUCUUUAUCAUGGCAGGUCAGCAUGUGUUGAAAGAUGGUGGGCGCGGGUCUAGAUCGCUCAACAGGUUCUUCUUCGGCGGCCCGCACGAGGGGUGGUACUUCCAUUCCACCCCUAUGUCUCCGUAGAGCCUUUCCAGUCAGUCUGACGACACCACCCACGGGUGCUUCUUCGUCGGCGGCAUUGCCCACUGGGAGAGGUGCUGGCCGGGCAGGGAAGAAGGGGAAGGGUAUAGGGAGAGGUGGUGGCCGCGGAAGAGGUAGGCGGACUGUUGCGCCGUCCUCGUCACCACCACCAGCUCAUUCAUCCGAGCACAGGACUACUAUGGUGGACCCGUUUGCGGAGGAGGCUACGGGGACUCUAGUCUAGGAGCCUCGGGUGGACGGGCAUUCGGACCAUGAGACUCCGGUCCAGGAUUAGCCUCGGGUCGAGGUGCCUUCGGCCCACGAGACUCCGGUUCCUGAGGCUACGUCCUUGGAGACUUCUGCCACACACGCUUCGGCCGGCGUGGAGACGUCCGGAUGGGGUGCCUGGUCGGAUCGGACCGAGGUGCCGGAUUGGACCGAGGGUCCGAGUGGCUAUUCUGUUGAUGGCGGGGAUGAGUCUACGGAUAGUGAGGGUGACGUGCAGGUGGACGGGGCCACCGUGUACAGGCAUGGUAGUAUACGUCUCCCAGUCGCGUCGGCUACCAGCGAGCAGAGGCCGGUGAUUAAGCGUGAAGGGGAUAGGUAAGUACGUUUACUCUUUUUUUAGCUGCUGCCUUCAAGUUCCUUCAAAUAUCUAAUGCGUUGACCUUAUCAUACAGCAGGGGCUGGAAACACCCUGGUGGAGUCGACAAGCCAAACAGCAUCCUUGGUGUGCUUUGUCGGACAAAUUUCUCGGGGUUUGUCACGUUGCCUGGUGAGGGUCAGGUUCCUACACUAGGAUUUUCCUCGGAGCACUACCAGGCUGUGCAGGCCCCGUCGGAGGACAUUAUAGAUGGUGCCUUGUGCCACACGAGGGCCGAUAUGAUGAUCAACAACUUUUGGGCAAAUUAUCCUUUUACACAAUCUAAAAUUAACAAUAUAGCUAAUUAUUGUACUAAUCGGUGUUGUCUCGUUUGAUUGCAGACCUUCUAUACGUGUGAGGAGGAGGCGGCCAAGGUUAUCAAGGCCGAGUGUAGGCGGUUAUUACAGAAUUUACGCCACAAGGCUCGGCCGCGGGCCAUUCGAGACUACUAUGCCACGAUUGGUAUUAAGAAGCAGAAGAAGGAGUGCCGCGGAAAGUAUCUGAAGGAGGAGUACAUGAAGGUAAUUACCUAUUCUUAAGGCCUUGUAUGUAGUUUUCUUGAUUUGAUUCAUAGGUGUAGCGCUCAAAAUUCGAGCCGACCACGACAAUGCAAAGGAUCAGCGUAGCAAAAUGGUUGGUGUGCCACACCAUCAAGGGAGCGCCAACUUACUUCAGUUCGGACGAAACUGGGUAUGUGGUUUGCUUCAUGAUUCAUGCAAUUCAUUCUUCAUGCUAGCUUGAGCCCCUUACUAAUACUUUGUUCCUCUCUUUUAGGCGCACCAUAAUAAGAUGGAGAUGCCAAAGUUCUACGACCUUUAUGGCAUGGCCCAUACCGCCUCGUACAAGAAGGUGAAGGCAUUCUGUGAGUCUAACCUGGAUGAUCCAAAUAACUUCACCAGCAUCUCAUCCCACCACAAGCUCAUGAAAUACAGGUACACAGGAAAGGCUUGGAAAGGGGAGGACUUUAACCCAAGCCAGGAACCUUUGGAUCCAGAGCUCGUGAUGAUAUCUGGUGGCGGGAGGCCCCAUGGCUCGAUAGCCAUUGGAGAUGGGAUAAUACGUUGUCCACUCACUCUCCCGGAGAUCAAGGCGCGCCAGUCAAGCUCCUGUCCUAAGAUAACGCCUGGUCCACGGGCAGUCGAUCUUGCCAUCGAGGUUAGUUGUACGGACUCAGAAAACUUCCAUCCAUUUCAUUGUGUGUGUGCCAUCGAUCAUUACUGUGGUAGCGAGGAAUGGUGUUGCAGGUUGCUCUUAAGAAAGAGAGAGUGGCAAACGAAGCUGCUCUUGAGAAAGAGAGAGCCGCAAGCCAGGCUGCUCUUGAGGAGAGAGACCAGACCACAGCUCGGUUGAUUGAGGGGGAGAGGGCCCGCAAUGAGGUGGCUCACCUCGUCAUGUACGAGCUUAUUGUGGUAAGUUUCUUUUUCACAUUAGCCAAAUCAUGUGUGUAAUGUAUGCUUCAUUACUAACUAAUACGACUGACUCUUCAAAACCGAAUGUGCAGUCUAUGUACGAGAAUACCGGUCAAGCCCCUUCACCGAUGCCCAUCUUCUGUGCGAUUGGCACGGUGAGUUUCAUAUCAAUGGUCAUUAUAAACUAGUAUUAACAAUUGAGUGUCAUCAUGCUAACCGAGACAUUGCAAAAUAUCUUUUCUGCAGAAUAACUCCCGAGAGGCAUCGCACGACCCUUCUCCAGGGCAACUGUCUCCAAACGAAGCCGACGCAAGGACCCUGGUGUUUCUCCUCCUUCAUGACCAAUGUGGUAAGUUUUCUCCAAAAUGACAAAAUAAGCUCCUACUUGAUUUCUACUAGGAAAAAUAGUUAGUGAAACCACUAGGUUCAUAACUUAGCUAAUUUAGCUCCAAAAUGGUUAGUGAAACCACUAGUCUCAUAACUUAGCUAAUUUAGCUCCAAAAUGACAUAAUAAGCUCGAUUGAAAUAGUAAAAAUGAAAAGAAGAAAUAAGAAGAAGAAGAGAAGNNNNNNNNNNNNNNNNNNNNNNNNNNNNNNNNNNNNNNNNNNNNNNNNNNNNNNNNNNNNNNNNNNNNNNNNNNNNNNNNNNNNNNNNNNNNNNNNNNNNNNNNNNNNNNNNNNNNNNNNNNNNNNNNNNNNNNNNNNNNNNNNNNNNNNNNNNNNNNNNNNNNNNNNNNNNNNNNNNNNNNNNNNNNNNNNNNNNNNNNNNNNNNNNNNNNNNNNNNNNNNNNNNNNNNNNNNNNNNNNNNNNNNNNNNNNNNNNNNNNNNNNNNNCUUCUCCUCCUCCUCCUUAUUCUUCUUAUUCUUCUUCUCCUUCUUCUCUUCUUUCUUCUUCUCUUUCUUCUUAAAUUUAGCUUAUUUUCCCCAACAAAGACAUACUUAGCUAAUUAUCCUCCAAAAUGACAUAAUUAGCUUAGUUAGGCAAAAACAUCAUAAGAACCUUGGUUAGCUCAUUAAAAUGACUAAUUAAGCUCCUAAAAGACAUUAUAAGCUCAAAAUGGCAUAAGAACCUUGGUUAGCUCAUUAAUAUUAUAUACUUAGCUUGUUUUCCUCUAUAAUGACAUAAUUUGCCCAUUUAGCUCNUCAAAAUGAUAUAAUUAGCUUAGUUAGGUAAAAACAUCAUAAGGACCUUGGUUAGCUCAUUAAAAUGACUAAUUAAGAUCCUAAAAGACAUUAUAAGCUCCAAAUGGCAUAAGAACCUUGGUUAGCUCAUUAAUAUUAUAUACUUAGCUUGUUUUCCUCUAUAAUGACAUAAUUUGCCCAUUUAGCUCNGGAGUGCUUUAGUUCUAGUUUUCAUUUGAGUUGAUGAACAAUGUGGAACUAUAUGUAUAUGUAUAUAUGGAUGAAGAAUAUAUGUGGAACUACAUGUAUAUGUAAAUAUUGCUGAAACUUUGUUUAUGUUGGUUAUUUUGAUAUAUGCGAUGUACAUUGAUGAACAAAUGGCAUUGAUGAACUUUAUAUGUAUAUCAUAUAUGUGUUCUGACCUAUAUAUCAUAUCUGUGCUAUGAAUUAUAUAUAAAUAUAUUUCUUGUGUGUUUAGUAACUAGGCAAGAUGAGUGUGUUGGAAAUAUGCCCUAGAGGCGAUAAUAAAAUGGUUAUUAUCAUAUUUCCUUGUUCAUGAUAAUCGUCUAUUGUUCAUGCUAUAAUUGUAUUAACAGGAAACAGUAAUACAAGUGUGAAUAAAUAGAUCACAAUGUGUCCCUAGCAAGCCUCUAGUUAGCUAGCUCGUUAGUCAAUAGAUGAUCAUGGUUUCCUGAUCAUGGGCAUUAGAUGUCAUUGAUGACGGGAUCACAUCAUUGGAGAAUGAUGUGAUGGACAAGACCCAAUCCUAAGCAUAGCACUAGAUCAUAUUGUUGGUAUGCUAAAGCUUUUCUAAUGUCAAGUGUAUUUUAUUUCAACCGUGAGAUUGUGCAACUCCCGGAUACCGUAGGAGUGCUUUGGGUGUAUCAAACGUCACAACAUAACUGGGUGACUAUAAAGGUGCACUACGGGUACCUCCGAAAGUGUCUGUNGCGGAUGGCAAAGGCCUUUGCCAUCAGGCAGCUGAUGGCAAAGGUGCCACGUGGCACCCAGCUGUGCAACCUGGGCAGCAACAGUUGGCCGUAUGGGCUCUUUGUCGUCCGCUGCCUCGGGAGGCUAACGGCACAGCGGUAGGGAGGCAAACGGCAAAGAGUAUGAUCCCUGCGCUGGCCCAACUCUGUGCUGGCCAUAGAAGCAGAUGACAAAGAGGGGGAGGGACGCAGACGACAAAGAGAGGGAGGGAGGCAUACGACAAAGAGAGGGAGGAAGGAAGAUGGCAACUAGAGGGAGGAAGGCAAACGACAAAGCCUCUGUUAGCCCUAACGGAGGCGUUGCCUGUCGGCUGCCCUCUAAGCAUGUUUGUCGUCUGCUCUAUGCCAGAGGCUGACGGCAAAGACCUUUGCCAUCCGCUUAAGGAAGACUGACGACAAAGAAGGUGAUAUGUCGUCGAAAGUCAUCGUAGGAACAUUGCCGACAGGAGGCUGACGACAAAGACCUUUGCCGUCGGUGGAUCACCUCUUUGCCGUCUGUUAUGGCAGACGGCAAUGAGUCCGAUUCCUCUAGUGAUUGGUGCUAAAAAUGUGGUAUUGACCAUUAUUUAGUUGUUGAGGAUUGCUGUGAAAUCCAUACUGAUUGCUAUUUUGUUGAUUUCCUUGGUCAGAACGCUACCUAUUACCAGUAUUCUCUUGGUGCUGAUAUUCUAAUCUAGAACCGCCUGGUUCGUUAAAUCCGGACCCUAAGAAACCUCAAGACGAGCCGCCUUGCGGGCCAGGUUGUUCAUACUGACCCGAAUGUCCACCAUUAUCCCCAAGGUGGCAUUGAAAGGCUUGAUUUCUAAACUCCUGCAUGAUAUAGAAAUUUUCCCAUGAAUGAUUAGAUGGCUUAUCCUGAGUGCUAUCCUUUAGUCAAGGCGCCUUGAGGGCCUCCUCAUAGUUAUGUGGCUUAUUCCCUUAUAAGGUCCUUCGGAACGGCGCUGGUGUUUAAAUUCAGUGUUGGUAUUGGCCACAAAUUCUGAACUGCCCUCAGACUACCUCCGUUUAUUGUUGUGGUUUCCCUGGUUUCCACUUUGUUGGUUACCUUUGGCACCUUCUCCUUUCUUGCACUUGUCGGUCUUGUCCUCGUCUGACCCAGGGUCUUUCGUGCCACCUGACUCGGCGUACCUUGUCAGAACGUCCAUCAAGUCGCCCAUGUAUUGAGUCUUUCGCUUCAAACGACCCAACUUAAGCACCAAUGGCUGGAAAUGACAAUUCUUCUCCAGGUUUAGAACGGCUUGUGAGGCUAUUAUACUAUCCGAUGAAUCAAUUAUUUCUGCAACCGACGAGUCCAAUGAUGGGCUCACUCGCCCGUCCGCUGAACGUAAUGCUGGAGAUCCACAAUUGUCAUCGGGCGCUUGCAUGUUCCUUAGAAUUUUUUUACGAAUCGUUCCUUCAACUCCGCCCAAGUGUUGAUGGAAUUAGGUGGAUGUUUUUUAAGCCAAGUUAGGGCUGGCCCUUCUAACAUCAUCAUCACAUACUUUGCCCAUACCUCAUCACUGACGUCGAGCAUGUCCAUGGCUAGCUCGUAACUUCCAAUCCAUACCACCACCUCAAGAUCUGAUGUAUAGUUUGGCACAUUGCGCGGUCCUUUCAAGUCUUUGGGCAUGGGCUCGCUACGAAGAGCCAGAGAUAAGCAUGGAACACCGAUUGUCCUGGUGCUACUUCUGGCUCCAUGUGUUGCUUAUUGUGGUUCCGCUACAUGCGGUUGAGCCGCCCGCCUCAUGGCCGCUUCUGCCUCCACCUGACGGGCGGCUCUUGCCGCGUCCACCAAGUCUUAGGAAUUCUGAAAUCCUGGACCAGUCGGGGAAACCCAAAGCUGUUGUCGCCACACGUUACUGGAAACAGCCGAUGACUCCCCAUGGCGGAUGAUAUAAGGUGUGGAGUGCAUUCGAUCUCGACUGUAUGAGUACUGCACCUGUUGGGCCACUGCCAUCUUCAGCAUCUCAGUCGCGUUCCUAGCUUCAAUUUCCACCGGGGUGUUUCCAUGUAUAGGGAGCGACUCCAAGUGACGCAUUGCAGCCAACAUAUGGUCAACGGGGUUGGAAAAUAACCCUGUGGUGUGUAAAAAUGAUGUGGCCAUGCCUGAGCUGGUUGUGCCUUAGCCAGUUGUGCCUAAGCUGGUUGUGCCUCAUCUGGCUAUCCCUGAUCAUGCGGCGGGUUCCGUGCAGCGUGAGGACUGUGGGGACUAGCAAAUAGGAGCGUCGGUGUUACGUCUAGUGGUAACCAAGAUUGAUGUCUCCUCAAGUGAAUCGCCUCUUUUGUCUGUUAUCGAAGUCCAAGCUGCCACGCCUCUACCCGUAAAUGCUCCAACUCAUCACCGACUCGAUCCUGUGUCUCUGCAAACCGUAUGUUUUCAGUGUCGAUCUCUUUCUGAACCUUGAUCAUCUUUGUGCAGAGUUUUGCUAGUUCUGCAUUACGUUCUUCUCAGUUCUCGUUGAUUAUUGUAUCCUCCAAGAGAUUAGUCAUCUCGGCAUUCAGGUCACUCAUGGCUUGAGACAACGUUUUACUCGACCCACCAGCCUCAUUGGUGGCUCCUGCUGUAGCUGGAUCUGAUGAAGGCGCGACUCAAGCCAUGUAAAUAGUGACUUGCCAAGGUGGGUCAUCUGGCUCCGUCGUAGCUUCUUCCUCCAGAGCUUCCCCAAGCUCGUUACUAAGGGGAAAGAUGGAUCCGGUGUAUCUCAUGGAGGACUCGCCAUCAUGGUUGUCAUUGUCGAGGAUGUCCUCAACGUUUGCCGGUUCAUCCGCAAGGCUGAGCCCCUAGGUCAAUCCGACAAACAUGUGACGACUAUGUGUUUGGAAAUGACCGUGUCGGUCGCGCCGAGUCAGCUCGUUGACGGUGGUGUAUAUGUCCGACCCGAGCAUCCUUGCGCAGAUCUGACCGAAGGGGAUCUGCGAAUUAGUUUCUCCUAAGCCGACCUUAAAGCCCUAACCUAUGUUGUUGAUGUAGCGAUUGUUGCGAUGAUUCUUGAUCAUCUUGGCCACCGCGCGACUCCCAAAUCCCGGAAGAGUUCCCUCUGAGUACUCAACUCCACCUUGUGAUUGCCCCAUGGUGGGCGCCAACUGUCGUGGUUUUUUCGCGGCAGAUGUCCUCAUGAAUGGACUUAGUGGUGAGACCAUUGUCGUGAUGUGGGGACUCGAAGGGGUUGAUUGGGAAACAAAAGGCGGAUUUACCCAGCUUCAACCCCUCCGAUGGAGGUAAAAGCCUACGUCCUGCUUUGUGUUUGUAUUGAUGGCAAUCUCGAUUACAAGGGUGCGGAAUCGCUAACCUAGCUCUCGAGGGUUUCUAACUUGAUAUCUCUGGCUUGAGGGUCCUCCUUUAUAUAUAGGUAGAGGCCCCAAGUCUACAGUGAAGUCUCAGUCAAAUAAACAGUCGGGUGCUACUACAAAUCUACCUUAUCUUUCUUCCUAAGUGAGGAAAGCUUCUAGUGUCUCUUGCCAUGUUCAUCUUUGAGUCGCCGCCUUCUGGUGAUGGGCCACUUGGGGGCUUUGUCGACUAAGUCCGCCGGCCCAUAUUCUCAUCUUUUCCUUGCGGCUUGACCCGCCCUCAUAAGGCGGAUUAAAUCCUGGGGUUAUAUCCCCGACACUCGGGAAGAAAACUGGUCGGCGCAUACCGAGUUCAGAUCCGGAGCCCCCGUGAGGCUAACCUCGUGUGUUAGAAAAGGUAUUGACUGGGGAUCGGCCUUGGAGGUGAAUGCGCUAUAGAAGCACAUCACACAGAUGGGGGAGGCGAAUAUCAAGCUGACCAACGUGGUUCAGGUCAUGCUCCGCCGUUGCAUCCUUCCCUGCGAGCGUCGGGACACUCCAAUGUGGUCCUACAAGCUUGGUGACCCCAAGACCGUGCACCAGUUCUACCACACUACCCAUGAGAAAUUGUGGAGGGUGUUGUUCAAACCUCAACAGGAAUGGCCGGUCGAGGAAGAAGACGCCGGCUUUGAUGCCGAUCACCCUCCCUUGGAGGAAUAACUGAGCUUUUAUCUUAUUUAAAGCUUUAAUAUUUAGCAAGGAGCUUAUCCUUUCCACCAUCAUCCCUGUAGGGCUGGUUGAACAAGGCCGUGAAAAUAAACAACCCAGCCACCUACCUGAGGACCCCAGGUCGCCAUUGUUGAUCGUGAUGCUGGUGGUGGCGCCAUACACGACACUAGAGAAAAAAGAGAAAAAGAAAAGGGAGGCCCGCGGGGGUCUCCGCUCGAGGGGUCCUCCGGAUACCAAGUUCGGAGACACCCAUGCUUCCUCCACCUACGAGAAAGAGGAUGCACAUGACGGAGAGGAGAAAGAUUCCCUCCGAACAAGAAAGAGGACGGCGCUGGAGGAGGCCAAGGAGGGCUUGCCUCCUCAGGCCCGGAAGAGGCCCUACAGGAGCAAGGUCAUCCAUUCCGACGAUAUCUCAAAUUCUGAUGGGGACUCCGGGGCCUUUGAGAGGGUUCCCCGAAGGAACCCCAGGAUCAAGCCCUGUCGAAAGGUAUGGAAUCCAAACUUUAUUUAUUGGAAUUAUACUGAGCAUUUGUUAAUAAACAUACGUGCUCCUUUCCUUGACGCAGCCCUACCUGAAACCUCUUGACGAACCAGGUCUAAAAGGGGGGUUCACCACCGGCCAAGCUAGCGGAGAGCGGGAAUGUGUCCCGUACUACUCUCCCUUGGGCAUCGGACGAGGUUGCGGAGGUGAUAUCCCACCAGGCCCCUCCGAACAUGGGGGACGAGGUGGUGAUGGCCGAGGUUCAUACGUCGGCCACCGAAGAUCGAGAGGUCCCAGACAAAGUUCAUGCCUCGGUCACCGAAACCCAAGAGGUUGGCCCCCUCCUGACGAGUGGGGAGGGGGGCCGUGAUUCUUCUCAGCUUCCUCCGGAGGUAGCUCCAGGGACCUCUGAUCCUCUGAUGUCUUCAACGUUGCUUCUGAUGCCGCCUACGACAGAAGGGCUACGACCGAGUGGCCUGCAAUGAUGGAGGAGGCUUUAUCCAGCUCAUCCAUUGCCGAUGAACAUCGCACCCUUAUGGGUGCAAUCCUACAAAGCAUUCAGUCCGUUGACUGUGGACUGAAGGGAGCCUUCAGCGGUUUGCUGGCAGGCUUCAAGGUAAACCAUGUAGUGUUAGAUUUAUUUAUAAGGUUCUACAUGCCUUAUAGGUAUGACAGCCCCCAAGCCAUGGGUGAGUUGAAACACUUACCCAUGGAUGAAAAGAACUUAUAGACAUGAAUAAAAAUAGUUCGGGGACCCUUGAACUAUAAUAACUCAGGGAGGGGGGGUACUUUGACCAAAUGUCCUAGUCCCGUUAGCUCGGAUGCUUGUCAAUCCAGAACUUGUCUCGCAGGCCUCGUCCUUGGUUGUGGCCACCAACACCCUUGAACUUUCCGAACUAGACCGAAAACUCAAGGUUUCCGAUGAAGAACUCAGCCGUCUUAAUAGUAGGCUCGACGAGAAGCAGGGUAAGCUUGAUGUGUGCCAGUAAGACUCUUGUUGUACUUAACAAUUUAGUACUGUCUGGCUUUGGUAUAUGACAUAUUUAUUCCGAUUAUGUUAGCAUCUAUGGACGUGGAGUUAGAGAAACUCAAGGCCGAAUUGGAAAAGGCCAAGCAGGAGGCUGUCGCGCAUAAGAUGGUGGCCGAGCAGACAACUGCUGAACUAAGCUCGUUGAAGGUUGAGAGCAGCGGGCACAAGACUAGAGUGGCCGAGGUCUAUCAGGAGCUUCAAGAUGCGAGCGCUAAGAGCGAGGCCUUGGAACAAAAAUCCAAAGAACAAGCGGCCGAGCUAUCGGAGUUGUCCUCCGAGCUCAAUCAGAGCGGUUAGAGAGGCGCUUUUUCAAAGAAGAAGUGCGCCAAGCCAAGAAUAUUGCAGAUGGUAAGCCAUACUUACUGCAAUGUGCCUUUGGUGGAAACAUGUUUGCCUUUCUUACAUGGCUAUGGCGUUCCCCAGUCGGCUUUACGGACCUCCUGUGGAGUGCAGCACACACGGCCAAGCGCUAUGCGGCCCAAGAAGGGGACACCGAGCAGAGGCUUUUCUGGGCACAGUUUCAGACUCCCGAGCCCAAGCCCCUUCUCGUCUACUAGAUGAAAUAGCUCAUGGAGUUGCACAGGAUGGCAGAGCUGGCCAUGAAGGACCUCUGCAUCCGGUUGUGGCCUGCCAAGCCUCUUCCAAGCAGUUACUUCAGCUUAGUGCGGAAGUUGUACAACGACGUGCGUCAAAUCGAGGCCCUGAAGCGCUCUGUUUGCAUAGAGGGAGCUCGGAUGGCUUUUGCGAGGACCAUGAUGCACAGGCCAGGGGAGAAUCCCCUUACGAUGGCAACCGCACCUCCGCCUCUUGGAAAGGAGCACAGGCGUCCAAAGCUUUAUUUCUCUACCGCAGCGGAGGGUGCUCGGGCCAUAGAACUUUGGAUUUUUGUUCGAAGGCCUCGCUCUUGGUGCUCGCAUCUUGAAGCUCGGGUAAUUUUUGAGUGAGGAUAUCGUUGUCUGCCUUGGAACAAUUUAUUAUUAUGAAGCUUGUCCCACUGUAAUGCACUUUGUAUUAUUUUGACUGUUGUGUGGCCGUUUAAUCUCAAAGUUUCCAGUCGUCGGCUUCAUCCCCCAUGUAAAGACUACAAGGGGUGUUUCGACAUCUGCACUGUGACCCUUAGCCGAUAUAUCGGUGCCGGAGGCGGUAGUGUGUGAAGGAAAUGAGGGAAUCGGACUAUGCGACUUUAGUGCUUUCACUUAGCCUUAGGAGCUUGAAUUCGAGGGCUGACUACGAGUCUCCAUUUUUUUGUGGUAGUGGGAUGAACCAGAUUUUGAGACAUUUACCACAAGGUUUGCAAAGAAACAAACACCUCUAUAUGACACGGAAUAAAACCUCCAUCGGUCUUUCGUACUUAAGCUCGGAUUGCAGACCAGUUCUCGCUUAUUAUGACAGUCAGUUUUCGGCUUUCUCCACUGAGGUAUUUUAGCCAGGCUAGUUGGGAAUACAAUCGCAGUGGUUCUCCCUUUACCCCUUUAGCUGAACCAGUAGAACAUAAGGGGGUAAGAACAGGAGCGGGGCAACCCAAUUAUCGACCCAAGACAUGAUUCUGAACCGAUGCAUAUAAAGCAAUAUCAUAGAAACCGAACACUUAAAAAGUAGUGAUGGGGUAGUGCUCGGGGAAGUACUUUCAUCCAAGCCCCUGUCUAUUAGCCCAUCGCACUUGAUAUUUAUUGAACAAUUUUACCCAUCGACGCCAAUGAGCAGGAAACAUAUAUAUGUAAAGAUACUGUAAAAGAGUAUAUAAAUAGUAUUUGCUAGGAAUUUUUAUAAUUUGUGGCACCAAGGUAGUUGUUAUAGGUAACUAUUGUUUUGAACAACAUAUUUCAAAGCAACUUUCUUCCACACGACCUUCCAAGGGUGACUUGACGUUCGCCCUGCUUCUAGCUGCACAAUUUCUCCUAUGCUUUCUAUAAGGGAGGGGUAGUAUCCUUUAAUGGUGGUUGUUUUCUACAAACGGACCUUGAAUAGAUGGUCUUGAAAAGCUGUCGUGGUAUGGGUGAGCUUGAUGCUUGGGAGAUCCUUAAUGGUAUCUCAUUUUUUGUCCGUGAAUACGUUUGGACGUAGUUUGGUCGAACCGAACAUAUGGUCCUUGGUAGUGGAUCCCCACAGCUGCCCAUGGUAUUUUGAGAAUGAAAUUGUGUCUACGAGGGACAUACCUUAUGGGUGACCGGGCCAUGCCAUGGGGAGCGUAUCCCUAUUUUCUUUGAGACAGAGAUAUCUCCGGGGGAUCCGAUUGAGCUCGGGCUCGCUUGCUCGCCUACCACGCCUUGAUGGCUAGCUUGUGUCGUGCUGCUUCUUUUUUGUAUUAGCAUUCAGCUGCCAAGGUCGCUGUGUGCUCCUCGGUACGGAGGGAGCGUUCUGUGUUGUCGUUGAUGGUGAUAACUCCCCUGGGUCCGGCCAUUUUGAGCUUUAGGUAGGCGUAAUGGGGAAGAGCGUUGAAGCGGGCGAACACCGUGCGGCGGAGUAGUGGGUGAUACCUGCUGUAGAAGGUGACGAUGUUGAAGAUUAAGUCUUCGAUGCGGAAGUUGUAGGUCAGCCGAACACAACCUCCAGCAUUACCGUGUCGGAGCAGCGGGAUCACUCCUUUGAAGGUAGUGUUGCUGGGUUUGAUUCUUGAUGGGUCUAUGCCCAUCUUAUUUGUCGUAUCUGAGUAAAUCAGGUUAAGGCUACUUCCUUCGUCCUUAAGGACUCUAGUGUGGUGGUACCCAUAUAUGAUGAGGUCUACAACAAGGGCGGCCAGCCCUCCAUGACUGAUACUGGUCGGAUGAUCCCUACGGUCGAAGGUGAUCGGGAAAGCCGACCAUGGGUUGCACAUCGGGGUUAUGGGCUCUAUGGCAUAUACCUCCCAAAGGGCUUGCUUCGUCUCCUUCUUUGGUAUGUGAGUAAUGUAUAUCAUAUUCACGGUUUUCACCUCUAGGGGAACUGUUUUUGGCCCGAGUUGUUCGGAACGCGGGCUCUUCAUCAUCCUCGUUUCGUGGGCCCUUGCCUUGUUCGUCGGUUGCUACUUUGCCAACCUAUUUAAACACUCAACAGUUACGAUUUGUGUGGGUGGCGGUCUUGUCUUGGGUGCCAUGGAUCUAGAGAGGCCUUUACAUAAUACUAUCUAAUGUAGUCAGUCCAUUCCUGUUCCAUUUAAAUGGUUUCUUUCGCUGUCCGGGUUUUGAGCUGCGGAAGCCAGCAUUUAGGGUUGUGUCAACGGCGUCACCUUUACGGUGGCGGAGUUUGGUCUUGUUUUUCCUUGGCUUGCCAUUUCCAUCCUGAACUUUAGAGGUACCGGGGUCGUCCGCAUUAUGGUCGCGCCGAGCUAGAAAAUUGUCCUUGCCCGCGCAAAAGCGGAACAUGAGGGAAGUGAGAGCGGACAUUUUAUCGGCCUAUCCUCGCCGACCUGGCGAGCCAACCAUUCGUCCUGGGUAUUGUGCGUGAAGGAGGUUGUCGCAUUGUCAUCCGGACAAUCCACGAUCUAGUUCUUCUUUGUUAGGAACCUAUUCGAGAAUCCUAUGGCCGAUUCGCCCGCGUUUUGGAUGGCGUUGCUUAGGUUGGAGGAAUCCGGUGGUCGAACGUAAGUUCCCUGAAAAUUAGACAGGAAGGCUUCUUCAAGGUCUUACCAACAUCCGAUGGAAUUUUCAGGUAAGCUAUUUAGCCACUACCGUACUGGCCCUUUCAGCUUUAGGCGUAGUUACUUGAUGGCGUGGAGGUCAUCUCCCCUGGCCAUAUGAAUGUGGAGAAGGAAAUCUUCUAUUCACACGGCGGGGUCCGUAGUCCCGUCGUAUUGUUGUAUGUUCAUGGGUUCAAACCCUUCCGGGAAUUGGUGUUGCAUGACCUCAUUUGUAAAGCACAAUGGGUGGGCGACGCCUCUGACCCAGGCUAUACUGUGCCAGCGAUCGGCUGUUGGUUUUGCUCGGUACGAUUCUCGAUCUCUAUUGAUGUGGGUAAACCAAGGUUGGUCUCCGUCCCAUCGAGUGGGAGAGUACCUUCUAGAUCCAUACAUGGACCUAUUGCGACCUGUUCUGUUGUCCAAGUCGUGACGUAGGUCAUGUCUACCCCUGGGUUGCACAUGAUCCUUUCCCUUCCUGCUGGGAGGCUCGGGUCCAUACUCGGCUUCUCCGGCCGCUCUGUCACGCCCUCGAGGUUGGCAAUCGGGCUGAUCAUACUGGGUGCGCCUGGGGGACACGGGCUCUCGGGCCUCGUCAUCGAACUGAGGCAGCACGCGUCGGCGUGGGUACCUUUUGUUCUGAUCUAGCCACUCGGUGCCAUAUCCUUCUUUAUUUGCCAAUACUUUUGUCCAUCUAUUGUUUAUGGUGUCAUGUUUGGCUUGGAGCCGCUGUUGCUUCGCUUGGAGGCUGCGGGCGAUAGCUACGAGUUGUUGCUUGAACCGUUCCUGACCCUCAAGGUCCUCGAGAACUAUGAAGUCUUCGGCCUUUAUACUAUCUUUCGCGUCAUCACGAGGGAGGUAGUUGUCAUCAUCUGAAUCAUCGGGGUCGUCGGGAUCGGAUUGGCCCUCGGGCUUGUUCGGGAGCUCCGAGGUUGUCGGGGGUCCUCUGGGGUUGUAUUUUCCCCGGUGCCAUCUAUGGCCCCACUUACUUUGUUUGCCUUGGCUUGUUUACGCUACCUCUGGCGCUUUGAUUGCUUUUCCCUAGACUUAUCGUCAUUUUGUUUGGGGGUAUGAUCGCCAUUGUCGUCGGGUGUGUCCACCAUGUAGACGUCGUAAGUGGAGGUGGCAGCCCACCGCCCGGUAUUUACAGGGGCGGGGUCACCGGCCACAUCAUCCAUGUCUUCAACCUCCUCGAAGGCGUAAUCCAACAUGUCGGUUAAGACUUCGACGGUGGCAACCAAGUGGGUGGUGGGUGGGCUGUGAACUUCCUCAUAAUCCGCAUCCAAACUGAUCCGACUAUAGGUCGGGCUCGGGCCAUCCAUAGUUUUCAAUGACUGGAUCUGGUCAAGCGUCUCAUUUAACAUCGAGAGGUUGUCCUGGUCGAUUUCUUGAUGAUUUUAGGAGUUGACCUCCGUUUCUUCCGUGAGGGACGGGUAUUCAGGAAUGGCUGUUGCCUGGGUACUGAGAUUGGGUCCGGGCUCAAAGACAACUCUCUGACAAAGAGGGAACCGAGGUCAUGGCCGGGCAAGAGACCCGAAGUCAAGGCUUCAGGAUUUUGGGGUUCAUCGCACGAAGCCAUGAUCUUAGCAGGGAAAAGAUCUCCCGAGGAGUCGCUCAAGAAUUCAAGAUUCUCGAACCUUAUCUCCUGACUGGGGACGAAGCCUCCGAUCUAGCCAAGGCGGCCGAUCGGGUCGGCGCGCAGCGUGACGCUGCCGAACGCGAGAACCUGCCUUGGAACAAAGAUGUCCCUGUUUCCAAUUCGAUCGCUGAUGAUUACACGAGCCAUCAAUCCUUCCGGUGAACUAACAGGAGAACUCUCAAUGAAAGCACCAUUGUCGGUGUCAAAACUGGCGGAUCUCGGGUAGGGGCUCCUGAGAUGUGAACCUUGUAUGGAUGGGUUACACGGCACAAAGAGGACAAUGUUUACCCAGGUUCGGGCCCUCUUGAGGAGGUAAAACUCUAUGUCCUCCAUGAUUAUAUUGAUAUGUAUGAGGAUUAAAGAGUUGACCUACCUUGAGAUCGUAUGAGCUAAAACCCUAGAUGAGUCAACUUGUCUAUGAGGAUGAAACCCACUUGUUUAUAUAGACACCACGGGUUCCUCGGGUUAUAUACAACCGACCUCCAGCCGGGGAUAGAUGCGUCGAUCUGGAGUACUCAACUUGGAUGACACACCAGUCUUCGGAGCUUUCCUUCUUGAACACGAGGUCGUCACGUAGUCCGGUCUUCAACAAUAAGGCCCAUUAGGUCGGCCUCUAAUAAAUGAAUCGACCGCCCGAGGACUCCUUAGUCCCGGACUCCCCCAGUGGUGCCUAGUGGGGAGCCCUUAAGUCGGAUGAGGAUCUUCUUCGGGCACAAGAAAGCUAAUUUACGGAUAAAUUCCCUCAAAAUUCCAGCACGAUCGGAGUUAAGGAUCUCCAAGAAUUUAAGAAACAGUGAAGGGCAAGAAAACGAGAACGCCAAACAGAACAGAACAGAGAGGGAGAUCCAAUAUCAGAGGGGCUCUUGCCCCUCUGCAGCCAUGGAGGCCAUGGACCAGAGGGAGAACUCUCCUCCCAUCUAGGGGGGGCAAGGAAGAGGAGGGAGGGGGCUCUCAACCCCUCUCUUACGGUGGCACCGGAGUGCCACCGGGGCAAGGAGUGUGACGAUGAUCUACAUCAGCAAGCUUGCCGCCGUCAACACCAACUCCCCCCUCUAUGCAGCGGUGUAAGACCUCUUUUCCCGAUGUAACUCUCUAUUUAAACAUGGUGCUCAACACUACAUACUAUUUGCCAAUGAUACGUGGCUAUUCUAUAAUGUUUGAAUAGAUCCGUUUUGUCCUGCGGGUUAAUUGUGAUAUGAUUUUAUUGUGUUUAUAUGAUGUUGUCCUAAGGUGCCUUCUGUGAGGCGCACACGCGAAGGAUACAUGCUGGAGGGUUUGCAUUAUGUUCAUGAUUCGCUUAUAGUGGGUGGCGAGAGUGACAGAAACUUACAACCGAGUAAGGGAGUUGUCCGCACAUGGGAGUAAAGAGGACUUGAUGUUUAAUGCUAUGGUUGGGUUUACCUUAACGAUUUCUAGUAGUUGUGGAUGCUUGCUAGAGGUCUAAUCAUAAGUGCAUAUGAUCCAAGUACGGAAAGUGUGUUAGCAUAUGCCUCUCCCUCAUUGCACAUGAUAAGUAUCUAUCAUGUUAGAGGUCCAAUCAUAGUUUCAUACUUGUUCUAGGUAAAGUAAGUGUUUGCACGCAUAGAGUUGUAUCGAUGGUCGAUACAACUUGAGAGAAUAUUAGUUCUACCUUUAGCUCCUUGUUGGGUUCGACACUCUUGCUUAUCAAAAAGGGCUACAAACGAUUCCCUACACUUGUGGGUUAUCAGUGAGUAUCCUGGCGACACGAAGGCGAGCACAUGACUGGUGGCGACCUCGAUGAUCGCUCGGGUCAGAGAUGCCUGUGGCAUGGUCUCAUGUCCGUCCUCGUCAAGGACAAUGAUGUCGUUCCCCGGAGGUGGAAUUUCUUCAACAUGUGCGAUGGGGUCAAUGUGCAACAUUUCUACUUACGAACUGGCAUGCAUCCAGUCGGUCACCACCGGCACGAGAGGCAUGAAGUACAGCGCAGCUGGCUCAAGGGCCUGCACCGACAGUUGCAUGAAGGGUUGCAUAACCGGCUCUAGGGCCUGCAAUGGCAUGCUCUCAACACUAAUUUGGUGGUGGUAACAAUGACCUCGGUGACGCUGGUUCCAACCUCCAUCGAAGAGGCGAAGGUCGCACACUCGAUACUAGAAGCGGCGGAGUCUGCCAACACCAUGGCGGAGGUGGUGAGCAACGAAACGGCGGCAACGGUCAUCAUUAUGAAGAAGGCGAAGAAACGGAGAAAUCAUCUUUCGCCUCUAGUUCAUGUCGAUCUUGUUCUCUGCCGGGAAGAUUUUUCUCUAUUGAAAAGUGAUGUGUGUGAUAAUGUGCUAAAAGAAACAAAGAGCAAACUAGAGACAAAUAAAAAGAAUGAACAUAUGUAAUAUUUAUUGAUCAUGUUCAUGUAUACAUGCAAUCGGCACGAAAGCAUCCAAGAGAUGCGUCCAUUGGUGAAGGCGUCAAUCGAAAGGAGCAACCGACGCACAAUUGCAAAAAAUGGCAACCACACACAUGUUGCGGGAAUGUAGGGAUUCCUCUAACUAACCAUUGAGGUUAAUUUGGCUUAACACUCUGAAUUGCAUCACGUUUCUACCAUUAUUGUGCCGAAGUGCUAGGAUUUUGUCGUGGUUGUUCUCACAGUGAGGGUGCUCCUACUUGGCAAGGUACUAAGACUUGUUUCUUUUGCCUACAUGACAAGUCUAUUAAACACCUAUGUUAACUUUGAUGGUAGGUUUAAUCAUGCAACAUAGGCCAUAAAUCAAAUAGAUUCAAAACCUUACACCUCCCCCAUGUAGUGUGUGUAAUAUGUUCGACAACUCGCGACGGGGUGCCGACAAACAUUUUUCUGCAUGUAUUCUUGUGGGACUGCCAACAUUUAUGUUGGACUUUUGUUUCAUCAUGGAUGUCCAUGUAAUCUUCAGAUAAGAUCUAACCCAUCUUCCCAUGCAAGUAUCUCGGCCUUUCACUAUCCAUAAGGAAGCUCACGACGGCACAAUAUCAAGGCCUUGUGGAUCAUCUCGUAGCGCGCCUACCAUCUUGGAAGUCAGCAGGCCUUCCCAAGAGCGAUCACUUAUUGCUGGUACAAUCCGUUCUCUCGACAAUCCUGAUCCACUCAAUGUUGGCCCUUGAUCUGGCUCUAAAGACUUUGGUUGCCCUAAUCAAGAUAUGCCGCAAAUUCCUUUGGGUCGGCAAGGCAGAUGCGCGAGGAGGUGCAUGUGCGAUGGCCUGGGAGAGAGUGUGCACUCCUAGGUGCGUCAGACGCCUAGGUAUCCUUGACAUGUGAUGGAUGAAUGUGGCCCUUCGGGCCAAGUGGUUGUGGUUGAGUAGGUCUGACCAGGAUAAGCCUUGGUCGGAGUUCGCUUUCUCUGUGCCAAAGGAGUCCCGACAGUUAUUCCUGGCAGCGGUGCGAGGAGUCGUUGGCGAUGGGAGGAAUACAUUAUUCUGGGAGGGUAGAUGGCUUAGUGGUUACCGGAUGCAGGAGCUUGCGCCACGGAUUUGCGAGCAGAUUCCAGUAAGAACGAGGAGGUCAAGAACGGUGUAUGAGGCAAUCGUUGAGGAGAGAUAGGCCCGAGAUAUUGGGCCAGCGCUAGGCGAGGCAACCCUUGCGAAGUACCUGGGUAUCUGGCCCGGGGUUGCGGUGGUCUAGCUGGACGAGCAAUGUGAUGAUCGUUUCAUCUGGUUCUGUGAGAAGAACAAGAAGUUUUCGGCCAAAUCUGCCUAUGCAGCCAAGUUUGCAGGGCGAGAAGUCUCGCCCAUCUUGGAAUUCACAUGGCACUCACGGACCUCGCUUAGGUACAUAUUAAUUCUUCUCAUGGCUAGCAAUCAUGAACUGGUGCUGGACUUCAGAUAGAUUGGCACGAAGAGGCAGCCACACCAACACUCGUGCCCUUUUUGCAAUCAGCAUGAUGAGACGAUUGGCCAUCUACUUAUCGAGUGUCCUCUCCCACGGGAGGUAUGGGCAAAGUUCUUCUCCGCCCAAGGUAUUCUGCAUGGCGAGCCGCAACUAGGAGAGACACUGCACGGCUGAUACACUAGGCAGGGUAUGCAGGGAAAAAGUGCCAAGAUGGUUUGGACCAUAUGCCCCCUUGCCAUGUGGGAAAUAUGGAAGCAUAGAAAUGCCAUAGUCUUUGACGGAGAGAUGGCCUGCCCACGACAUGUUCUACGCUGGACCGCGAGUUAUAGCAUGGUGUGGAUGCAGACGGCUCUACUUCGAGGAAACCUGCAGGCAUUCUUCGUGGCAGCGCUGGAAUGGGCGCAUAGUGAGUAGUGUGUAUAACAUACUUGAGGUGGAGGGCGGCGUAACGCCAUGUAACCCCUGAUGUAACUAAACUGCGGAGGGCUCCCCCCUCUCCUUCCUUCUAUAAUAUAUGAUACGCACACUCGUGCGUAUUCGAUGAAAAAAGAAUCUAACCCAUCUUAGGCUGAUUUUUUUUUCUGCGAAACAAUAUUUUCUUUUGGUUAUGUUAAUAGUCUUAACUGUGUGCAUCAUCACGUUUUGCAGCAGUCAGACAUUUGUUCAAUGUGAUUGUAUCACCUUGAUAUAUCGAUUGAAUGAAAUUGUCUUUUAUUAGUAAAAAAUAGUUGUAUUGAAGUCAUCAUAACUUAAUCCCAUGGGGUAGAUGGUUAAAUGUUUUCACUUAACAAAAUAAUUUCUAGUGUGCCCAUAACUAGUGUAAUAGAUGGACAGAAAUAAAUAGACUGGAAAUGCCAUGAACAAGCCAUGAAUAGAAAAGGUUGGGUUUAUCUACAUCAGUUAUCAGUUUAGUGUGUUCUAUGUACUUGACAAUCCAAGAAUUAGCAAUAGAGCCCUCUGUAUUAAGAGUAUAUUUCAGUCAGUCCUCAACUGCUGUCCAUGUUAUUUACUAGUUCCGGUAGUGAUCUUAAGCAUCGUCUAUAAACUAUUACUUAGUCUAGACGUCCCUAUAGAGACCUAUCGGACAUCAAAGAAAAUCCAUUUUAAAGGAUACGCGGAUAGACUCGGUAAACCGCCGACAAUGAAGUGGCACCAACAAAUAUUUUAGUUUUAUAAAUCUGAAAGGAAUGUAUCUUUUCGAUAAAGGUCUGAAAAAGAAAAUAGGUACCUAUACUCAUCCAUGCAUAGGCAAGAAGUUUUCUUUAUGUGAAGCAUAUCUCUGAAAGGGCUUAUAAUAAUUUUGCUUGUGCACCUCAUACAACUCUACCUAAUAUAUACAUAUUCUCAAAUUUGUAAGAUAUCACUGACUUCUCUCAACCAUUGAAUAGGUCAUCAUUUUUCUUAACUUGCACGCAAUGUCCACGAAUUGAGUAAGCAUAUGCAUAACUAAGAGUCUACGCUGUUUCAUGGAGCCUAUCACAAACGACUGAAUGUUUAGUGGAAAAAUCUCUUGGGUGGAAUCCUAAACCCCUUGAAAAAUAUACUGAAAAAUAUAAUGGCAAUCACCAUGGGGCGUCGGCAGAUCACAGUCAUUAUAAUAACCGCUUGUACACCCAAAUACAACUCUACCUGGUAUAUGCAUAUUCUCAAAUUCGUAAUAUAUCACUGACUUCCCCACCGUCGAAUAGGUCACCAUUUUUCUUAACGUGCACACAAUGUCCAUGAAUUGAGUAAGUGUAUGGGUAACUAAGAGACCGCACUGUUACACAUAGCUUAAUCACAAACGGCUAAAUAUUUAUUGGGAAAAUCUCUUGGGUGGAACCCUAAACCCCUUGAAAAUCUAUUAUAUAAUUAAAACAAAAGACAAACAAGCCAUAUGUGUUCCCAUACAUUGAAUUAUCUUGACCGUAUUUUUAAAUAAUAACACAUGUGAUUUAAAAUAUGUAUUGUUACAUAUAAAUUUUAUCAUGAGCAAACAGUUUAUAGUGUCACGUAGCUCAUACUAAUAGUUCAAUAUGUCUCGAGUUCUUAAAGAAAAACUGGCAUGUCACUAGAAAUCAGUCUGAUACCUUAGGAUCUUUUUUUGCGGGUAAAACUGGGAAGCUUUAUUCAACACACAUCAUCCGGGCAUGAUCUUCGAGGAGACUAGUUAGAAGAAUAAUAGGACUAGAGUUCAACCAGCAAUCCGUUACCUCCAAUGUGCUAGCUUGCUUAGAACAUAAGUGGGCACACGUGCUAGCUGAUUUUGCAACAUUUUGAAUGAAAUACAAACUAAACAGUAAGGCGAGCUCUCCAUCUUAGUUAAGAUAUGCGUCAGCACAGUCCGAGUAUUGAGGCACGAAUACCAGAGAUUGACAAUCUUCAAACAAUCUGUCGCCACAACGACCUUCUCGUGACCCCGAAGCUUUGAAAAGAGGACCCCGUCUCGAACAGCCAAAGCUUCAGCGACAAACGGAUCGCUAAAACCAGGGUACGGUUUAGACCAAGCAGGCAUGAAGGAGGAACAGGCUCGGACAACACCACCCACCCCACCCACCCCUGCUAGCCUCCAUAGCGUGCUUCCAUCUGUAUUGAUCUUCAUGAUUCCUUAGGUUGAUAUAGAAAAUAAGAAGUACCUUACCUUGAAUUGGCAAAGCAUGACAACCAAGAGUAUUCGGCAGCCAAGUCCAAUUUAGAAAGAAAGAGAAAAAACUACCUUAUGUAGGGAGGAGCACCAAGUGAACUACCUUAUGUAGGGAUGAGUCAUGAGCAAACACCCCUACCCCACAACAAAGAAGUGUCCGCAUCUCAAAAAAUUAGGAGUGUCCCAGCAAAAUAUGCGUGCUAAUCUCUCUAGGGAAAAAGAGAAGACGUGUGUGCUCCUCCUUUUUCUGCGGACACAAAAAAAAAAGUACGGAGUCCUGCUUAGUUCACUUAGUGCUCCAGUACUUGGGGAUAAGAAAUCUUUCUCUACGCAGAUUGAAGAAUAUAUCUCAUAAAAAAUGAAAAUUAGUUGUUUAUACAUAUACUAAAUCGUGGAUGAAAAAAUGAGGCGACAUACCUGAUUGGCAUAAUACAUUUUUUUAUGCUAAAUUAGUUCUGCACUAUGAUAUUAGCUGUAUUAAAUCAUGGAUGGACAACUGAGACACGAAAUACGAAAUACAUAAAGAUAAAAGUGCCAGCAUUUUAUAUUCUUUCUCUCAAAAAGUUACUGAUAACCAUAGUGGCUGUUCUAAUUUGAAUCGCUGAGAUCCAAAAAUAAAUAGAAAGAAAUCAUGCUUGCAAGUGAUUCAGUAUAAAUUAAGUAUUCCUCAUGAAAAAAUAAUACGUCAUGAGAAAGACCACGUGAGAGCAUCUGCAGUGAAAUGCAUAAGAAAAAUAAUGCACGUGAAAGCAUCUGUAGUGAACCUAUUUACAAAAAUUGACCACUAACAUAUGCAAAAGUAUCCGGGUUGGACAAUUAAAAAUAACAAAGAACGUUGUACUGACUACAUAAUAAUAAUUAUUCACUAGUGGGGACAGGGUCUAUAGUCCCGGCCCGUAAGGGGCUUUAGUCCCGGUUCACCAACCGGGACCAAAGAGGCGGAACUAAAGGCCUAACCUUUAGUCCCGGCCCUGUUCCAAGCCGGGACCAAAGGUGCUCCAUGUGGGCGCCUCGGAGCGCCCUCACGGGCAGGCCCUUUAGUCCCGGGUCUUAACACGGACCGGGACUAAAGAGUUUCUUCAGAUUUUGUUUGUUUUAGGGUUUUAGGGUUUUAGGGUUUAGGUGUUCGGGAGAUUAACGUGAUGCCUCGUUUGGCAUUCGGGAAUUAGUUUUCAUAUAAUUCUAAAUAUACAUGUUUAUGUAUAUAUAUAAGAUUAACUUAUCUUACAAGCGAGCAUAUAUAUACAAUUAUAUGGAGAUCUGAAUUAUCGGGACUAGAGCCCGUUUAUUUAAUUCCAUGGACCAACAUCAGUAAUGGCCCCUAGCUACACUAAAUCAUCCUUUGUCAUCUAUAGCUUCCGUCCUCAGAAAGGUCGCAAGCUCCUCUACAACAGCAAUCGCGCGUUGCUCUGGUAGGUACUUCUCCCUCAUGGCCGUGUACUAUAUAAGAAGAGGAGAUGAAUAUGAAUAUCAAUAAUGAUAACAAAGAAUGGCGGGUAAAAAUAGAGGUGUGAAUGUUCAUUGCUUACGUCGUAUCUAUAAUCCUUGUGCUCAGAGGUAAACGUGCGAAUGGUCUCGCAAACAUAGUAUCCGCAUAGAUGCGUCCCCCGUGGCUGCUGGUCGCACUUUACGAGAAUAGAAUAUAAAUAAUCAAAAUAAUAAUCUAGCAUCAUAAAUGUAUUGAAAAUAGAAGUAUAUCAUACUACUACUUACCUGAGGCGCUCUAAAGGUCAGCUUCUCAUGCUCGAUACCGGGAGUCACACACUUGAACCGCUUCCAAACCCUGUCCGACAAGGAAAAUGAUUUGCUAAGUUUUUCAUUAAUUGAUAUAUCAUAAAAUCAUCGAAAGAGACCGAUAGAGCGCAAGAAUGAUUGAAAUUACCCUUGGAGCAUUUCCUGCAGGCUUUGGAACUGUUCGAAGGGUCUCGAUAAUGGGUCGAAGGCAUCAACUCUUCCCUUAUCAAUUUGAAUGUCCAACAGAAUCCAAUGGUAGCUACACAUGUAUAUAUAUAUACAUGUGUAGCUACCAUUGGAUUCUGUUGGACAUUCAAAUUGAUAAGGGAAGAGUUGAUGCCUUCGACCCAUUAUCGAGACCCUUCGAACAGUUCCAAAGCCUGCAGGAAAUGCUCCAAGGGUAAUUUCAAUCAUUCUUGCGCUCUAUCGGUCUCUUUCGAUGAUUUUAUGAUAUAUCAAUUAAUGAAAAACUUAGCAAAUCAUUUUCCUUGUCGGACAGGGUUUGGAAGCGGUUCAAGUGUGUGACUCCCGGUAUCGAGCAUGAGAAGCUGANNNNNNNNNNNNNNNNNNNNNNNNNNNNNNNNNNNNNNNNNNNNNNNNNNNNNNNNNNNNNNNNNNNNNNNNNNNNNNNNNNNNNNNNNNNNNNNNNNNNNNNNNNNNNNNNNNNNNNNNNNNNNNNNNNNNNNNNNNNNNNNNNNNNNNNNNNNNNNNNNNNNNNNNNNNNNNNNNNNNNNNNNNNNNNNNNNNNNNNNNNNNNNNNNNNNNNNNNNNNNNNNNNNNNNNNNNNNNNNNNNNNNNNNNNNNNNNNNNNNNNNNNNNNNNNNNNNNNNNNNNNNNNNNNNNNNNNNNNNNNNNNNNNNNNNNNNNNNNNNNNNNNNNNNNNNNNNNNNNNNNNNNNNNNNNNNNNNNNNNNNNNNNNNNNNNNNNNNNNNNNNNNNNNNNNNNNNNNNNNNNNNNNNNNNNNNNNNNNNNNNNNNNNNNNNNNNNNNNNNNNNNNNNNNNNNNNNNNNNNNNNNNNNNNNNNNNNNNNNNNNNNNNNNNNNNNNNNNNNNNNNNNNNNNNNNNNNNNNNNNNNNNNNNNNNNNNNNNNNNNNNNNNNNNNNNNNNNNNNNNNNNNNNNNNNNNNNNNNNNNNNNNNNNNNNNNNNNNNNNNNNNNNNNNNNNNNNNNNNNNNNNNNNNNNNNNNNNNNNNNNNNNNNNNNNNNNNNNNNNNNNNNNNNNNNNNNNNNNNNNNNNNNNNNNNNNNNNNNNNNNNNNNNNNNNNNNNNNNNNNNNNNNNNNNNNNNNNNNNNNNNNNNNNNNNNNNNNNNNNNNNNNNNNNNNNNNNNNNNNNNNNNNNNNNNNNNNNNNNNNNNNNNNNNNNNNNNNNNNNNNNNNNNNNNNNNNNNNNNNNNNNNNNNNNNNNNNNNNNNNNNNNNNNNNNNNNNNNNNNNNNNNNNNNNNNNNNNNNNNNNNNNNNNNNNNNNNNNNNNNNNNNNNNNNNNNNNNNNNNNNNNNNNNNNNNNNNNNNNNNNNNNNNNNNNNNNNNNNNNNNNNNNNNNNNNNNNNNNNNNNNNNNNNNNNNNNNNNNNNNNNNNNNNNNNNNNNNNNNNNNNNNNNNNNNNNNNNNNNNNNNNNNNNNNNNNNNNNNNNNNNNNNNNNNNNNNNNNNNNNNNNNNNNNNNNNNNNNNNNNNNNNNNNNNNNNNNNNNNNNNNNNNNNNNNNNNNNNNNNNNNNNNNNNNNNNNNNNNNNNNNNNNNNNNNNNNNNNNNNNNNNNNNNNNNNNNNNNNNNNNNNNNNNNNNNNNNNNNNNNNNNNNNNNNNNNNNNNNNNNNNNNNNNNNNNNNNNNNNNNNNNNNNNNNNNNNNNNNNNNNNNNNNNNNNNNNNNNNNNNNNNNNNNNNNNNNNNNNNNNNNNNNNNNNNNNNNNNNNNNNNNNNNNNNNNNNNNNNNNNNNNNNNNNNNNNNNNNNNNNNNNNNNNNNNNNNNNNNNNNNNNNNNNNNNNNNNNNNNNNNNNNNNNNNNNNNNNNNNNNNNNNNNNNNNNNNNNNNNNNNNNNNNNNNNNNNNNNNNNNNNNNNNNNNNNNNNNNNNNNNNNNNNNNNNNNNNNNNNNNNNNNNNNNNNNNNNNNNNNNNNNNNNNNNNNNNNNNNNNNNNNNNNNNNNNNNNNNNNNNNNNNNNNNNNNNNNNNNNNNNNNNNNNNNNNNNNNNNNNNNNNNNNNNNNNNNNNNNNNNNNNNNNNNNNNNNNNNNNNNNNNNNCUCAUGCUCGAUACCGGGAGUCACACACUUGAACCGCUUCCAAACCCUGUCCGACAAGGAAAAUGAUUUGCUAAGUUUUUCAUUAAUUGAUAUAUCAUAAAAUCAUCGAAAGAGACCGAUAGAGCGCAAGAAUGAUUGAAAUUACCCUUGGAGCAUUUCCUGCAGGCUUUGGAACUGUUCGAAGGGUCUCGAUAAUGGGUCGAAGGCAUCAACUCUUCCCUUAUCAAUUUGAAUGUCCAACAGAAUCCAAUGGUAGCUACACAUGUAUAUAUAUAUAUAUAUGUGUGUGUGUCAAUAACUUAUCAAUUACACUUAUAAGUGAAUGGACACAACAGAGUAAAGACCCUCACUUGAAGUUGUAUGGAAACAGUAUGUGGUCACAGAAAUUUUGACCUGUUAGAAACCUUAGAAGGUUUUCCUCCGUCUCCUUGGGUUUAUCAGUUAGCGUCGCUAUAUUUAUUUUAUCUAGGUCAAUAAACCCAAUAUUUAGGAUGUUCCUACUUUUACAUUCCAGAAUCUUCAUUCUGCAUAAUAGAGUACAAGUUAUAUGUAGACAAUAAAUUAAAAUAACUAAACAAGUUAUAUGUAGACAACGAAUUGAAAAACUUACACACAAUAGCAACUCAUAAGCGAUUUGUCGAGGGCGUCGGCAUUGUACAUCUCGAAGAGUUCAUCAAAGUCGAUAUGGAUUUCUUCGGGGCGGCCGUAGCACUCCCGUGGGACACGCGCCACGAUCAUCGUUCUCCCAUUCUUUGAUUCACUUAAGUACCAUGUAUGCAAGUAACGCAUAUUUGUUGGGAGAUCAUCAAACUUAUCUUUGCUAACCAAAGGCGCUCCCAUGACAAACUGUGGCAUAGGGGCCACCAUAGCCUUGGGUAACCUGUCGUCUUGGGAAGCCAGAACGUCUUCAACCGGGAUACCCCAUUCAUCCGCCCACUUCUUUGCUAAUUCCAAAUCUUUCCCCUGCACCAGAGAGGGAACAUUCUCGGGUAACACCCUCAGGGGUAGGAUCGACUAUUUGGCCUGUUGUCCAAGCUGAGGAACGUCUGAUCUUUUUUUGCUUGUAGUUGAACUUGAUUUGCUCCCACUUGCACUUGCACGUGAUCUGCUCUUUUUCCCUUCCUUCUGCAAUGUGCGUGUAUAGUCAUCAGGCUUAUGGUGUAAGUCAUACUGUGAUGGAAGGGUCGUGAAGUAUUUUGCAUAUGUUAUUUGCUUCUCGGUGUAUUCCGGGCGGGGCUCGGGUUCCUUCUUUUUCAUCUGCGCAUCAUAAUGUACCUUUGCUAUCCUGGCAUUUUCCUCGUCGGUAUGAUCAUAAGGUCUGAUAGGAAGAUUAGCAUGAGGUACCUUUGGGAGGGGCGACAGUUUGGGCUUUGGGGAGCUCCAUCGCUUAGAACUCAUCGACGGAGCGUUCUUGCUGGCACGCUUCCGCUUAGUAUCCUUAGCGGGCGGCGGCGGAGACGGACGACCCAAGUCCGGCGGCGGUGAUCGAGAUGGACUCGUGUUGUGCUGGCCAUCGUCAUGUGGAGGGCUUGGAGGUGAUGGAGGUGUAGGUGACCUGCGACGACUCGGAGGCGGUGUUGUCCUUGGGGCCGAGCCUGGAAGCUUGAUGUAGUUCUUGUCCCAUAGGAUGACCCCACCCAGUACUUCUCCGAGUGUCCUCUCAUCUUCGGGUCCAGCUAUGUCGAGCUCCAUAUCAUGAAACCCCGCCAUGAUUUCAUCCAUCCCGACUUUAGCAAAGCCAGCUGGAAUCUCACGGCCAUGCCAGCGUGCAUCAGGGCCAGAAGGUAAAGCUUGUCCGAUGGCCACCUUCAUGGAUAUGUUCUUGAAUUUCUGAUGGAGUUCACAUGAUGUUGACUCCUUGAUUCCAUCCACGGGGUAGCCGGGACCGCCCUCUAUCAUUCUUCGUGCAUCGUUGGGCGGGGCCUCAGAUUCAGCCACGCUGCUUUUCCACUUAGAUGGGGCGCCGGUAAUAUCGAGCGCAGGAUCUUCCUGGCGCGCUACUCCUCUAAGCUCAUCAAUCUGCUUCUAUUGCUUGUUAAGCCUGGCAAGCAACUGGUUAAACUUGUCAUUCUCCUCAUCCUGCUGUCGCUUCUUUGCUCUCGCUCGGCUUCUGUAAGUGUCUUGGUCUCUGGGAAACCCAAGCCACCACGGGUAAGAAGGACCGAAGCCUCGCGUUCGUCCUCCAUGUUCGUCAUUGUCGAGGACCACUGUGAGAAAAUCUUUCUCUCUAUCUGCAGUGAACUGUCUUUUUCCCUCCUUAAUUUUUUCACUAUCUUUUUCCAAUUCUCCCUGGGUAUCCUAAGACCGUCACUGCAGAUGAGGUCCCCUGUUUCUUCGUCGUAUGAACCACCAUGCGCAAGGAACCAAUUUCUUGCUCUCAAUUCCCACUCAUCACGGAUGGGUUCAGGUAUGAUGCCUUUAGCUAGCAGAUCUUUCUCUUUCUUAUCCCACUUUCGGAUGGCAGACUCAUAGCCCCCUGGCCCCAGCGUGUGGUGAUAUUUCUUCUUGUCGGCAUUUUUCUUGUUCUUUUUUGAUAAUGCCUUGGCAUCUUCUGACUCCUUGUACUCUUGAAAUGCCUUCCAGUGAUUCGCCUGCUUGGCUAGAUACCCCUCGAAUACUGGCACUUUCUUUGUCUUCCGAUAGUUUUUCAUAGCUUCUUCUUCCAGCUACAGAACAGUUCGACCAUCUUCUUUAGAGUCCACUGCUUGACUUUGGCCAUCAGUUUGUCUGCGGCGUCUUCAUUCUCACAUUCUGACAGGUUGAAAUGUGACAUGAGAUCAUUCCAAAGAUUAUCUUUGUACCUUUCGGUGACAUAGUCACUAUCGGCUGCCCCUUUGCGCUUGUUGCACUCCCGAACGCUGAUCGGGACGUGAUCCCUAACGAGAACUCCGCAUUGCUUCUUGAAUGUGUCAGCAGCAUUCUUAGGAAGCUUGGGUUCGCCCGUAGGCAAUAUCACCUCAAAGGUGUAAUGCAUCCGUGCAUCCAACUUUUUAGUCGGGCCUCGUUUCGUAGCUUUGCUCGAUGUGGAGGCUUAAGAGGGAGAAACAUUCGUCAAAUGAAUGUAUAUGUAUACAAUAUAGAGCUAUCUCCAAUAUUUUUCACAUAUUACAAGUGAUUGUCGAAGUUCAUAUGUAUACCUCGCCGGACUUUAUUAGUUCUCCACCGGCUUCUCCAUCAGUGGAGCUAUCACCUUCUCCAUCAUUGGAGCUAUCUCCUGCCCCAUCGGCUUCAUCUUCGUGUCCGUCGACUUCCAUUCCAUAUCCGGAGGGGUUUAGAUAUGACGACGGAGAUUCAGCUGGUUCAACGUCGGGGCCGUCUUUGAUUAUAUCUUCGAGAAGUUCUUCCUCUUCGAGGUUCCUAAUAUGUGGAUCCAUAGUUCUGCAAAAAACGAACAUUUGGUUAACUAAUAAACUAACAAACUAUAUAUGAUGCAAAAUAAUUCUAUUUCUAUUUGCAAAUAAAUUCUAACUAAAUAAUUCUAAGUAAAAUAAUUCUAUCUCUAUUUGCAAAUAAAUUCUAACUAAAUAAUUCUAACUAAAAUAAUUCUAUUUCUAUUUGCAAAUAAAUUCUAACUAAAUAAUUCAUGACUUCAUCAUUACCUAGUAGUAAUAGGAGCAUGAUGCUAUGAAGCUUUAUAAAGUUGUUUUGUAACGGAAUCCCGAAUAGGAUAAUUAGCUUUGUGGUACGCAGUUCAAAAAGAGCCAUCCGAAUAUCGCUAUUUGGAAGGACUUUGUUGAACUUUGUACCAAAAAAGAAUUAUUCUAUUAGGAACUCCGUUCCAAAACAACUUUCGAGAGGUUGAUAGCGCCAUGCGUCUGUUACUACCAGGUAAUGAUGAAGCCAUGGACCGACCCUAAACUAACUUACUUAAAUUUACAUAGCCCUAAACUAGCUAACACUAACCUAAUUAACACUAGUUUAUAUGUUUAAUUGAUGUUUGUAGUGAUUUAAGUGAUAUUUGUAGAUUGUAGAUUUGUAUAUGCUUAAACACUAACUGUGACCUAAACUAAAAGGCCCUAAACUAACUUACUAAAAUUUACAUAACCCUAAACUAACAAUAACCUAUUAAUUAACACUAACUACCUAACCCUAAUAACACAAAUUUAAAUGACACAAAAAUAACACAAAUAACCUAUUUAACACUAACCUACCUAACCCUAAAUUCACCAAAUAUUCUACAAAUAACACUUAAGCAUAUACAAUAGCAAAAUUAAGCAAUAAUCUAAAAAACACUAAUUAAGCAUCUAUAUAUGUACAAAAUUACAUAAGCAUGCAUGCAUGUUGACGAUCGAUCAAGAGAGGAGAGGAGAGAGGCUCACCAGCGGCAGGGGGUGUUGGAUCGAGGAGGAAGGGAGGGCGACGACGACGGCGAGGAGGACGGCAAGGCGACGACGAUGGCGAGGAGGACGGCAGGGCGCGACGACGAGGAGGACGGCAGGGCGACGGCGACGGCGACAACAAGGAGGACGGCAGGGCNNNNNNNNNNNNNNNNNNNNNNNNNNNNNNNNNNNNNNNNNNNNNNNNNNNNNNNNNNNNNNNNNNNNNNNNNNNNNNNNNNNNNGGUGUCGAGCAGUUCGUCCGAUGCUGCAGGCGAGCGAGAGGAGGAAGAAAGAUUGAAAUGGCGAUUUGGGUUGGAAAUUUCCAACUCCCGCUUAUAUAGGUGGAGCUUUAGUCCCGGGUCGGGGCUCGAACCGGGACUAAAGACACCCUUUUUGGCAGGCGAGGAGGCGGGAAACGAGGGGCUUUAGUCCCGGGUCGGGGCUCGAACCGGGACUAAAGGCUGUGUUUAGUCCCAGGUCUAGCCACGACCCGGGGCUAAAGACCCCUUUUCGGCAGGCGAGGAGGCGGGAAACGAGGGGCUUUAGUCCCGGGUCGUGGCUCCACCAGGGACUUAAGGUGGUCUUUAGUCCCGGUUCGAGCCCCGAACCGGGACUAAAGACCUGGGCUGGCUUCGGGGUGACGCAGGGCAACCUUUAGUCCCACCUCACCUAGCGAGGGGCGCUGGCAGUGCUUUAUAAGCACUCUCGCACUUUGCUCAAUUGAGCUUCUCUCUAUUGAAGGCAUGUGGGCCUAACUCUCAUCUCGCUGUCUGUUGGUCCUAUUGGCCCCCGGACCUUCAUCCUGGCCCACCUGUCGGGUAGGGUUUCUAGUCGUAUGCAGGUCGUGAUGACCCAAUAGGCGGCAUUUGUUUUUUUACUUUAAUAAUUUUUAGUCCUAGUUUAUAUUUUAAUUCUUUGCUAUUCAAUAUUUUUUUCUCUUCUAUUUUAGUUUUCUAUUGAGUUGAUUUGUUUUUGUUUCUUUUAGUUAAUGUUUUACUUGAUUCUUUCUAACAAAUAAGCACUUUGAAAAUUUUAGUAAAUUAUUCUUAAUUCAUUCAUUUUAGUUAAUGUUUUAGUUGAUUCUUUUUAGUUGACUCUUUUUUUGUUUUCUAUUAAAUAUUUUAACAAAAAAACUUUAUGAAAUUUCUGACUUCAUUUGAUAUUUUUUGUGCAUUUACUUAUUCUUUUGAGCUAGUUGACCCUGAAAUGGAAAAACACUACAAAUGAACUCUAAAAAUGUUGAAAGUUGGCAUGGUAUCAUCAUUUCACCCACAUAGCAUGUGCUAAAAGGUUGAGAGGGUUACGGCAAAAAUUGGAUACACUUCGUGUGCAAAACGGACAAUAUCUCUCGAAGUAUCAUGGUUUCGAACAAGAACUCAUCUAUUACAAAGUGAUUUCAUUUUUUUGAACUUAUUUGAACUCCAUACUUUUUGUGUGUUCAAAAUGCACCAUUCAAACGCACAUCACAAACUUUCAACAAUUUCUGACUUCAUUUGGUAUUUUUCGUGCAUUUACUUUUUUUUAGCUAGUUGACCCUGAAAUUGAAAAACACUACAAAUGAACUCUGUGUUGAAAGUUGGCAUGGUAUCAUCAUUUCAUGCACAUUCCAUGUGCUAAGAAGUUGAGAGGGUUACGACAAAAACUGGAUACACUUCGUGUACAAAACGGACAAUCUCUCUUGAUGUAUCAGCAUCUCGAACGUGAACUCAUCUGUUACAAAGGGAUUUCAUUUUUUUGAACUUACUUGAACUCCAUACUUUUUGUGUGUUCAAAAUGCACCAUUCAAAGGCACAUCACAAAAUUUCAACAAUUUCUAACUUCAUUUGGUAUUUUUCAUGCAUUUACUUAUUUUUUUGAGCUAGUUGACCAUAAAAUUGAAAAGCACUACAAAUGAACUCUAAAAAUGUGGAAAGUUGGAAUGGUAUCAUAAUUUCACCCACAUAGCAUGUGCUAAAAAGUGGAGAGGGUUACGAUAAAAACUGGAUGCACUUCGUGUACAAAACAGACAAUCUCUCUCGAAGUAUGAGGGUUUCGAACGAGAACUCAUCUAUUACAAAGGGAUUUCAUUUUUUGAACUUAUUUGAACUCCAUACUUAUUGUGUGUUUAAAAUGCACCAUUCAAAGGCACAUCAAAAAAUUUCAACAAUUUCUGACUUAAUUUGGUAUUUUUCGUGCACUUACUUUUGUUUUUUUGGGCUAGUUGACCCUAAAAUUGAAAAGCACUACAAAUGAACUCUGAAAAUGUUGAAAAUUGGCAUGCUGUCAUCAUUUCACCCACAUAGCAUGUGUUAAAAAGUUGAGAGGGCUACGACAAAAACUGGAUGCAUUUCGUGUACAAAACGGACAAUCUCUCUUGAAGUAUCAGGGUUUCGAACGAGAACUCAUCUCUUACAAAGGGAUUUCAUUUUUUUGAACUUAUUUAAACUCCAUACUUUUUGUGUGUUCAAAAUGCACCACUCAAAGGCACAUCACAAAUUUUCAAUAAUUUCUUACUUCAUUUGGUAUUUUUCGUGCAUUUACUUAUUUUUGUUGAGCUAGUUGACCCUGAAAUUCAAAAGCACUACGAAUGAACUCUCAAAAUGUUGAAACCUGGCAUGGAAUCAUCAUACUGCUCAGGCGGGGACCUUCAUACUACUCAGGCAUUCAAAAAAGAUUUCCUUCUCUGCUUUGGUAAGAGCAUAGCUGCUUAAGUAUUGACGCACUUUAUCAGUCUUCUUGUCGUAUGGGUCUUUCAUACGUUGGUGCUCCUCCCGUGCUUCUGUUGUAUCUUUUGUCUUUCUAUACACUCCCAGGAAGCCUAGCAGGUUCACGCAAAGAUUCUUCUUCACGUGCAUCACGUCGAUUGAAGACCGGACCUCUAGUUGUUUCCAAUAGGGUAGCUCCCAAAAUAAAGAUUUCUUUUUCCACAUGGGCACGUGUCCGGUAAUGUCGUCUUUCGGAACUGAUUGACCGCGAGGACCCUUUCCAAAGAUUACUAUUUGAUCCAAAUCCUUGACCAUAGCCAAUAACUCAUCACAAGUAGGGAGGUUAGGCUUCUUCCGGUGAUCUGCCUCACCGUUGAAAUGCUUGCCUUUCUUUCUUACGGUAUGACUGGUCGGAAGAAAUUGACGACACACCAGGUAGACAACCUUCUUAGAUUUUCCCAAAUAUGUACCUUUACUCUUAUCUAAACAGUGCGUGCAUGCAUUGUAUCCCUUGUUUGAUUGUCCUAAAAUGUUACUAAGAGCAGGCCAAUCAUUGAUGGUUACGAACAACAAUGCUCAUAGGUCAAAUUCCUGUUCUUUGUGCUCAUCCCACACACGUACACCUGGUGGGCCCACAACUGCAAAAGUUCAUCAACUAAUGGCCUUAGGUACACAUCAAUGUCGUCGCAGGGUUGCUUCGGUCCUUUAGUCCCGGUCUGUGGUACGUGCCGGGACUAAAGGCCUAUUUUCUGUUUUCUUAUUUUAUUUGUUUUUGCAUAUUUGAGAAUAUAAAUAGUAAUCUGUUUGCAUAUUUGAGAAUUUGACAAAACUAUGAAAAUGAAAAGUGUUUGAAAUUGAAUAAAUAAUUCAAAACUAUUUUCUAUUUUCAAAAUUAAUUAUUUUGACUAUCCAAACUAUUAACUAUUUUGUAAUUUUCAAUUAAAUACUAUGUUUAUUAAAAUUCUUUUUGCAUAUUUGAGAAUUUGACAAAACUAUGAUAAUAAAAAGUGUUUGAAAUUGAAUAAAUAAUUCAAAACUAAAAGGUUUAGUACAUUCCAUACAUGCAUUACAUAAAAGGUUUAAUACAUUAUUACAUUAUUGCACCAAUAUUCCUACAUAUUAUUUCUGUUUUCUUCUCGGUUAACCAUGGAGAAUCUUCAUCAUUCAGUGGGAUGCUUGGGUCAGUUUUCACUUUGAAGGGCGGAAUUUCAUGAAACUUAUUAUAAUCUACUGACAUGUCUGUCUUGUCAUCUACUCCCACGAUGUUUCUUUUCCCUCAAAGAACUAUGUCGCAUUUUGGCUCAUCGGACGAUAUCUUCUUUUGCUGAUUUCUUUUUAUCGUUUUUGUAGACAUGUCCUUCACAUAGAAAACCUGAGCGACAUCAUUGGCUAGGACAAAUGGUUCGUCCAUGUACGCAAGAUUGUUGAGAUCCACUGUUGUCAUGCCGUACUUUUGGUCUACAACUACCCCGCCUCCUGUCAGCUUCACGCAUUUGCACCGAAACAAAGGGAUCUUAAAAGUAGGUCCAUAGUCAAGUUUCCAUAUCUCCUCUAUGUACCCGUAAUAUGUUUCCAAACAGUGCCAAUUCUCGUCUGUUGCAUCAAAGCGGACACACUAUUUUGGUUGGUGCUCUUUUUAUCUUGGGCAACCGUGUAAAAUGUAUUCCCAUUUAUCUCAUACCCUUGGAAAGUACAUAUAGUCGAAGAUGGUGACCUGGCCAAACAGUACAGUUGAUCUCCAACGGUGUCGUCAUUUAUGAGAUGUAUCUGCAACCAACUUCCGAAAGUCUUCUCGUGUUCCCCUUUAAUCCAAGAGUCAGCCUUCCCCGGGUUUUUAGAGCGUAGAAUAUUCUUGUGUCUCACGAUAUACGGAGCCACCACGGUGGAAUUGUGUAGAACUGUGUAGUGUUCUUGAGAGAAAGAAUGCCCGUCCAUACAUACUUUUGCUUUCCUUCCUAGUGUGCCUUUUCCUGUCAGCCUACCCUCAUACCGAGAUUCAGGAACACCAAUCGGCUUAAGGUCAGGAAGAAAGUCCACACAAAACUCAAUGACCUCCUCUGUUCCAUAGCCCUUGGAGAUGCUUCCUUCUGGCCUAGCACGGUUACGAACAUAUUUCUUUAAGACUCCCAUGAACCUCUCGAAGGGGAACAUAUUGUGUAGAAACACAGGACCGAGAAUUCUAAUCUCUUCGACUAGGUGAACUAGGAGGUGUGUCAUCAUAUUGAAGAAGGAUGGCGGGAACAACAACUCAAAGCUGACCAGACAUUGGACCACAUCAAUCUGUAACCCUGAUAGACUUUCUCGAUCGAUUACCUUAUGAGAAAUUGCAUUGAGGAAUGCACAUACCUUCACAAUUGCCAGGCGAACAUUUUCCGGUAGAAUUCCCCUCAAUGCAAUCGGAAGAAAUUGCGUCAUAAGCACGUGGCAGUCAUGAGACUUUAGGUUUUGAAAGUUUUUGUCUUUCAUAUUUACGAUUCCCUUUAUAUUCGACGAGAAGCCAGUCGGGACCUUGAUGCUGAAAAGGACUUCAAAGAAGAUUUCCUUCUCUUCCUUAGUAAGAGCGUAGCUGGCACGCCCUUGAAACUGCCCUGGAUGCAUGCCAUCUCUUCCUUUAUGACGUUCCUGGUCCUCCCGUGCUUCCGGUGUAUCGUCUUUUGACUUCCCAUACAAGCCCAGGAAGCCUAGAAUAUUCACACAGAGAUUCUACGUCAGGUGCAUCACGUCGAUUGCCGAGCGGACCUCAUGGACUUUCCAGUAGGGUAGCUCCCAAAAUAUAGAUUUCUUCUUCCACGUGGGUACGCGCUUAUCAGGGCCGUUAGGAACAGGUUGGCUGCCAGGACCCUUUCCAAAGAUUACUUUUAAAUCUUUGACCAUAUCAAAUACUUCAGCACUAGUACGGAUGACAGGCUUCCCCCGGGGUUCUGCCUUGCCAUUGAAAUGCUUGCCUUUUUUCUUUAAGGGAUGCUUGGGCGGAAGAAAACGACGAUUUUACGGGUACACAUUCUUCCUACAUUUGUCCAGAUAUAUACUUUCUGUCUGAUCCAAACAGUGCGUGCAUGCAUUGUAUCCCUUGUUUGAGUGUCCUGAAAUGUUACUAAGAGCAGGCCAAUCAUUGAUGGUUACGAAAAGCAACGCUCGAAGGUCAAAUUCCUCUUGUUUGUGCUCGUCCCACACACGUACACCUGGUUCGGCCCACAGCUGUAAAAGUUCAUCAACUAAUGGCCUUAGGUACACAUCAAUAUCGUUGUCGGGUUGCUUUGGACCUUGGAUAAGCACUGGCAUCAUAAUGAACUUCCGCUUCAUGCACAACCAAGGAGGAAGGUUGUAGAUACAUAGAGUAACGGGCCAGGUGCUGUGACUGCAACUCUGCUCCCCAAAAGGAUUCAUGGCAUCUGUACUCACACCAAACCAUAAGUUCCUUUCGUCACCUGCAAAUCUCAGGAACUCUCUCUCGAUUUUUCUCCACUGCCGACCAUCAGCGGGAUACCUCAACUUAUCGUCUUUCAUACGAUCUUCCAUGUGCCAUCGCAACAACUUCGCAUGAUCUUUAUUUCUGAACAGACGUUUCAACCGUGGUAUUAUAGGAGCAUACCACAUCACCUUGGCAGGAACCCUCUUCCUGGGUGGCUCACCCUCAAUAUCACCAGGGUCAUCUUUUCUGAUCUUAUACCGCAAUGCAGUGCAUACCGGGCAUUUAUCCAUAUUCUCGUACUUCUCACCGCGGUAGAGGAUGCAGUCAUUAGGGCAUGCAUGUAUCUUCUGCACGUCUAAUCCUAGAGGGCAGACAAGCUUCUUUGCUUCGUACGUGCUGGCGGGCAAUUCGUUCUUUCUUGGAAGCAUCUUCUUCAUCAGUACCAGCAAAUUUUCGAAUCACGAGAGUCAGUCACACCGGUCUCUGCCUUCCACUUCAGCAAUUCCAGUGUGCUACCCAGCUUCUUCUGGCCAUCUUCACAAGUUGGGUAAAACAAUUUGUUGUGGUCCUGUAACAUCUGCUCGAACUGCAACCUCUCCUUUUCUGUGUCGCAACCUCGCCGUGCAUCAGAAAUGACCCGGCCAAGAUCAUCAGCGGGCUCAUCUGGUUCCCGUCUUCAUCCUGAUCUUCUUCUUCAUUGUCUUCCAUUGCGGUAUCAGCAUACUCAGGGAACAUAGAUCGGUAGUUGUCAUCAUCGUUCUCUUCUUCUUCAUCAUCGUCUUCCAUCAUAACGCCUCUUUCUCCGUGAUUGGUCCAAACAUUAUAGCCCGACAUAAAACCGGACCGAAGCAGGUGGCUCUGAAUGACUCUUGAGGAAGUGUAAUCCUUCUCAUUCCGACAUUCAACACAUGGACAAAACAUAUAGCCACCACCAUGCUUGUUCGCAUCGGCUGCAUCUCGAAAAGAAUGCAUGCCUUCUCUGUAAGCGGUUGUGCGUCGAUCACCGUACAUCCAUGGAUGGCUCAUCUGCGUUAUACGACAGUAUAUCAAAUACAAUCACGAUCCUAAAAAUUAGUACCGCACGGUCUAAACGAGGAAAUAUAGUUGCUAACCUUUUAGAAUAAGUAGAAAUAAAGAGGAAGAGGUUUAAGCGUGGCUCGGGCAUCUCAUAUCGUAGUUGUGUUCGGUGAACUGAAGCGGCAUCGCUCUAACACACAUUUCAACAAACACCUCUAGUGCAUCCAAGAAAAAUGGAGAGCUAGCACACACCCACACUCUUCCAUCCAAGAAAAAUGCAAGAAAGAGGGGAGAGGGGGGUUGUGGCCAAUAUAUAUAGGCAGAGGACUUUAGUCCCGGUUUGAGACACAAACCGGGACUAAAGGUGACGCACAUGCGGGCUGCACACCGCGUAGCCCUUUAGUCUCGGUUUAUGUCUCGAACCGGGACUAAAGGCUCCUUACGGGCCGGGACCAAAGCCUUGUGGGCGGCAUUGCGAUUUUGGGGCGACGUGGCCGGGCCUUUAGUCCCGGCCCAGAUGGAGGCCGGGACUAAAGGGUCCAGGCCAAAGGCCCGUUUUCCACUAGUGAUUAUUCACAUAUGACAUUGUACUAUUUUUUUUAUUUGUUAUAAUGGAAAUCUUAGCUGAAAUUUUGAAUUAGAAAAUGCAAAGAAUCAAGUGUACCAUAUAUCUUCGAAAAUAUGUAACACUGUGUACAAAUAAGAAGGACACGUGCAACCAUCAUGAAAUAGUCGACCAACCCUUUGACAACCUUUGAAUAAACGAAUCAUGUAUGCUCGAUGAGUUCAAUUUGCAGCUGCAAUUGUGUGGAAGGGGACUAAUGGAAUGACAAUUGAAAAUUUGAGUAAAAUUAUAUUACUAUAUAGAAAUGAGGGAGGCCAGAGAGUGAAAAAUACAACCAUCAGGUAUAAGUUGCACAACUCUAGAGUAGUGUGACUAAAUGAAUCAUGUAUGCCCGAUGAGUUUGAUUUGUAUAGUAGUAAUUGUAUCGAAGUAGACCAAUGGAAUGACAAGCAAAAAAAAAAAUUGAAUCUGGUUUCAUUUCUGGGAAGAAAUGAGGAUGGCGAGAGAAAAAAUAGUGAGUAAAAAUAUCAAAUUAACUACGGAAAUAUGUUAGAGACAUCUGUGUAUAUUCACAUGUGUACAUGCAAAAUGCGGGAAAAAAAUACGAACUCAGUUGCCAAAAUUUGGUUUAUAUUCGAUGCAUCGUACCGUAUAAAAAAAUCAUUUGAUAUCUUAGAUGUAUUGACACGUAUGGAUUCAUUUGUAUAAAAGAAGAGUUGUGUGAGUAUAAAAGAAUCGAACUAAGGUACUCAUGAAUUGGCGAUCAUGAGCAUAGUUUUGGGACACCCAUAAAUGACAAUGAAACGAUAGAUAAUGAAGACUUUAAUAGAUUACACAUGUACUAAGAUUAGGUGCAAAAACAGGAGAAUAGUAGAAUCAAUCUGGAUGUGGUGUGCAACUCACAUAACAUAUUAAAUAUUAUAUUUGGUGGGAGUAAAGAUCUGACACAAAUGAAAAUCAUUUCAGGGGUGCAAUAAGUUGUCUCAGUUAUGCUUAAAGAUAUAAGUAUCAGAAAAACAUUUGUGCGUAUUUGUAUUGUAAACUAUAUAGGGGCAAGUGAAAUGAGAUAUUCUAGAAAAUUUCAGCGAAUGUUUCCAAGGGGGGGGGGGGGGGGGGAGCCAUGAGUAUGUGAAUCAUAAUUGCGUGAUUGUACAUCUAGUCCCCACCGUAGGGACUUAGGAUGUGUCUCAUUGAUAACUAAAUUUUCACAAGCAAGCAAGCAAAAUAGUAAUGUAACAUAUAUUGAGAAUCACAUAAAGAAAGCAAUAAUGAGACGUAAUUGGAGAUAAUGUUUUAAGGUUGUAAACACCACAUAUCCCGAGAAUGUAGUAUGAAUUAUUUGUAUCAUGCAUAAAAAGGUGAUAAGUAAUUUAUUUCAGGCAGACUGAAUUUGGAGUUCUCAAUUGUAUUUCUAAUUUAGAAUAUCCUCAUGAUUCAGUAUACUACAAUUAUGCAUUAUUUUAUACUCCCUCCGUUUCUAAAUAUAAGUCUUUUAAGAUAUUUCACUAGAAGUCUACAUACGGAGCAAAAUGAGUUAAUCUACAUUGUAAAGUAUGUCUAUAUGCAUCCGUAUGUAGUUCACUAAAGAAACCUCUUUAAAGUCUUAUAUUUAGGAACGGAGGGAGUACAAAUUUAUCGAUAAUGCUGAAUAUUUGAAUUAUCAACCAAUAUUUAUAUUAAUAGAAAACUCUAGCCGUGCAAAUGUGUGGGUAACUCCGUUAGUUAUACUAAUAAAAUAUGAUGCCAAUCACCAUGGGGCGUCGGCAGAUCGCAAUCCUUUACUCUGUCUAAUUUUAAAACUAAAUAGUAUAUGCAGUGGUUGAUGCCGGAAUGAAUCAAAUGAUGCGGAUAAUAGGUAAAUCCUCUGUUUUUAAAUAUAAGACCCUUUUACAGCUUAAUUUAGAAACAGAGGCAGUGCCAUUUUUGCCAUAAAGCGAAAGUUUGCACAAUAUUUUAAGUGUAUGGCGAUCAAGUGAACUGUCUAAUGGCCAAUGGGUACGAUGAUAAUGACUUGUGUGUACCUUGUCCCAAUCCACCUUUGUUAGGUGGCACAUAGUGGUCAUAAUUAUCUUCUUCCGUCCAAAAUAUGCAGCUGGUCAGUCAAGUGUUUACGUAAGGUUCCUUCAAUUAAGCUGUAGCACCUAGCAGGGAAACUAUACGUUUAUGAAAUUAUCUCCCAAGAAAAUUUACGAAUAAAAUUUUCGAGUAUCUAAUCUGAGGUUUCGUAAGUUUAUAAUAUUCAAGUAAAAAUUGAUUUACCCCUACAAGGGGAGAAAUCCUCACUUUUUUCCUUUUCAAUAUUAGGCAGUAGUAGGCAGAGAUGGUGAAUAUAAAGGUGGUGCAGGAUUUAGGUGUACGUGUUCAAAAAAUUCUUCUGAUCUCACUACUAGUAUUUCUCGACCAAGAAAUGUCGGUCAAGACAGGCUCACGUGGCAUGUUAAUUACUUAGUGGAGCAGAUAUGUAUUACAUUUUUAAAGAAGGAAACUUAAGAAGUUGGGCCAUCAAUUAAGUUCUAGCAGCCAGAUUGGUUGAUAGUACUUGACUUGUUCUAUUUGCUCACAUGCAAGUUCAUGCACAUCACCACACUGUUGCUUGCACCAGCUCUAUCAAUCUGCGGCUAUUUAAGCACACCCAUACAUGCCUCCAUUGACAAAGCAACUCACAAUGGCUUCUUCUUCCACAUUGUUUUGCCUUUCUGCCCUCCUUGUGCUGGCCUCAAGGCAGGCCACUGCCUACGAUCCUAGCCCUCUUCAAGAUUUCUGCAUCGCCGACAUGAAGGCGCCUGGUAUGCACUACGUAUAGUGUGCACGUAUAGAUGUGUGCCCUUAAUUCUAGUGGUGGUAUAGUUAAUGUUGUGAUAGCGUAGUACUGAUCACACAUUGAAGGUUACUACAUACUGAUAAUAGUUUUUUUUGUGUGGGGUACAUACUGAUAAUAGUUACAAAAGUAGUAUCACUACAUGCUCAAGCCACCCACACAUUUCUUACUUGCUUUAUGUUACUUUCUCUAUGCAUGCAGUGCGGGUCAAUGGAUUUGCUUGCAAGGACCCAAUGGCCGCAACCCCGGAAGACUUCUUCAACGCAGCCAUGCUCGAUCAGCCUAGGGAUACCAAGGCCAGCAAGGUCAGGUCCAACGUCACCAACAUCAAUGUCAUCAAUUUCCCUGGCCUCAACACCCUCGGCAUCUCCCUGGCACGCAUCGACUAUGGGCCAUUAGGUGUCAACACGCCGCACAUACACCCCCGUGCCACCGAGCUCCUCACGGUGCUUGAGGGGACACUCUACCUUGGAUUUGUCACAUCCAACCCAAACAGGCUCUUCUCCAAGAUAGUUAAGAAGGGUGAUGUAUUCGUAUUCCCAAAAGCAAUGAUUCACUUCCAAAUGAACCUGGCGCAUGACAAGCCAGCAGCCGCCUUGUCCUCGCUCAGCAGCCAAAACCCUGGGGUUAUUUCUAUCGCCAAUGCAGUCUUUGGAUCAAAGCCACCAAUUUCAGAUGAUGUUCUAGCCACGGCGUUUCAGGUGGAGAAGGAUCUGAUUCACUGGCUUCAAUCUCAGUUCUGGGAGAAUAACAACUACUAGAUACUCUCUUUCAUCUGGGCAUAUGGAAAGUUCAUAUGUAAUGCUAGUAUAUAGAAUAAAUGGCAUGUAAUAAUACGUAUGCAUGCAUGGUUGUGAGCUGUGUUUUCAUU